rnacentral:lncRNA from 1 species
CUACCAUUCCUGGGUUUUUUCCACCCGGCUCCCAAGUUGAUCUCGCAAAAUGUUGGUCAUCGCUCAUCACAUUCAAGGUUGCGAAGUCGAAAUCUUUAAAUCUGUUUUAACCGGUAAGAUUGAAAACGUUGGACCAACAUGCUGCAAGGCGUUUACGAAAGUGGAUGCAAACUGUUGGCCAAAAAUGUUUUCGUUGAAUCCGUUAUUCCCUCCUCUUCUCAAGGAUGGUUGCUCUCGCAUCAUCGCAGGUGCACCCGCUGCACACACGACACCUCAGUUCCCUGUCAUCUCUGGGUUCUCUCUUCUUGGUUCAGGCCCGGCCCGCCCAUAAAGCAGCCAAAGCUUUUGCUUUAGGCCACAUAAUAUAAAUAAGAUUUUAGAGCUGUAUGUCCAAUUUGUUUGCUGUGGUCAAGUUGGAUGUGUAUUAUUUCAAUGACUCACUUUUCGUCAGUUCGAGUCUUUCAAUAUAUACGUUUCUCUUGUUUUUUUUUUUUCUCUUUUCUAUUUCCUUUUGACUUUUUACAUGUCUUUCUUUUUCCUCUUUUACGUGUCUUUCCUUUUUGUUUUGUAGAGUAGGAGAAAAUUGUUUUUUAUUUAUUUAUUAAUUUAUGUUUAGUUGUUUUUUUAGCAACCAAAUCUCCAAAUAUUCUAUUUAACUUGGCUAGUAGCCUAGUAGGUGUUAUGAUAUUCUUAACUUUCGCUAACAAAUCUGAAUUUUAAAAAUUUAAUGACUUUUUCUAAUGCAUUUUUUCAAACAUAUUUUGAUAAUUUUUUAACAUUAAUUUUUAUAUCAAAAAUUAUAUUUUAAAUAUGCUUUAGGCCACCAAAAUCCUAAGACCGGCCCUGUCUUGGUUCUCCGGUCGAUCUCACAAAAUGUUUGUCAAUUGUCAUCACUUGUAAACGCUCAAGGUUACAUAACUGAAAUCUUAAAUCUACAAAUCAGUUUUCACAGGAAAGUUUGGUAAUGUCAGGGCCGGCCCGCAGGACAGGCCACCCAAGCGGUGGCUUGGGGCACCACAAUUUUUUUUUUUUAUAAGGUUUUUUUUUUUUUGGGUAAAAAGGUCCAUAAAAUGAAAAUAUUUGGUAAAAACUAAAGUCUUUUUCGAAAAAAAUAAAUAAAAUAGGGCCCAAACAAUUAAAUUUGAAUGUAAUAAUAUUCAAAAUAUCAUUAUUUUUGUAUAAUUUAUUAAAAAUAGGUCAAAAAAAAUUUUAGCCCUAAAACUUAUAAAUAUAUUGGGCUUCAUUUUAUUUUUCGUGUAGGGCCUCACAAAUGUUCGGACGGGCACUGUGUUAGACCAAUGUGUUUCAAGGCGUUGUCGGCAAUGGAUGCAAAAUGUUGACAACAAAUGUUUCCGCUAAAUCCGUUAUUUCCUCCUGUUCUCAAAAAUGAAUGUUCUCGCAUCAACAUAGCCGCUCCUACACAAGUGAAGUAGCUAUGGCCUAUGGGACCAUCAUUCAGAAUGUUUUAAAUUAGGCAAUUAAAUUCAUGAAUUUCCCUAUUUCAGAUGUUGGCUUGUUGGUUUGUUCUAGGUUUUAGUAUCUACAAUAAUAUUAAAAAAUUCAAGUUUCUAGCUUAAUCUCACAACUAUCAUCUAUAUAUAUAUACAUAGCUUGUUUAGAUAUUAGCUUGUUUUAAAACCGGAGAUUUCCAUCUACGUCCAAACCGAAUGGUUAUCUGGUUUUUAACCGCCGGUUAUUAUCUAUCGGUUAGGACUCGGUUCGAGUCGCUUCCUCUCCUCUGUCUGUGCGACUGAAUCGUCGUCUUCAUUAGUAGCUCGAGCCGAUUGAUCACUUGUCGAUGGGAACGGAGUUUCAACAGAUUGCGCCAUGGAAUGAGAGCUUCUAGCUUCGAAAGGCCCUUUCUUUCAAUGAACCCAGGUGCUUAAAAUUCUUAAUUUCAUCCCUUUUUCGAACGAUUGAGUUCUUUACCAAUGACUCAUCUUCAUCCUUUUGUAAAACAUAAUCUAGGGGUAUAUGAUUAGUGUCAAUGGAGCAAUAGUCAAGUCACAAGACGUACGAAAUGUAAGUUGAUCUCGUCGUAUAUGACCUUUUCUUUAGUUUUCCCACUCAAACUUUAUUGUAAAGUAUGUGAAAAUUAUUCAAAUUAUACACAAGUCACAAUUUGUUCAAAGAUUUUGUUAUACCAUUUCUUUUGUCUGGCAGAUUAAGCAAGGUUUUUUUUUAAAAAACACAACUUUCUUGUUUCAAGGACUUGGUGUCUUAUUAUAAUAUAUAACAAUUCCGUUCUGUUGAAUGGACCCUUUAUUUGUUGACUUUGUAGCUAUAUUGAGUUUCCAUUUUGAAUGACUUGUGGUUAAAUUCUUGAACUGAUUAUGUGUUGAUCAGGACCAUUUUUGCUCUGCUCUCUUGUUUUUUGUAAAAUCUUUCUUCUUUCUCUUUUUAUGGGCAACUCAAUCUUUUUACUUUCAUUGAUAUUUGGUCUCCCUUUCAUUGUUGAUUCAGUUAACUUUAAGUGUACUAGUUUUCGUCCAGGUGAUCCUGAGAAUGUGGUUUACCACGGGGAUGCAAUGCCCGAUGGUGCGGUAAACUUCAACAACGUAGAGUAUAUAGCUCGUGUUGGUUGGGUUACUUAUGCUGAGAAAGUGCCUCUAUGGAAUCCUAAAACUGGUAAGUCUACGGAUUUUAAUACCAGUUUUUCUUUCAGAAUUGAUACCCGUAACCUUUCGAAUUACGGUCAUGGGAUCUGCUUUUUUCUUGCUCCUGUUGGAACUCAACUCCCUGUGAACUCAGCUGGUGGUUUCUUGGGUCUUUUUACUCGAAUCGAAGAUCACAUAUCUUCGUUUCCGCUUGUUCAUAUUGAGUUUGACUCAUUCAGUAACAAAGAAUGGGAUCCUACAACUGUUGGAUCUCAUGUGGGAAUCAAUAAUAACUCGCUUGUUUCGUCUAACUACACCUCUUGGAAUGCAAGCUCACACAGCCAAGAUAUUGGUCAUGCAAAGAUCUCAUAUAACUCUGUUACUAAGAACUUGAGUGUGUCUUGGGCUUAUGAAUUAACGUCUGAUCCUCUGGAGAGUGUAGGCAUUUCUUAUAUCAUUGAUCUUGCAAAGGUUUUGCCACCAGAUGUUACGGUCGGGUUUUCAGCCGCUACUGGAUCAAACAUAGAGGGACAUAGACUUUUAUCAUGGGAGUUCAGCUCAAGUUUGGAUAGUGAGAAAGCCUCUAUCAGGAAAGGACUGAUAGUUGGCAUUUCGGUUUCUGGGUUUGUUUUUCUGUUCUCUUUGGUCACAAUUGUGGUUGUCUUGUUGCAGAAGCAUAGAAAAAGAAAAGCAAAAGAGAUAAAAGAUUUGGUAUCGUUAAACGAAGACCUUGAACGGGAUGCAGGACCACGGAGGUUUGUUUAUAAGGAUCUUGUUAUAGCAACCAACAAAUUCUCAGCCCAGAGGAAGCUGGGUGAAGGAGGGUUUGGAGCCGUUUAUAGAGGUUACUUGAACGAAAUGGAUAUGAUGGUUGCAGUGAAGAAAUUGUCUGGUGGUUCCAAGCAGGGAAAGAAAGAGUUUGUAACCGAAGUUAAGAUCAUUAGCAAACUGCGACAUCGAAACCUGGUGCAACUCAUUGGUUGGUGUAAUGAAAAAAAUGAGUAUUUACUGAUAUAUGAGUUCAUGCCGAAUGGUAGCUUGGACACUCACCUCUUUGGGAAAAGACCCCAUCUCUCCUGGGACAUACGAUACAAGAUAGCGCUCGGUCUAUCCUCUGCGCUUCUAUAUCUUCAUGAGGAAGGAGAUCGGUGUGUAUUGCAUAGGGACAUCAAGGCAAGCAAUAUCAUGUUGGACAUCAAUUUCAAUGUAAAAGUAGGUGACUUUGGACUGGCUCGAUUGAUGGACCAUGGACUAGGUUCCCAUACAACAGGGAUAGCAGGAACUUUUGGGUACAUGGCUCCAGAAUACGUGAUUGAUGGAAGGGCAAGCAAGGAAUCCGACAUCUAUAGCUUUGGAAUUGGUAUACUAGAGAUUGUCACAGGGAAAAAGUCGGUCGAUCUUUCACAAGAAAACACUGAGACUGAGGCUGAGACGAGUCUUGUGGAGAGAGUGUGGGAUUUGUAUGGAAGACAAGAACUUAUGUCAGCCAUUGACAAGAAACUCGGUGAGGAUUUCGAUAAGAAACAAGCCGAGUGUUUACUGGUUGUGGGGUUAUGGUGUGGUCAUCCUGAUAGAAACUCAAGGCCUUCUAUAAGACAAGCGAUCCAAGUACUGAACUUGGAGUCACCAUUGCCUCAGCUUCCUCCGAAGAUGCCCUCUGCUACGUUUCACAUCUCACCUUCUUCUUCUCUCUUGCUUAGCUCAAACAGAGUUUCAGUCAUUCAAGUUAGUCGGGAGCAGAUGAUGAGAGAUGAGGAAGAUCUUGGUGGCCUUUGCGGUUCAGAAACUUGAGUGUAAUCCUAACUUACAUAAUUGCCAAAGAUCUUUGUCUGUGUGUGUAUGUGUACUAUGUGGUUUUGGUUUUGCAUGAUUUCUAUUAUUUGAAUAGGAGGAUUUACCUUUGCCUCCUCCUUCCGUUUACUUUUGAUAGUUUAUCUUUGCCUCUGCCUGUUAUUUUUUUUUUUAAUCAAAGUAUUUGCUCUGUUUUUGAGAUAUUUUUCAAGGAAACAACCAGGCCAGACAUUCCGUUAACUCUUCGGUUUCAGUUCGGUUGUGUUCGGUUUCAGUUAGUUUGGAUAUGGUAAUAUAAUAACUAUCCGGAUACUUGAGAAAUUUCAGUUCGGAUUGGUUUGGUUUCUUUUCUUUCGAUUCGGUUCGGAUAGUUGAAUAGAUAAACAUAACUAACUGAAAUUUUAUCGAGUUCUGUUUGCUUCGGUUUCUUUUUAAUCCAAAAUAACCCGAAAUUAACAAAAUUAAACCGAAAAAAUACAAAAAGAAAUACAAAAAGGGAAAAAUUAGUAAGAAAAUUAAAAUUUAGAUCGAUUUUGCAAAAGAGUAUUUAACUUUGAUAAAUAUAACUAAUAAUAUUUGGAUAUAUUGAUUAUUUAAAGUAUUUGAUUGCUUUGAGUCUAAAAAUAAUUAACAUUUUUGAGUUUAUAAUUAUCGUUUUGGAUAUUAUUUUUGGAUAUAUUCUAGGUGUUUGAAUAUUUUGGUUAACCGUUUGGUUAUUAGCUCGGUUCGGUUCGGUCGGUUACUCGGUUACCGGUUCGGAUACGGUUUGGUUCUAUUGAAAUUCAAGAUAAUCCAAUUAAAUUAGAAAAGAUAGAAAAAAAUAGGGCCAAAAAAAACCCAUGUUUUAUUGAAAUUCAAGAUGCAAAAAAAAAACCCAACACUUAACUAGAAUAUGAAAUCCAAAACAUAAAUAGAAAAAAAACGCAAAAGAAGAUCGAAGCAAGCGAACUAGACGGGAAUCAUUAAGGGAAGUAAUGAAUAUUGAAAAUUCAGAACAACGAAUUUGUUUUCCCACUGAUUCCAGUAGAGUUUCAGAACAUGGCCUUCUCCGACAUCUAACGAAUGCUUCAUAGUACUCCAACCAGACCCGAAAUAAUAUUUAGGCUUGUCGAUACCUGAAAGUUUUAGAGUUACUGUGUAUAAAUCGUCUUCCAGUAAGUCGUGGACUUGCACUUCAACACCGUUUUCCAAAUCUUGAUCGUUAACAUUCAUCCUCGUGAGGACAGACAUCACUUCUGCUUUUGGUAAUACUACAUUACCAACAACAUCACUCUUUGUUAGCACUUUCGUUAUGAUCAUAGCCGGAUCUAAUGGAUCGUUAUAAUUCAUCUUGCUAAAUUUUUAAGAAAAAAAAUGCUUUUAGAAGUAGAAGAAUAUUUGCAUAUUUUUUUGCACUCUAUUCAAACAUAUAUAUAGGAGAGUACUUAGCCUAAAAAGAAAGGAAAAUUACAAAAGAAAACAAAAAAAAAUUGGAACUCUUCCUUUAACAAAUUGGAAAAUUGUCUAAAUAUCUAGCAUUUCCUUAAUAUGUCAAUGGAAAGAAAACUUUUUGCAAAUUACUGAUUUAGAAAUUUUUCAUUUUGUAAAUUGAGAAAAAAGUUUUGUGCAAAUUAUUGAUUUAGAUUCAUUUCCAUUUUGUAACUUGGGAAGAAAGCUUUAUGCAAUUUCCAUGUUCAUUCUCAUCUCUUUCGAGGUUUUCAACCAAUACAUUGGCCCAAACUAAUAUAGUAUUUACAAUAGCAUUUUACAAGCCCAAAGUAAUCAAACUCAAUAAAAAGUAUAACAAAAUCUGAAAUUUAAUUUUAAUAGUUGCUAAGCUUGUUGUAGGAGAUCAUUGGGCGUGGUAUUCGAAUUGGUGGCUUAUAGUAUCUAGACCAUGUUCAUACGAGUCGUGCAAAUCUUGCAAAAGGACCCAUAUGGUUGUGGCAUCGUCAGUUAGGUAGCCCAAAAGCUACAUUUUAGUUAUAACCUUUGCUGUUGUAUAGUAUAAAAUAGGAUAAAUGUUACAGCUUUUAGUCCUUUGAAUACAUCUUAUUUACUACAAUGUUAACCGUCAACAUAGUAUAAAGUCUAUUCCAAAGGUUGUUGACAUAACGGACGAAUCUUAAAAUGUAAUUAACUCUUGUAAUAAAUAAUAAUGACUAUUAACGUAUACGUUUAAUUUGAGUUCCUCUAUAAAUUGUUUGUUUCUUUUGAUAACCAAAACCAUGACAAUCAAACAAUUCACUCUUAAAAUAAGGAGACGAUAAGUGCAAUGGAAGGUAGGAUCCAAGUGCUUCUCUCGCUGUUGAAGUCGGGGCUAGCCGAGGUCUAGACCAUACCAUAAUUACAACAUUCCAUUCUUGGUUCUUUAGUUGAUUCUCGCAAAAAUGUGUGUAUAUGAAAUAGGAAGUUAGGGAGACCAUGGAAGGUAAAGUCGACCGAUGCAAUAUGGCGGCAAUGUGAGCAUAGUCGAAUUUCACCAGCCAUGGUAUCUCUUCUCCCUUUUUCAUCUUCCCACCGGAUUCACUCAAGGCUCAUCGCUUAUUCCAUUAUCCUCUAUGUAACAUGCCGCGUCUUCAGCUGCGGCCAUAACCAAUGCUAAGCCACUAUAACAGGUUUGUUGUUGAUCUCUUCAUCGACAUUAACGCUCUUUAUAUAUUCCUUAAAACUCUCGAUUGCAUUUCGAGUAAUGGUUAAUUUUCUAGUGCGUUUAAACAUUGACGUUACAAUAUAAACUUCUAGUUUUAAUAUUCACAAGCAUGGCUGGUUAUUUCAAUUCACAUAUACUGUUUUAUCAUACAUCUACAAUACUAUGAAUUUUAUUAUCAUAUAGAAAUAACGUAGCUCUCAUCACAGCCCUGUAACUCUAGUUAACCUAUAAGCAUUUUAACUGAUGUAUACUUUCCCCUAGCGACACUUGUCAUCAUGCAUGAAAUAAAACUUAAUGGCUCGGUUAUCACCGAUUCAUCUUGACCGACCACAAAGAUCCAACGGCUAGCUAGAGACGCGAUUAUACAAGUGUUCUUAACUUGUUAUAUUCUUACAUAAACGGCCAAAAAGUUUCAGAAAAAUAGAAACGGCGUAGGAAGCUACUAUGACGGCGAUUCCAAAUGUUAUCGAUAUUGAAUCUUCGUCUUCGCUUUGUCAAGAGACGGUGUCUCCGUCAGUUGUUGAGACUGCGAAGCUAGACCACGUCGUGUCACUAAUCAAGGAAGAGGAGGAUGACGUCGUUUCACUUGGUUUUUGGAAAUUGCACGAGAUAGGUUUAAUUACACCGUUCUUGAGAAAGACGUUUGAGAUAGUUGAGGACACAGUAACAGACCCGGUUGUAUCAUGGAGCCUGACCCGUAAAAGCUUUAUCAUUUGGGAUUCUUACGACUUCUCGGAGAAUCUUCUUCCUAAAUACUUCAAGCACAAGAACUUCUCCAGUUUCCUCCGCCAGCUUAACUCCUAUGUAAGCACACAAAACGAGUUUUUACUUUUUAGCUAUGUUUCUUGUUUUACAGGCUUUGUAAAAACUAGGGUUUUUUGUAGGGUUUUAAAAAGGUUGAUUCAGAUAGGUGGGAAUUUGCUAACGAAGGGUUUCAAGGAGGGAAGAAAUAUUUGCUUAAGAACAUCAAGAGGAGAAGCAAAAGUACUAAAUGUAACAAGGAAGCGAGCACCACUACCACCACCACCACAGAGACAGAGGUUGAGUUAUUGAAGGAGGAACAGAGUCCAAUGAGAUCGGAGAUGUUGAAGUUGAAACAACAACAGGAAGAAUCUCAACAUCAGAUGGUCACUGUGCAGGAGAAGAUCCACGGAGUUGAAUCCGAACAACAACAUAUGCUUAGUUUCUUUGCAAAGUUGGUUAAAGAUCAAAGAUUUGUGGAGAGGCUGUUGAAAAAGAGGAAGAUGAAACAACAGAGAGAGCUCCAAGCAGCUGAAUUCGUGAAGAAGCUCAAGUUGCUUCAGGAUCAAGAAACUCAAAACAACUUGCUAGAUGUAGAAAACCAUCUGGUCAUUAGAGAAUUUAUGGCCAUGGCUGCAACACAACACAAUCCCAAGCCUGAUAUUUUGAUGAACAAUGAAAGCGGGAAUAGGAGAUGUCAGCUUAACACAGAGGACCUACUUGUUGACGGUGGUUCGAUGGAAGCAAAACACGUAACAUAGCAUUAGAGAAGAUACACAAUACCAUGCUUUAUCCGAAUAUGUACCUUAUGUUGUAUGGUUUUAUGUCUAUACAAAAAAGGGACUUGUACAGAGUCGUCUAGAUUACUGUAGCUCUGGUAAAAAGGGACUUGUAAAAAGUGUAGAUCUGGUUUACUGUCUUUGAUAGCUCUCAUUUAUUAUAUUUCAUGAUACAUGUAUAUCAGAAACAUAUCUUCCAUUACUAAUAAACUUUUUAACUAGUGAGUAGUGUGACUAGUGUCUAGUGAUCUUGUUUGUAAUCCUAACUCACAUAGUUGUCAAAGAUAUUUGUGUGUGUGGGUGUAGCAAGUGAACCAUGUGUGUCUGGUUUUGGUUUUCAUUUAAAAGUUCUUUAUUCAAUUUGAUUGAUAACUACACUUGUGUUAUGUAGCAAGAAAAUAAAGUAAAGAGUGAAAAUAGAAGAAAUAAAAAGUUCAGCAAGGGUGAAAGCAAGAAAAUAAAGUAAAGAGUGAAAAUAGAAGAAAUAAAAAGUUCAGCAAGGGUGAAAAAAAGGAACCUGUCAGACCGCCGUGCAACCACCCCGGCAAGGUAGAACCGAGCCGAGUAACGAUCCUCUACAGUACCGGAUGCGUCUAAAGACGAUCGUAGCCGUCAAUCACGCUCUAGUCGCACGGUCAUGGUUCAUCAACCAGGGUUAAGGGCCUGUCUCUUGAGAAAUCAAGGAAACAGAGGUACGAGCCUAUAGAACAGAUCCUGUUCAAGUAAGGUCGUGACCAUCAGUACUUUGUAGCCAUAUAUAAAGAAGUCGUUGUUUCACUAGCUUACCGAUGUGGGACACAAAAUCAGUAAGACAAAGCAAUCAUAAGCUGAUGGGCCUAAUUGUAAACAAACCCAUUCAUGUUCAAGCCCAAUAAUUAGAAAGUGGCAUUAUUAGGAAAAAGCAGAGUUUUAAAUUCAGACGUUGUUUCUUCUUCCUCUUUGAUCAAUAUGCCACGUCCGCAUCACUCUCCACGUUAUUGGUUUAUCUCUAUCGAUCAUCGUCUCUCUCUUGCAGUCUCUGACGUGAAGAAGCCAUGGAAGAGAAGAAGAAGAAACUUGAAGACUUAAAGUAUCAAUCAGGUUUCGGUAACCACUUCUCGUCGGAAGCAAUAGCCGGAGCUUUGCCUUUAGAUCAGAACAGUCCUCUUCUUUGUCCUUACGGUCUUUACGCCGAGCAGAUCUCCGGUACUUCUUUCACUUCUCCUCGCAAGCUCAAUCAAAGAAGGUUCCUUUCCUCUACAACUGUUUUCGAUUUGUAAUUUUUGGAUGAUUUCGUUGAAUUGAUCUUCUUCUUCUUCUUCAGUUGGUUGUACCGGAUUAAACCGUCGGUUACACAUGAACCGUUCAAGCCUCGUGUACCAGCUCAUAAGAAGCUUGUGAGUGAGUUUGAUGCAUCGAAUAGUCGUACGAAUCCGACUCAGCUUCGGUGGAGACCUGAGGAUAUUCCUGAAUCGGAGACUGAUUUCGUUGAUGGGUUAUAUACUAUUUGUGGAGCUGGAAGCUCGUUUCUUCGCCAUGGUUUCGCUAUUCACAUGUAAAAAUAUCUUCUUUUUUUCUUGGGUAUUUUUGGUUUAGAUCAGUGAUAGAUAAAGUAAUGAUCUUUGUAUUCAUUUUUUUGAAGGUAUGUGGCUAACAAAGGAAUGAAAAACUCUGCAUUUUGCAACGCUGAUGGUGACUUCUUGUUAGUUCCUCAAACAGGAAGUAAGUUCUUUACUUUCAAAUUGUGUCUAUAUAAGUUCAUUGUUAUAAAGUUCACAUCUUUUGGUAAGAAAGUCAGUCAUGUAUGAGGAAUGGAUUCAAGAUCGUCUUUGAUGAAUUCUGAUAUUUUUGAGUGGGUGUUUUAGGGCUAUGGAUUGAAACUGAGUGUGGAAGGCUUUUGGUAACUCCUGGUGAGAUUGCUGUUAUACCACAAGGAUUCCGUUUCUCUGUAGAUUUACCGGAUGGGAAGUCGCGUGGUUAUGUUGCUGAAAUCUAUGGGGCUCAUUUUCAGCUUCCUGAUCUUGGACCGAUAGGUAUUCUUGAGUUCUUAGAUUCAGCCUGAAUAACAUGGAUUAUCCGCAAGAAUCUUAUCGUUGGAUGUGUACAGGUGCUAAUGGUCUUGCUGCACCAAGAGAUUUUCUUGCACCAACUGCGUGGUUUGAGGAAGGUUUGCGUCCUGAAUACACAAUUGUUCAGAAGUUUGGCGCUGAACUCUUUACUGCUAAACAAGAUUUCUCUCCAUUCAAUGUGGUUGCCUGGCAUGGCAAUUACGUGCCUUAUAAAGUGAGUACAUGGUUUAUGGAGCCUAAUCUUGUAAAAGAUUAAUGCAUUUUUUUCUGAUAACAUCAAUUUCUGUCUGCAGUAUGACCUGCAGAAGUUCUGUCCAUACAACACUGUCCUUUUAGAUCAUGGAGAUCCUUCUAUAAAUACAGGUUGGUGGUCCUCUGCGCUAAACCUAUUCUUCUUUCUGUUUCGUUAUGGUUGCUUACUGUAAAUCACACUCUCUGGGGGAAUUAUUGUACUCUCAGUUCUUACAGCACCAACGGAUAAACCUGGUGUGGCCUUGCUUGAUUUUGUCAUAUUCCCUCCUCGAUGGUUGGUUGCUGAGCAUACUUUUCGACCUCCUUACUAUCAUCGUAACUGCAUGAGUGAAUUUAUGGGCUUAAUCUACGGUGCAUACGAGGUAAACUGCUUUAAGUUCCUGCUACUGAAAAUCAUUAGCUGGCUUGUGUUCUCCUCCUCCUAAAAUCUGUAAACUGACUCCACCAUUCACAGGCCAAAGCUGAUGGAUUUCUCCCUGGCGGUGCAAGUCUUCAUAGUUGUAUGACACCACAUGGUCCAGAUACUACCACAUACGAGGUGUCAAUCCAUCUUAUGCAACAGUAAACUACACAUUUGAUUUCAUUUUCCUCCGAGAUCAUGUCUAAAUUUAACCCCUGAAUGUGAAAUACAAAUUAAGUCUGAAGCAUUUUUAUUAUUAUUUUGUAGGCGACAAUUGCUCGAGUAAAUGCAAUGGCUCCUUCUAAACUCACAGGUACAAUGGCUUUCAUGUUUGAAUCAGCCUUGAUCCCUAGAGUCUGCCAUUGGGCUCUGGAGUCUCCUUUCCUCGACCACGACUACUACCAAUGUUGGAUUGGCCUCAAGUCCCAUUUCUCACGCAUAGACUUGAACAAGACAAAUGUUGAACCAACAGAGAAAGAACCAGGAGCUUCGGAGUAAAGAAACACAAUUCACCUGGACCACUUUCAAUACCCAAGCUGUACAGACUUUUACCAUAUACUUGUAUAAGAAAGAAGCAUACAACAAGUACAUAUGUAAUAAGUAGGUAGUAUUUCUUCAUAUCACUUUAAUUACAUCAUUUGUACUCUGAAGCUAAUAUAACGGUGUUGGUUUAGAUACUAAUGAAUAUAACUGUGCCAUUUAGAUUCAGGCUACAACAUCAGUCAGUUUCACUUUCAUCUUCAUGAUGCCUACUUGCACUAAGAUUUCUUUCUUUGACUGUUCUACUUUCAAAACAGUCGCUUUUUUACCAAGAGAAGAAACAAACACCGAGCUACCGACUUCAGGAACCUUUUGAGCUGCAGCUUCUGUUAAUGCCAAAACAUGGUUCAGUUUCAAAGAUCAUAACCAGAUAAUAGCUAUCUUUUAAAUGGCUUAAACUUAUUUAAAUACCAGAAAUUGGUCGUCUCUCUACCACAGAUGAUGAACGAAUUCCACUAUCUUCAUCCUUUGUCGUUUCGACUUUUGUUUGGAGUUGCGUAGCUACCUUUGACUGAGAUGAUUGUGCAGCAGAUGAGCGAAACUGUUGCAAUGUUCUGCGAAGUGUAGAACGAGUCAUCGAACCAGCUUGAGUUAGUUCUUGUCUCAUUUUUCGUCUCUCUUUGGUGGCAUGGUCGUUAAUGUUCUUUUGUGCUAUGAGUAGAUUAUCAUGAAGCUCUCUUGAUAGCCUAGAACCGAAAAAGAAAAACAUGAAUAUAAAGCUCAUAAGAGAGGACAAGAUUUAAUGCUGUUAUAUAGAAUCUUACCUUAUAUAAACACGUGACUCAUUCAAAAGUCUCUGAUAUUCUUGCUUGUACCGUUCCAUGUCAAGUAUGACCUCAUUAAUCUCAGCACUUGCAGAGCCAUAGAGUUCACGAGCACUCUCGAUGAUAUCACAUGGAAGCCCCAACCUUUCAGCUAUGUUUAUUGCAUUCGAACGACCUGAAAAUCAUUUUCAAACGUGGGUUGCUGAAGCAUAUUAACACUGAUUCCAUUUUAGGGGUACACAAAUCGAUCAUUAAAGAGUCCAGAUGAGCAUAUAGCUAAACCUGGUACUCCCCAUAAGAUUUUGAAAGUGGGUUUUAGGUUCAGGUCAUCAAACUCCAUGCAAGCAUUCUCAAAGGCGGAAUUGCUACAAUAGAUAUGGAAAGAUAUAAAAGUGAAUACUCUUUAAAAAUAGGGUCAUUCAAGAAAUAUGUCAGGUGCAGUUAUAACCUGUAUUUAAGCGUCUUAAGCUCUCCAUGAUGUGUGGUUGCCAUCGUGAGUAAAGAACCGCUUUCUGCAAAAGAUUCGAGAAUUGCCAUCCCUAAUGCAGCUCCUUCAAGGGGAUUUGUUCCAGCUCCAACCUGUUAUUAUUAGCAGGCAAGACUUUAAAGCAGAUUCUUCCAAACAUAUCCCGACCUUAAAUCUCCUAAACUAUAUUAUCAUGACCAGUCUUUUAACUUACUUCAUCUAACAACACAAGUGAUCUGCUUGUUGAAUGCGAGAGAAUUUCCUGCAAGUUUACCAGUCAGAGGAAAAGAAACAUGAGUUGUAUAUAUAUCAAGAGAGUUACAUCUUCCAAACUAAUUUAACCAAUCAUUCCAAACCAAUAAAUAUCAACGCUGAUAAUUUAUCUAAGAAUCAUGUUGUAAGAUUUAGCGAGUCCAAACUUCAUAGGAAUAAAGCAUUUUGAAUCGUAGAAAAAGGGAACAUAAAGUGAUAUAAAAGGUGUGACAACAACAAAGAACAGACUUACACUUAUUUGUUUCAAAUGACCAGAAAAGGUAGAAAGUGACUGCAGCAAAGAUUGUUCAUCACCAAUAUCAGCAUAAAUGUUGUCAAACCAAGGUAUGCGUGCAGAUUCAGUUGCUAGAACAUAAAGACCUACAAAAACCAUAACAAUCAUUUAAAUUGAUAUAGUAUUAAGUGACUGAAAUCUCUCUCUCUCUCUCUCCCAAGGGAUUUAUAUUUUUGGUGGAGUUUUGAAUUAACAGAAGAAAUUUUAAGUUUCAUAUGCCUUACCUGAUUUUGCCAUCAUCGCAGCGAGUCCAACUGAUUUCAAGCAAAUGGUUUUACCUCCUGUAUUUGGACCCGUAAUAACCAAAACUCUAGUGCCCUUAGAGAUCUGGAAAUCAGCUGGAAUUGGUGGAGUUCCUGAUAAUACUGUGUCUGCCUAUAAAAGCAACCAUGUAUAUAUUAACUUCACCUAAAACGCAUCAUCAAUCGACUCUAUGAUCAUAACAUUUGAGGAACUUACUGUUUUAUGAAAUUUUAUCGUCUCCCGCGUCUUUCUUAUGCCUUUCUUGUGUUGGUAAAGUAAUAGAGGAUGAUAACAUCUAGGUAGAUACAGCAACCACUCUUUUCUAGGAAGCGAUUUCUCACUGGAUAAGUUACUCUGCAGUGAGUUUUCUCCAGCGGACAAAGAUUCGACCCCAUCUUCAGGUGGCAAGUAUAUAUCAGGAUGUGCACCACCAUAUGCACGACUGUAAGUUGCUCGAGCGUUAAUCUAGGCGAAAAAAACAUACUAUAAAACCUCAUGUUUGGAAGCUCAUGUUCCUGAGAUUUGUCAUACUGAUUUUUGCUUCAAUGGAAAAAAAAAAAGUUGGUAUAAAAGCAUAAUUACCACAUCCAGCUGAAUCGAGUAGCUCAACACCACCUCGAUUUGAUAAAGAUCAUCUUGCAUCUGUUUUGCUUGCAUCAAAAUGAACAAAAAUGUCAACAAGCAGAAAACAAUAAGAAAGAAAAAUAUAGAAUUCUAACUUUAAAAAUUAAUACUCAAUUACCUUUUCUGUUAACAUUGAAAGAAUCUCUGCCUCAGCCUUUGCAACUGAUGCUCUCGCACUUUGAAGGUCAUCAUUCAUAGAGACCGCAGCUAUUGGCUCCGCCACAGUCCCUCCACCUGAACCACUGAAACACAUAUUACCUUCAAGAGAUAGAAUAUGAAAAUAAAUCAUUGAAAGAGAAGCAUAACUUCUCAAUAACUUGGUCAAUGGUAAUGAACUCUUUGUUAAUAAAUCAUUGAUAAAUUGCAAUCCAAAACUCUGAAUCUUCUUUGCUAACUGAAAUCUACAAAUUCAAUUUUACCUGGAAAGCAAAAGACCAUUAACAGAAGUUAGCUGAUUCGAGCUCAUUUGUAUACACCAUCUUCCAUCAAUUUCAGCCGCUACCUGGAAUUUUAUUUUGAAUAAUUAAUAAGACCAACUUCAGAAAAUGAAGAUUUGCUCAUAUACCUACACCACUUUAAGAGAAUGCUUACCAGGACAGAUUCGUCAUCCUUUUGGCUCCUUAUGAUAGCAUCCAGCAGUUGCUGCAGCUGAAAGGAGACCGCAUGAAGGUUUCAGACAAUAUUACUUAACAAAGUUAUCUUGCUCAAUACAUGUUUAUAUUUAAAGAACAAAAGUUAUCAAAGAAAACUCGAACUUUAUUUUGACAAUCUUCAAUUCACAGUUACAAAGAAAAAACUAUCUUGACCUUUCUUUCAAGUGUUUGUACUCGUUCACGUGAUUGUCUCAGGGCACUACUCUGAAACAAUAAAGAUGAGUUCAACAUAAGGAUCAUGCCUCUUCUCUUGACAAUGUAGUGAAAGCGAGACAAAGAACAAACCGCGGAAUCUUUGAUUGUACCAUCAGGAUCAAUAACUUGUUCAACCAACUUGACAAAUGAUCUAUUUAUCACAGGGUGCAUUAUCUGCAAACACAAAGUGAAUAUGAGGGAUCCACCACAAUGUUGAAGUUAAAAAACUAUCAAAAAAUUCGAGAGAAAACUGCAAAUACCAAUUCAGAUAGAGGCAUAAACCGUUUGUACCAAUCUCCAUCUUGCUUAAUGGCAGCUUUCAAAUCAAACUGCAACGUAUCGAAAAAUCGAAGAAGAGAAGCAAUUUCAAGUGCUUGGUCUGCUCGUAAGGAAAGCCUCCUCUUAGCAUGCCGAAUUCCCGAUUCAACCUUCACACAAAUCAAUAUCUACAUCAAAAACUACACAAUUCAUGCAACGAUCAUCACUUUAGAGAUUUAAGGAUGAUGAAAUUUACGAGGGAGAUAUGAAUACUGGAGAGGUCAAGACAGAAGGAACCAUGUUCAAGCAUUUUAAUGGCGGCAUCUGUUUCAUCCAAAAGCUUCAAACUUUCACUGAAACUCUGGUCAAGAGACCAAAGCUUUUUCUGAAGACCAACAAUGUAUGUGUCAAUCAAUAUAAAGCAGGGAAUCAACGGCUACAGAGAAAACCCAAAAAAAAAAAUCAAACCUUUGUAGCUUCACGACCUAAAGAAGUACGAGCAAAAGAAGCGACAACAUCACAGAGCUUGUCCCAUUCCAAUACCCUCAAGCUAUCGGUUUGAGAUUUAGACUUUGAACGGCAAACAAGAGUCGGAGAAGAAGACGAGAUUAAACUCAAAUUUACUCUGUUUCUGUUUCUGUUUCCGAUAGAGUUUCUUAUCACUAAGGCACAGUUGUUGCAGAAAGCUAAAGUCUGCAUUUUUAUUUUCCCUUUUGGUUUUGCAGAGAAGAAUUUGUAUCAGAUCCAAUUUCAAUGAAUCCAAAAUUUCCCAAUUUCAUCAUAUUUUAUAACCUUAUCUUCACAAAACGGAAAAUGGAAGUUUAUGAUGUUUAAGAUGAUUUGGGAAAGUUAAAAUUAAUAACUUUACCAUGACUUAGAACUGAGAAAGAUAGAACCAUAAGAUUAAUAUGUGAAAGAUGUUUCAUAGGAGGAGGUAACACAAAUCACAACAAGUCAAUUGUUUCAUUAACGUACAUGUGGUAGCAAUAGCAAUACAACAACAGUGGUGAGAAACAUAUACAUAUUACAGAUUUGGGGUUUUGAGAAAUGAAAAUGCGAAAGAAUCAAAGGGUUACAAGAGGCUCUUCGUUGGUUUUGGUAUCAUUGGCUGCUACAACAGCCUCCUCUUGUUUUGUUGGCUCAGUCUCCUUAACAGUUUCGACGACAGCUUCUUCGGUCUUCACCGCCUCUGGAGCUGGCUCAGCCUCAGCAGGCUUGGCUUGCUCAACCUCCGCAGGCUUGGCUGCCUCAGCCUCGGCAGGCUUAGCUGGUUCAGCCUCGGCCGGCUUGGCUGCCUCAGCUUCCUUCUGUGUCUCUGCUACAUCUCCAGCAGACUCUUCCUUCUUCUCUGCAACAACUUCAUCUGCCUUCUCCUGUAAAAUCAACACAACAAUCACACAUCUUUCACCUAAAACAUAGACAAAAUGGAUAAAAAGCGAUCGUCUCUAAUGAACUUGUUCUACAAACCUGAGGUAUGGUUUCGGUUUCAACGUUCUUGGACUCGACAACAGUCUUUUCGGUUUCAGGGAUAUCAGAUUCCUUAGGUUUGCUCGCACAGCCUCCCAUGGUGUUUAAAGAAAGAAAUCGGUUUGAAACGAAAACAAAUUUACACAAUGGGAAGAACUGUGGAGCUAAAAGAUGAAACUCCUUUUUCUGAUUCCUUUCAAGAAGCCAAAACUGUCUGUUUUUUUUUUUCCUUAUUAGAGGCUGAGCAAAUGUAGGAGAAGACAACAAAGAGAUAUAUAUAGUGGUUUGUACCAACACAACACAACACAAAGCUAUUUCAGGAAAAAGACUAAAAAUUUCAUGUCACCUCAGAUUCUUUAAGGCUCUUCUCUGUCAACGACCUAUUCAUCAGGAGAGCAAACAAACCUUAUUCUCAACCCCUCUUGCGUUUUUGGUUUUAGCCAAAAACUCUUCCUGUGCCAAUUAGAUUCUCGACAAUACCAACAAAAUAGCAAAAGAAAACAUAACAAGAGUUGGAUAUUAAUAUAAAGAUAACAAGAGCCAACAUUUAAAGACCAAAUCUGGUGCAAAAACUCUUUCAGAAAUUUGAGAUUAGAUCUGUCUUCUAGUUUGCAAAAUGGUUAUAAAGUACGAUAACUGUUUCUCAUAUGAAGAAAAGAAUAACUGAAAAUGGCUAUAAGCCUGCACAAGUCAAAAGAAUUUUUGUUCCCUAGGUUCAGCUUCUAUGAAAGUUUGGCAACAACCAUGUCGGUAGAGGAUUCUACUCCUGAAGUUUCUGUGAAAGCACUGUUGGGACCUUUGUUGACAAGCCUUUGUACAUUGUUAAAGCUUGAGCGAUCAUGCCAGCAGGAUUGUCAACAGAACUUGGAAGCAGCAUUGUUGUACCCUAACAAGAACAAAAAAUACAACUCUGUCAGAUUAUCCCAAGGGACGACGACAUUAGAAAAGUAGAUGGGAUCCAGUAAUGUUGUGCUUACCUCCUUAGCAAUUUUGCCAAAAGCUUGAAUGUAUUGCUCCGCAACUCUCAAACUUGCAGCCUGCAAUAUCACACCACAAUUAAGCAUAUGAGGUUCUCAUUUGGAAAGCAAAACAAAUAAACUUAAUAAGAGUCAACAUUUGCAAGUCCAAUAAGCCACUGAAAUCUCUAUUCAAAAUCUAGAGAGAAUCAUUUAUGGGAAAACAGGGUAGAAGACAUAAUGCAUUCGCAUUUGAAGGGUUAAAAGUAGCAAUAAACACCUAAGUAUUAACUAACAAUUUGAUAAAACAGUAUCAACACCUAUGUAAUCAAGUUAGCUCAUUUAUCUCAAUAUUCUGGAAAUCAUGCUUAGAAACCACAGCUUGAUCUAAGGAACUCACCUCCGCUCCACCAGCUUCCUUGAGGGAUUGAGAUACCAUGGCCAGUCCCUUGGCUGUUGCUUGUGCUCUAGCUAAUAUUGCUUCAGCCUCACCUGGAUCGAUAGCAACAGCAUAAAUAAGUAAAAAUGUUAUGGUAAAACAUACUGAGUCAGUUAUGAUAUGAGUUUAACAGACGAAUGGCUCCACAUCUUAUUAUGAUGAGUUCAUGUUUUUCAACCUUAAAUGCUUACUAGAUACUAACCUUGUGCACGAUUGACUUGGUCCAUCUUUGCAGCUUCUGAUUCCAAGAUUACAGAACUUUUCUUACCAUCAGCUCUAUUGAUAUGGGCUUGGCGUUCUCCUGUUAAAGUUAGUAUAGCAGAUUAUGAGAAACAAAUUGAGCAGGCUUUAUUCUGUUCAAAUUGUAAAGAAAACGAAAAGGGAAAUGGGUUGCUUUGAGCCAAGAAUUUGAACGAAAUGAGCACAUAGUUCAAUCCCAGAACAUAAUCUUCCAAGGAUAAGCAAAGCAAAUUUACCUUCAGACUCAAGAAUCUGGGCUCUCUUUUUACGUUCAGCUUCAGCUUGCAUUUCCAUAGCAACUCUCACUCCAUUAGGAGGCAUGAUAUCCCCUGUGGACAUACAUAUAUUAGAUAUAGGCCUAAAGGGUAUCCAGCUAACACAAGCAUAGAUUCAACAAAAAAAUAACUCACUGAUCUCAUAACGAAGGCACUGAAGACCCCAAUCUUUUGCAGCAACAUUGAUGGCUUCCUGCAAGAAUAAAUCCAUUUCAACAUGUUCAGAUGCUUGCAGUAUCAACUCUUAUCUAACAAAAGUAAACUCAAAUAGCCAGCUAUCAUGAAAUGAACAACAACAAUCUGAACUUGCAAUCUUAGGUAGUAAUAUAACACCCACUACAAAUUCACAUUAACAUCACCCACUACAAUUUAAAACAAAGCUCAAGUACAUUAAAGCAAACAAACAAAAAACUGAACCAGAAACAAAGAAGCAAAGACAACAUACCACAAUCUUCUCAUUGAGAGUGUCCCGUUCCUCAAAAGUCUUGUCAAGAGUAAUUUUCCCGAGCUCACUACGCAUUGUAGUCUGAGCCAACUGCAUAACAGCAUAGAUUGGAUUCUCAACGCCAUAAGAAGCCAACUUAGGAUCCACAAUCUGCAAAAAACUCAAUAUCAAUGACAAAUCAACAUAAGAAUAGCAAAAGUUAUACAAAAUUGGCCCGAUGAUCUGAAACGAAGAUAAACCUUAACGUAGAGAACACCAUCGAUAUGGAUGCUAACGUUAUCCUUUGUAAUCGCAGUCUGAUUACCAAUAGGAAUCGCUUCUUCCUUUAGAGAAUGAACAUAAGCAAUACGAUCCACAAACGGAACAAGGAAGUGAAUCCCCGCCGGCAAAGUCGUGUGGAAUUUACCAAACCGCUCAAUCACACAAGCUUUCCUCUCCGGCACGAUUCGGAUUCCCCAGUUAGCCGGCGGAUUAAUGUGGUAGCUACAAAAAAUAAUUCCAGCGAAGAUCCGUUAAACCUAACCGAUCAAAUCCAACAGUUUCUACUGAAAAUCUGAACUCAAAUCGAAAUUUCACAAAGCGUAUAUAACGAAAUCAUUAGGUUUAAAUACCUGUUGAAAUCACUGCUGGGAGAUGAGAAGUUACGGACGCCGGAAAGUUGUUGCGGCGGAGUAGCGGCAGAGGAUUGAUGGAGAAGCCUGGAGGCGAAGGAUUUUGGCGGCGACGGCUUCUUGGUUAGGUAGCUACAAAAUAAAACGAAUCAAUACUAAGAUUCUUAUCCGAAAUCUGCAGUCCAAUCCGUUCAAAUUUCACAGAAUGUAUACGAAAUCGUAAGCUUAAAAGACCUGGUGAGAGGACUUCCGGUAGAGCUGAAGUUACGGACGGUGGUGGUGGUGGAUGCGGCGGAAAGGGAGGAUAUGAUCUUCGGAACAGCUGCGGAAAGUAGUGGGAGGAACUUAACGGCGGCCGUGUAACCGCCGGAUCUUGAAAGCGCGAGUUGAUUCAUCGUUGAAACUGUGUAACUAACUCUGUGAACUUGGAGAAGGGGAAAUUAAAACCCAGAGAAAAACCUCUUAAAUCUUUCUUUUUUUAAUUGAAAUGUUUCUUCAACAUUUUUAUUCGACGGGUUGACUUAUAUAUAAUAAUAAUAAUUUACUUGAAGAAGAGGUUUAAAAAAAGAAUUGUCAAGUAAAAAAGAAAAUACUUGGAGAAGGGUCAAAAAGAGGUCUUCUUUUUUCUUUCGUGCUUAUCACGAAUUUGUAUAGGCUAAUAAAAAACCCUAAGACUUGAUGAAUAAACCUGUAUUAUGUUGUCUAAUUAUAAGAUUACGACAUGUGUUAAUUAUAAGAUAGGAUUAUCACAUGUGUAAAGUAUAAGUUUUAUAAGAUCUUACAUUGGAAAAAACAUACUAUAAAAUAUAAAUUGGGUAAAAAUAUAUGACAAGAUUUGAAGAAUUUUAUUAUAUAAAGCUUCUUUUUUCGAUGUGUUUAAAAAACUAACUUUCCUUUUUUUUUUAAAUGUGUUCAACAUUUUGGUAGUUUAGUAGAAAAAAAAUGUUCGACUUAGUUAGUUACCAUAAUUAAACUUCUUUUCCUUUCUCUAAAAUUUCGUUCUUUUACAAACAUAACGAAAAUAUGCAGAUGCAUAAACAUCCGUUCAUUAAAGUUUUCUUUAAUUUUCUUUCUACACUUAUGAACAAAAGUACAUAACUAAAUUUUGAUUUCUCAUACAAAAAUUGUGGUUAUCUUUUUGUUCUCUUUAUUUUGAAUAUCAACCAAGCAAAAAAAAUGAGUAUGAGAUUUUUUUUUUUUUUUGAAGUAUGAGAGUUCGAUAUCAGUAAAAGAAUCAAGGAUGUUUAAUAUUUAGAUCUAAAUUACAUUUUCAAAAUUUUCAAUAGGUCACAAGUCACAAUCAUGUUGGAGGAGUCUGGCUACGGAGGAGAGAAUAUAUAAAAUGUUUUGUCCCUAGCCCAGAAUGAUGUAUGGACUUUAAAAGCCCAAACGUUUCUCAAUUACCAACUUUUCUUUAAAUAUGUUUAAAACUGAUUUCAAUGCAAUUCGAAGACCAUAUAAACUGACAUUUUUACUAAUUCCUAAGUUUAAAGGUAUAUGAUUGGUUUCAAAUCUUUUUUUUUUUUUUUUGUCGUGACUGGUUUCAAAUCUUUUAAAUCGCACUUAUUCUAUUAUUAGUAAUAACAUACAUACAUUCAUAGAAUUUCAUAUACCAAAAACACAAUUUUUAGCUAAUCCAAAAGUCUACAUGAUGACUUGUUUUCAGAUGUGAUAUACUCCCUCCGUUUCAAUUUAGUUGUCGUUUUAGGAUUUAAAUUUUGUUUCAUAAUAGUUGUCGUUUUAGGUUUUCAAUGCAAAUGUUUGGUGAAAAUUCCAGUUUUAUCCCUACUGUUUUAAUGUUUUGACCAAUGAAAUUUUUUAUAAAAUAUAUUAAUAAAGGGUAAAACAGAAAAUUUAAUGUUUUUCUUAAUUUGUGUGCAAAAACCUUAAACGACAACUAAAACGAAACGGAGGGAGUAUAUAUAAACCUCUUACCAACCAAAUGCACACAACAACGAAUCAAAAUUUAAUUCACAACCAACCAAUUACGACUGAUUGCCCACACAGCUGUGGUCCAGUGGUUGUUGAGAAUUGGGGAAAUAUUUGAAGGAACUAACCCAGGUUCGAUCCACGAUGGAAACAAAAAACACAUUUGUGUGGGAAGUUUGGGCUUAGACCUUUGGCCCAAGCAGUUUACCUAUUAGUCCAGUAACAGGCGAUCUGGCUACCCUUGGCAUUAGUCGGAAAGCAUUUCAAACUCGGGACAGACAGUGUGGUGGCCCUUUCGGAGAGAAGUCCACUCUGAAACACUUCGAUGCGUUUCUACCGAGACUGACCGGAUCAGCCGAUAGGAUUUAUCAAAAAAAAAAUUAUCAGUGAUUUUCAAUUCCAUUGUCAAACUCGUUUUCACACCAAGUUACACGGACUUAACAAAAACUUAUAAACUAACUAAAAAUAAUAAAUUCAUCUAAAAUCCGAUUUAAAAAAAAAACACAUGUGACCCUCUCGCAGACGCAGAAGUAAAACGCCAAAAGAAAACGCCAUUUUUUGUCGAUUCUUCGUCGUCCUUCUUUGAAAUUCACACCAAUUUGUCUCUCUUCCUAGAGAAACAAAGAUUAUUCGAAACUCGUGAAAGUUUGUUCUCCGGUCACCGGAAAAUUGAUUAUUUCCGAUGGCGACCGGUGAUCAAAAUCCGAGUGUGGAUAAGAAGAAGAAGAAUCUCUUCAGGCUAUGUCCGUUUUGGCAGAGGAGAAGAAGCACUACUUCUUCAUCUUCGUCUUCAACACAGAAUCCAAACCAAAACUACCGUAGCCGCCAUGGACAUCGGAAUACAGAUAUUUCCGCCGUCUCUAAGUCUUCCUUGACUAUGUCUUCCGUUGCGAGAUCACUUCUUCCAGCUCGCCGUCGUCUCCGACUAGAUCCUUCAAGUUAUCUGUAUUUCCCUUGUACGUCGUCUCCGAUUUAGCUUGAUUUCGAAAUAGUUUAGUUCUCUGGAAAUUGAUUGAUUUGGUUCUGGAUUUCUGUUUGUUUUUGUAGUUAGAAAAAUCGAAGUUAUGAACAUAGAAUUCUUUAGAAGCUCUACAUUUUUGGAUUUCCAUUUUUAGAGAACGAAGUUAGAAAUUGUGCUUUGUGUUUUUUUCAGAUGAACCUGGUAAACAAGUGCGUAGCGCAAUCAAGCUUAAGAAUACUAGCAAAUCUCAUACUGCAUUCAAGGUAAUGGAGUUUUAUGUAUCUUUCACUUCAAAUUUGUGGUUCUUGAUUCUCGCAUUUGAUACUUAUUUGAGAACAAGUUAAGCAAUUGCAGAGAAGUUGACUCUUUGUUGACUUUAGUAAUUGGUGCUUUUCCAUCUAAGUUACUCUGUAUCUUCUUGUUUAGUUCCAAACAACGGCACCUAAAAGUUGUUAUAUGCGUCCUCCCGGUGGUGUUUUGGCUCCCGGAGAGAGUGUUUUUGCUACUGGUAACGAGAUUCUGGAAAUCUUUGGUUCUGUGUACUCUUAACUAGUUUAUACAGCCUCUGAUUUUUGCUUCUUGUUUAUGUUCAAGUGCAGUUUUCAAGUUUGUGGAACAUCCAGAGAACAAUGAAAAACAGAAGUUGAACCAGAAGAGCAAGGUUAAGUUUAAGAUUAUGAGCCUGAAAGUUAAACCAGGAGUAGAGUAUGUGCCUGAGUUGGUAUGUUAUCUCGCUCCUUUCUAGUUCUUAUCAGUUUACUAAAAAGUCCAUUGUUGGAAGCAAUUUUAUUCAAUCUUAGAAUAUGUUUGUAGUCAUAUAUGACACUUAUAGGCUGGAACAUUGCAAUUGGUGAAUAGUUUCUCAAAGGAUAAGCCCUCUCUGUCUCAGAGAGUCUUAAGCAUAAGUCCAUCGAUGAUGCAUUUUUCGGUGUUUAUUGUGCAGUUUGAUGAGCAAAAGGAUCAAGUAGCAGUGGAGCAGGUUCUUCGGGUCAUUUUUAUUGAUGCGGACCGCCCGAGUGCUGUAAGUUCUUUAGUAGAUUUUCAUGCUAAUAUGACCACAUAUACUCUAGAUUCUAUAGUUUGAACAUUUCAUAAGGAGAAUUACGAAGUAAUGAAUCAGGCAUUGGAGAAACUGAAACGUCAAUUGGAUGAAGCUGAAGCUGCAGUUGAAGCAAGAAAGAAGCCUCCCCCAGAGACAGGGCCUCGAGUGGUCGGGGAGGGUCUUGUCAUAGACGAAUGGGUAAAAGAUAAUUAUACCUAUAUAAGAUCUAAAAUCUUUGGUUUGUUCAUUGUUGUACCUUCUUUCUCCCAUUUAUUCACCAAUGUUUGUGUCAUCUAUCAGAAGGAGAGAAGAGAGAAGUACCUUGCUCGGCAACAAGUCGAAGCCAUAGAUUCUUCAUCCUAAAAAGCAGAGAGCAAUGUGGAUUUGUUAUACGCUUAUAGCAGAGGUAAAAGAAGCUCUUUCUUCUUCUUUUUCUUUAUCUUCUGCGGAUGUACAUAAUUUAUUAUCCCUCGAUUAUCUCUAGACGAUUUGUACUUUGUUGUUCUUGUAUGUCUCUGUUUGUUGUGUGAUUCACGCUGCUUUUUUCUCCUUCAUCAAAAUUUGUUUCGGUUUAAUCGAAUUCCGUUUGUAGUUGAUCUAGAAUGGAACCAAAAUUUGUUCAGUAUUUUGUGGUUUUGUGGUUUUGAAUAAGUUUAGAAUAAGAAUGAUGGGUUUUGUGGACAAAAAAGUUUCCCUAACCAUGAUCAAUUUGAUUGGAACAUUACACAAGCCAAAGUAUAAAUUUGUUUUGGAUGAUAGGCUACCAUUUUUUGAUAUGUCAAUUGUCACCAUGCUUAUUUUAGUUUUAAAGUUCUUUUCUAAUUUUAUCAGACUCCAAAGGUCCACAAGAGUGACCUAUAAAAGACUGAUACCCACUAAUACUAAAAGACAUAUACCCAAAUACUGAGUUUGAUGUGUUGAUAAAUUUUCUCCUUGCAUUCAGAAACUAUGAUAUUCUUAUCUACUGGCCCAAAGAAUUUGUGGACUUACUAACUGAGUUUUUUUGAAGACACGAUUAUAGAAAACGUUAUUGCACUUUCUUUCAUCGUUUAGUUAAUCAAUUUCAGCUGGUUACGCUAAUCUAGUCUAUCAUAUAGUGAAAAGUAACUUUAUUAAUUUUCUAUAAAUAAUAAUCAUGAGAUUAACUGAAUAAGAAUAGCCGCCAAAAAAAUGAGAAUAAUAUUGUUCUUAAACCUUUGAAAACACGUAACUCUAACCAUUUUUUUUUGUCUUUGUACGCUAAACUCUUCUAAUCCCAUUCUCUAACAAUAGCUAGAAACAAGAAGAUUCAAUGUAGCUCUAUUUAACUAGCGUUCGAAAAUAUCAUAUUUGUUUGUAAUAGCAUACUUUAUUAAACAAUCAAAUCACUUGUAUGAAAUGAGAUAUAAGAUUCACGUGGUAUAUCAAAUUUGGAACAAAGAGCUUAAUUAAAAGUUAAAAGCACAAAAAAAUCUAAAGUUAGAUAUGUUAAUAUUCUUUUAUUAGAAUAUUUUUAUUCGGAAAAAAGGGGGAAGAAAAAUCGACUCGUGGAUAUUAUGAAGGAACAAAGACAAUUAGAGGUGUCUUUUGAUUUUCUUGUCGCUUUAUGAAAGCUUUCGGCCAAUUGCGCACAAUCAACAAUUUCUCUUCAGUUUUUAUCUCUCCUUUUUUAACUUCAAAUUUAGUCUCAUCAAAAGGACAAAAGAAUAUAUUUUUAUAUCAAACUUAAAAUCACUUAAGAUAAAAGAAAAAAAAUCAUUCAAAAAAUGAAAAAUAAAUAAAUAAAAUAAGAAUUUUUUAAUAUAAAAUUAAAAACAUCGAAAGAGAGAUGAUUAUUUCUAUAUAUACUUUUACCAAAUAUAUAUCUAAAUCUAACAUAAUAUUUUAUUUCAUGCAUAUAUUCGGGGGAAAUAAAUUGUGUUUAAUAUUACGUGCUUAAAACGUAACUAGAUCAUUAAGCUAAGACUUGUAAAACACGUACAUCAUAAUUCAUAAAUGAUUAGAUUAUGAAUAAUAAUCAACGUAUAUGGUUAGUAAGUCGAUUAAACAAAAUUAGAAAAAGAGAAAGAAAAAAAAAAACCGUUUACGGCAGUGUUUUAAUACCGCAAAUUAGUUUUUAACACAAUUUAAGAAAAAUUAGCCUAACAAAUAAAAAGUUUAGUGACUCUGUCACUGUCUCUUAAUCCGUCACUGAAUUAGUAUCCGUUGCAACUUCUAUAAUCCUAUAACAAAUAAACUGUUUUUAAUUAUUGUAUCAAAAACUUCAACUAUAUAAACCGACACAACUUAAACAAAGAUCUCGACCAGAACGUCUACAACGCAUAAUUAUGUCCAUGCAUUGUUUUUUUUCUUUUCAUAAAAAGAUAACAAUAAAGACUUUACUAAUUACUAUAAAACUAAUUUAACAACAAAUCGUAUCUCAAUUUCAUGAAAAAUGGCCGAAAGAAAUAAAACAUGGACCCGCCCAUCGAAUCGUGCGUUAAUCAAAAGCAAUAUUCAUUAUCAUUAAAUAAAUAUUCAUUGACCCUUUUUAAAAAAGGUUAACGAACAAAUUCAGGAAAUAAAAAUAUUUAUUUUCCGAAUCUAUAUAACAAAGUGCUUCACCACCAUAAACACAUUCACUACAUGCAGAAGUCACGUAUAUAUUAAUGUUCAUGAACUCUUAUCCUCAAAUAGCCUAAGCCUCAAAUUAAUCGCUAAAAAAGUUUCUAAUUUUGGGUUUAAUUUUUGUUUCGGUUUUUAAUUAAUCGAUACUCAAAAAGAAUUCGAAAGAGCGGUCACGACGUUUCAUAGAGAAUCGUCAUCUUCUUCUUCUUCGGUUUUGUUCUCUCCUUUUUUUGAUUUUCACCGCCGGAGAUUUUGUAUUUUCCGAUUUAUAAAUUUUAUUCGCCGGCGGUUUAGAGAUAAUGAAGGGGAGGAUAUCAAAAAUAGGAAGCUAUGCAAUCUCAUCUUCCAUUAGAGAUCAACAUCAGCAGCAACCUUGUAUUUCUUGUACUACUUUCAACAUCCUUGCUCCGAUCUAUAAACGUCUCUCUCACAAGGUACUUUUUGUUCUUCUUCGUUAAUCAAUCUCUUGAUUUUGAUGUUUUUGAGGAUUUUUGAAUUUUUUGUGGAAAUGUAGGAUCAAAGUCUUCGUGAAAGCGAUAAUCGAGCGUAUUGGCUUGGAAGGAAUCAUAGAAUCCUUGAUUGGUUAUUGUAUGAGAGAUCUUCAAUCAUAUGUUUACAGGUGUUCGACGAAAUUCCUCAAUGAAGAUGUGAAUUGUGUUUUGUGUUCUGAUUUUUGAUUUUUUAUAGGAGUUUUGGGUAGGCAAUGAAGAGCUUGUUAAUUUAUAUGAGAAGAGACUUGGUGACGCUGGUUAUUUAAGUUACAAGCUUGGUCGUACUAAUAAUCGUGGUGAUGGUAAUUUUUUUGUGAAUCUUCUUCUUUGGUUUUUUUUUUUUAUGUUGUUUCAAAAGGAUUUGAAUUUCUGAAUUUCUGUGUUAAUAGGUUUGCUUACUGCUGUUCAUAAGGACUAUUUUAGAGUUGUGAACUCGAGGGAUUUGCUCUUUAAUGAUUGUGGUGAUCGAGUUGCGCAGUUGCUACAUGUAGAAUUAGUUCCUCCUUACUCUCAGUAUGAUGCUCAUCAAGAAGUUUUGAUUGUGAAUACUCAUUUGUUGUUUCCUCAUGAUUCAACAUUGUCUAUAGUAAGAUUGCAGCAGGUAGACUUCUGACCAACUCCAUUGUCAUUGUGCGGAUGAUUUUGUAGCUUUCUUCACAAGAUUUUUGUUUUGAUAGGUAUAUAAGAUUCUUCAGUAUGUAGAAUCUUAUCAGAAGGAAGUUAAUCUCAGUCCUAUGCCUAUUAUUCUUUGCGGGUAACUACCUUGUUUAGAUUGUACAUUUUCAUGGUUCGAUAUAAGGAACAGUACUCAAAUUUCUCUGCUUCUCUAUUUGUGUCUUUGUUAGCAGAGAUUGGAACGGAAGUAAGCGAGGGCAUGUCUACAAGUUUCUCAGGUCACAGGGUUUUGUGUCUUCUUAUGACACUGCUCAUCGGUACACAGAUUCAGAUGCUCACAAGGUCACUGUCUUUCUUCAUAUGGCGAAUACUUUUGGGUAUGCUGUAGAUUUUUUCGAUGUUAUAAAUUGGCGAUCGGGAUUAUGAAACUGUUGUUAUCUUUGGUUUAACAGUGGGUAAGCCACCGGAAUCAUCGGGGUAACAUAUGCGCUGUCGAUUUCAUAUGGCUUUUAAAUCCAAAUCGGUAUAGAAAGCUGCUAAAAACAAGUUGGAGCGAGGCAGUGUUUGGCAUGUUCAGGGUGAGACUCUCCUCAAUUGUGUCUUAUCACAAGCUUUCAUAUCUUAGUGAAUUUCACUGUCUUUUUAACAUUAACCUAGACUUUACCAGCGAAGAAAAAUGUCUCUUCGUUUACAAUUCUUGUCUAAAUGAUUUCUGGGAACGGUAUUGUUUUCUGGUUUCUCCCUGUAACAUCAGAACAUUUGUGAUAUGCAGUAUCUACUAAGAAGAGCUUCACUAACAGCUGAAGAUGCUUUUGCUUUUCUGAAAACUGACAAUGAUGGUGACCACAUUACAUUCAUGGGCUUCUGUGAGACUCUUCGGCAGGUAUAUAGAAUUUGUAACGCAGUUAAUCAUAUUCUUAUGACUCCUUUAUUCAGCUUAAUGUUCACAGAGUUUUCUCUUUCUUAAUUUCCUUCUCUUUCUCUAUACAGCUCAAUCUAACAGGUCAUUGCAAUGGACUAACGACAAAAGAGAUCAAAGAUUUGUGGAUUCAAGCUGACAUUGAUGGAAACGGUCUUCUGGAUUACAAGGAGUUUCAGGUAAUAUGUUUCUUCAUUAGACUCCUCUCUCUAGAUUACAAUGAAUUUUCUAGUAGUUUGAGUAACAAUAGCUGAACAUAAUCACAAGUGAACAUCUAGACUUUUAAAAUUAAGAGAUUCAGUAAUGCUAAUAGCAUCUAAAACCCUUGUUCUUGCUCUUGAAACCACACACAUGUUGCUCAAUGCUUAUGUAACACAUUGCAGCAAAGAAUAUGGAACCAAACCUGGUCAGAACAAAGAGAUGCAGAGGACGGAGAAGCAAAAGGUAACCAGGAACAAACCGUUGGAUUCAGUGUCAAGAACGCGGUUCUGUUUCCACCUGAAGUUGAAAAAGGAAUGUGGCCAGAAAAUUACUCUCUAUCAGAUCACGCGAGACUCACCGUUGUAUUCUCACCCAUAAGAAUGCCUUGCUCUCAAUUGGUUUCAUGACAAAAACACUCACCAAGCAAACUUUAGCUUCUUCCAUUUAAAGAGACCUCUGAGUUUUGGUGACCCCUUACAGAGAAGUAAACCUAAGCUCUGUGUCCAUUGGAUCGGCUUGAAUGAUCUCACUUUGCGGUUACUGCGUUGGGGGGGAAGAAGAGAGAAAGAGGACUGAGGUCAAUAAAUUUUUACUCUGUACAAAAACAUGUAAACUAAAUAUAUAGCUUCAUGUAAAAAAAUGUUGUAGUAGAGAUUUAAGAAGCAGCUUUUUCAUUUCUGAUUUUGCUCUUUUUUUGGUUUUAUUUUUGCAAUUUAAUUAACUCCAGAGACUUUCAUAGAGAGAUUGUUAGAUAGAAAAUUAAAUCAACAUAGUGCAUUUUCUUAUAUAUUAAUCUUUUUUUAAAAAACAAGAAAAAUAAUGCCGCCAAAAAAGAGGAAUAAAUUAUUUCGGAAAUUAAUAAAAAUAUCAAAAAAAAAAAAGGAACAAGUUUCAAUCUUUGGAUUGGUGCUUCACUUAGCCACCAAGUGUGUAACUUUCAGGUCAAUUUUCCGAUCAUAGCUUUUUAGGGUUCCGUUGACUUCAAAUUGACAUGGCUAAUUCCUCAAUCUCAGCUCUUCUUCUUCUUAUCCUUGUAAUCGCUAGUUCCGUCAAUGGAGGAGAUCAAGAGUAUUCACGUCAAUUGCUAACAGAAGCUUUGGGUGAUAAAGAAUGGUUAGUCUCUAUAAGAAGACAAAUCCAUGAAAACCCAGAACUCCUUUUCGAGUUACACAAAACCAGUGCUCUGAUUCGUCGCGAGCUUGAUGAAUUAGGGGUUUCUUACUCUUACCCGGUUGCGAAAACCGGAAUUGUAGCUCAAAUCGGAUCCGGUUAUCCUCCGGUUGUUGCUCUCCGUGCUGAUAUGGAUGCUCUUCCCUUGCAAGUAAACUCGAAUCUCUCUCUCUCUCUGAUUGUGUGUUAAUUUCUUCGUAAUUCUUCUAUAGAUUGAUUUGCUGCGAUUCAGGAACUUGUUGAGUGGGAUCAUAAGAGCAAAAUCGACGGAAAAAUGCAUGCUUGUGGUCAUGAUUCACACACCACCAUGCUCCUUGGUGCUGCUAAAUUGCUUAGCAAACGUAAACAUAAGCUUAUUGUAAGCUUUCUCUUCUUUAUUCUUAAGUUUGGUUGAAGUAAAUUUGUGGGAUUAGCUUAGCAAACGCAAAAGGAUGAAUCUUGUAUUGUCUUGUAUGUACAAUUAGUUUGUUGUUUGCCACAAAAAGGAUGAAUCUUUCUUUGUUUUGGUCUGAUUUAGAGAAUGUUGUAGCUGUAAUUAUGUUUGCUUUGCUUAUAGAAAGUGUUUAGUCUACUUGUUGUGAAUGAAAGAUUACUCUUUUUGCUUAAUCAAAAGGGAACUGUGAGGCUUCUUUUUCAACCAGCAGAAGAAGGUGGUGCUGGUGCUUUUCAUAUGAUAAAAGAAGGUGCUUUGGGUGAUUCUGAAGCAAUAUUUGGGAUGCAUGUUCAUACUGGCUUACCUACAGGAGAAUUAGAAACAAUCUCGGGUCCUGUUAUGGCAUCCACAAGCAUUUUCAGUGUAAGAAUAAGUGGAAUAUUACCGGCUUCUUCGGAGACAUAUGCUUGUGUUGAUCCGGUGUUGGCUGCAUCAUCUACCAUCUUAGCAUUGCAACUUAUAGUCUCCAGAGAAGUAGAUCCUCUCUUAAGCCAUGUAUGUUGUCUACUUUUCCAUUCGAUAAAACUAACGGUUGUUUAUGCAUAUAGAUCUUACUAUUUUGCAAUACCAAAUCUUAAGUCUUUCUGGUGCUAAAAGUUCAUAGUUUUGGUUUUAGGUGCUGUCUGUUACAUUUAUGAAAAGUGGCGGUUCUGAGUUUGAUGUGAUUCCGGCAUAUGUAGAAUUUGGGGGAACUUUGAGGAGUCUUACAACUGAUGGCAUGAACUUGUUGAUAAAGCGGUUGAAAGAGGUAUGUACACGUGGUUUCGAAACAACCUUUGAGUAUUCGAUGCAGAGAAAAAACCGAAAUUUGGUUUCGAAUAUCUUAUGGAUCUUAAUCUCAUCUUUUCCCUGAUGAUCAAUUUCAACCUUAAAAGUAAUUUAUUGUUCAAAAGAUUUUAUUGAUUUUGACUCCUGAAUCUCGUUACUAUGAUCUAGUAAAGCUUUCAUAGGACAAAGGCAUUGCUAUAUACAAGAUCUCUUCCAUGAUACACAAUCAUGAAUGUUCAAAUGUAAUGUAAUCUUCAGUUCGAUUUUCAAGCCAGAGCUAACCCGAUUGUUGCUGACAGGUGGUUGAAGGAGAAGCUGAAGUUCAUAGAUGCAAAGUGGAUAUAGAUAUGCAUGAAGACGAUCAUCCUAUGUAUCCAGCAACAGUGAACGAUCACAAGCUACACGAAUACGCUGAAAAAGUUUUGAAACUCUUGCUUGGACCCGAGAAAGUGAAACCGGGUGGCAAGGUAAUGGCGGGUGAGGAUUUUGCUUUCUAUCAACAAAAAAUACCCGGUUACUAUCUAGGGAUCGGUAUCAGAAACGAAGAAAUCGGUUCUGUACAUAGCGUUCAUUCGCCUUAUUUCUUCCUCGACGAGAAUGUGCUUCCCAUUGGAUCAGCAUCGUUUGCUGCCUUAGCUGAGAUGUAUCUACAAGAGCAUCGGAAUCAAACUAAGUCUGGAGAUUGAGAAAGUACUAAAGAAAGCUUUAGAUCUAAGUCUCUUAGUUAGUUGCCUUCAUAAGUAAAUGCUAUCUUUAUGAAAUUACAACUUCAAGAAAUCAAUUGUGGUUUAAUAAAAUUGUAAGUAAUGGGUCUCACAUUGUAUGUGUCUGAGUCAUCCAAAACGAUGCAGUUUGAUUUUGAGAUACCGACAAAAAAAAGCAGGUAAAUUUUUAUGAUAAUAAUAAGCAAAUGAAGUGACAUUUGAACCUAUCCUAAUGACUACAAAACAAUCACAUUUGUGAAUAUAUUUAUAUUUCCAAUUUGUCUAUUUUGAUAAAGCAAAUAAAUUAUCAAACAUAGGGAGCAUAUUAGUCAGUAGAAAAGCAAAAAGCAGCAUUCAGUCUCUAUAAAUCUAAGCAAAGUAAGAGCUUUCUUUUGUAUUUUUAUAAACUUUAAUUUGCCUUUUUCCUAAAAAAACAAAAACUAGACAAGAUAAAGAUGAAUGAGUCAUAUGACUCUAAAAAAGAAAGGACAAAAAGUGAUGGAUUAGUUUAAAUAAUUUUCAUCUAAACCAAAAGACAAAAAGUGAUGACAAAAAUGGCUAAAAGUCUAAGUAACACGACAAUCGAGCUCAACAACAUGCACUUCAUCUUCUGCAUCUAUAUUAUACUUCUUAUGUUCCUCUAGUUUGAUGUUUUGAUGUUUUGUAUGAACAUCAUUAUUACUUUUAUUUGAGACCAACAGAAAAAGGAGAAAAGUAGAAUUAACAUUAUUAAACUAACAAACAAAAAAAAUAUAAAUAUAUAUAUAUAUUUUUUUAAAUUGUGUGAAAAAACCUAAAACAUCAUUUUUCAAAGAACGGAUGAAGUAGUUUAGUAUAGUAUAUGAUUACUACUAUUUCUCACUAGGAAAUUAUUGGCUUAUAUAACCAAUUGAUGAACCAUUAUUAGGUAAAAAGAAAACUAGAUAAUAAAAUAGUGAAUGAUUCGGUAGAAAAGGAUAAAGUUGUUUCAAUACACUCACCUAAACAAGUCGAUUAUGGUCCAAACGAAAUCCAAAUUGAGAUAAGUGUUAAAAACUUUUCGUUGCUAGUUGAAUUUUUUUUUAAAUAUGAAACUGAAAAUAUUAAACAAACAAGCAUGAAAACAUUUGAUUAAACCAUUCAAACUAGUAAAUAUCGACGUGUUAGGAAAUAUCGGCAAAAAGAAAAAGGUCAGUUUUAAAAUCUAAAUCUUAAAUCUAUUGAUAUCUUCCUUCUCCUAUUAAUUUUGCAUGCUCAUUAUCUUAUACGCGAUUUCGGAACAAAAGUUCUAUUGGCUCUUUAGAGAAUUUUAAUUCUAGAACCUAAUCUGUCACUCGUAAUAUAAGCUCUUCUCUCACUUGGAAAGCCAUGAAGAAGACCUUCAAUUGCUUCUUAAACAAGUUUCAAUCACGUAGUCGAUAAUCUCUCGGAUCACGUGACUCUCGUUGAAUCUGUCAAUUUAUUAACACUAAAAUAAAAUCUUUCGAAUCAAAACUUUUAAAUGGCCAAAUCAAGGAAGUCCACACAUUCUUUAAUUAUGGAGGGAGGUUGAGAAAAAUCUUCAUCAUAUCUUCUCUAUAGAACAUGCAUACAUGCAUGUUGACACGUAUAUAAACUCUCCAUUAUUGGUUAAUAUCGUAAACCCCCAACAUAAUAUUAUAAACACUACUACUAUUUCCCGAUAUUUUCUUCUUGUAAUUUAAUAUUUGGACCCAAAAAAGUUACGUAUCUUUGCAGUUUACACAUACUAAUUAAGGCGUUAUUGAAUGUAUCUUUAUCCAAUCAUGUCAAUUUACAUUUAUAAUUGUUUAAUAUAUUAAUAAUUUUUAAAAAUUCUACAAUGUUUUUAAAAUUAUCGAGAGUAAAUGUUAAGGAUCUGAUCAUAUAACCUUUUUGCAGUUUUUAAUAUCUAGUUAAUGUAGUGUUGCCCUUACAAUGACAAAUUUUCAUUUUAUAUAUAUUUUAAUUUUAUUUAAAUUAAUUUCUAUAAUUGGUUUAAGUAUCCUGAAUUGGUCAGCUAUUUUACCUAUAUUAAAUAAAAUAUUUAACGAAAUAUUAUAGUAGUUCAUAUUAGUACGGACACAAUGUCAUCGUAUCCUCUCAGAUCCAUCGCUUUAACUUGAUUGGUUAUUUUUUUUGUUAUAUUUCAUUGUAAAAUUAAUGAUAUUUCUCUAAAUUAGACUAUCUAAUGUUUUUUUAAUAAGAAAUUAAUUAGCCAAUGAAUGCCCUUGUUGGAUUAGUCGUUUAAUCGCUGUAACUCUCAAAUGAGUCACUUAGACCAUGUACAUAGGAGAACUUUUAAGAGUAUCAUAAGCCAAUUUAUUAUUUUUAAAUAGACCAAACAUGUUUUAUGGGUCUGAUCCGUAUCAUCCCAGUGAAACUCAUGAUACUGGGUAUCAUGUGACGUGGCAGGGCGUGAUUGGUCGCAGAAAAUUUUUUUGCCGACAGAAGAGAAAAAAAAAAAUCAUUUACUCUCUCUCGAUUUUUUCUCUCCUCUCUCACGGCAAUUUGCCGAUUUCUUCUCAGCUCCGGCCGGUACGACGUAGAUCUGUCGCCGUGGAGAAUCGCAGUACCAAACCAAUCUCCCUGUGAGCGACGGAGCUGCUUCGGUUAGGAAUAACAGAGGAGGAAGAAGCAGUUGUUGUUGCUGCGAUUGGAUCUCUAGUUACUUUAGUCUCAGUUUCAUUCAUGGAGGACAAUUUGCUGCAGCUUGAGAACGAUAUCACCGAUGAAAUAAGCUUUUCCAUGACCAAAGUAAGGCAUCCUUAUCUCACUCGCAAAAAAUUCCAUUGUUUCUAUGUUGAGAAUUCUGUAACGUUUGUUUCUUUUCUUGAGCCAGGUCUUGUUGUUCUCGUGUCUGGAACCACUUAUAGACAUUGCAGAACAUCAAGCUUGUGCUUAACGAUGAUGGACUGAACUUCAAGCUUCUCCAUCGUCCACGGUAAUGUUCUGUUCUUUCAUCCGAGAAAAAUAUGAAGGGACGUCGUGUUAUAGCUUGAGAAAUACAAGGUUGUUGGUUUAGAUUCAUAGGAUUGGAAUCAAGAAAUAGAUUUGUUUGAUUGGGUUUGAUAAGAAUGGGUUUAUGGCUGCAAAGUUUCUUGGUUUUGCUGAGCGCACACAAGGUGUUUGAUAAAUUGCCAAAGAGAAAAACGGAUUGGGUUUAUGCAAAUUUUAGUUGGCUGAUGGAUGAGAAUCAAAUAGUGAGUAGGUUUUAAGGAGUUGUGGAAGAUAUUCUUCGUCACCAUGAGACAAGUUAGAGGACUUAAGUGGGUAAAGAAACCCGGAUUUUUUUUUACAUCUAGUCAGGUAUAUAUGUGUAAUUUCGCUAUAGGUUUUGUUUUGAAAAUGAAUCUUUUAGACUUGAAACGCUUUCUCAAGCUUAUGACUUGUGGAUAUAGGGAGAGGAACUGAGAAAGCAAAUUGGUGCAGCUGCUUAUAUCGAGUGCAGUUCCAAGACUCAACAAGUAAGUUCCCUGACUCAAGAAGUAAUGUUUUGGUGAGAAUGUUAGAAUCUUAUGAUGACUUUACUUUGGUUAUGUUGUAGAGAGAAACAUGUAUGAUCUUCCUUUUAUUUUUCACUUUCUCCAUUUUCAUGCACCACAUGGAUAUAACCAGUUUGAAAUGCAAACGAGUGAUUUCUUGUAUGAGCUUAUCCAAAAGACUAGAACAUGCUCAUAUUUUAGCUCAUCUCUUAUUUUCUGAAUGUACUAAAGUAUGCUAACCCUCUCCUUUUUUCCCAGAUUCCAUGGCCUAAGCCUCCUACAAAGUGGGACGACUUCUGUGUUCUAUAGUUUGAAUGUACUAAUGUUUAUUUGGUUUGAAAUUGUUCUUGGUUCUGUUUCUUAGGUAUACUGAUCAGUUUAUACUUUAUUUUUGAAAGGAAACCAAGUUUUUUUGGAUUGUAAUAUUACAUUUUCUAAUCUUAUGUUUUUAUAUAUUUAUUUUUGAUUUUGCAAAUAAUUUUUUUUUUUUAUGAUACUUAAACCAGUUUCACCAAUGUAAACAAAUUUAUCAACAGUAUCAUAAAAAAUCUCAAACAAUAAACAAACAUUAAAAUUAAUACUAAAAAAAUGUUAAUGAUACUCAUAGAGUAUCAACUAUGUGCAUGCUCUUAAAGGACCCAGGCUUUGUUAAAUUAAUAUAGAAGGUAGGGUAAGUUUUUUUUUUUUUUUUUUUUGACAGCAGAAGGUGAGUUAUGUUUGAAUAGCCGCUUUUCGAUUUUUUUACGUUGAAUUUGGAAUUGACUUAGAGAUUUAUUUCAUUUAUAAUAUUCGGGGUCACACAAAGCUCUGAAAAGAAAAUAUAUUACAGAUAAUAAUUAUUUUUUCCCAAGGUGUGAACGUCUAGUUUGUCAAUAGACUGGAUUUUGAAUUUUUGAGUAUAUAGAAAUUGAUAACUUGAAAAUAUUUCUUUUAAAUAAAUCACUACAUCGACGAAGUAGCAUCACAUAUGUAUGAAAAUGUCCUAACAUAUUGAAGGCCUCAAAGGCUAGUGAUUCAAUCCCCUGUAUUGACAUCUCAAGAGCUGCAAUUUGAUUUCACCUACUCACAAAGGGUUAAAAAAAGAGAGCUAAUGGGCUAUAUAUGUAAUAAAAAAAAAAAAAAAAGAAAGAAAAAAAUGUACAUAAUUACUGCCGGUCAUUGAAAAAAUAAAAUAUAAAAAAUGAAAAUAUCUAAAUGAAUACUACAAUUGAAUAUUAGUGUAAAUUUAUAUAUUGACGCAUCAAAAUUCUGUAUAGUCUUGUACAGAGGCGGACCCAUGUGGAAGAAAGGUGGGUCAGAUGACCCCCCUUAAAUAUAUAAGUUAAACAUUUAAGCAGAGAAUUAUGUUGUUUUGUUGGCUUAAUUGGUUAAUUAUUGGUGUCUUGACCCACCUAAACCCACGUUCAACACCGCAUUGCUUCCAUUAUUUCCCCUAUUUUUCAUUGGGUCAUAGCCCAUUGUUUAAACUUUGGCAAUAAUUGUUUUGAAAGUAGGUAAAUUACUUAUUUUCACUUGUUUUCUCUAGUCUCCAUUUCAAUUUAUUUGCAAACCAAAUAUAUAACUUUGUAAACAAAAAAAAUGAUAAAAUAAUAUCUUAAACGCAAUUCAAAAACUUGUAUAACUUUGUAAACAAAAAAAAUGAUAAAAUAAUAGCUUAAACGCAAUUCAAAAAUGAUAAAGUAUAUAUUUUAUAUGAAGGGCAAAAAUUUUUAAACAUAUAUUGAUUUCUUUUAUAAGUUUGACCCAGGUAAAAAAAAUUUCUGGGUCCGCCACUGGUCUUGUAUUAAUUCAAUUUUUUAUACGAUGAUUCGAUGGAAGACUUUUAUACAUAUCGAUCAUAAUUGGAGUCCGAAUCUGAACUCGAACCCAAAUUUCCAUUGCAAUGCAGUCUAAACUCUAAAAAACAAUCAUCUCUAGUUCUUUUUUUUUAGUAUUACACUUUAAAAGCGUAUUUUGAAAUUGGGUUCUCCUUUCUCCAAUCAUAGAUUAAAGAAACAGGAGGCGGAAAGGGAAGGGCAACCAUAUCCAAUAUUAUACGGUAGGAAGAUAUGGACCCCCUUCGAUAUCCAAUCGAUAAUCUUCCCUCGGUAUUUGAUUUCACAGAUAUCUAGUACUCCCUCUGUUCCUAAUAGUUUGAUGUUUUGGAGUUGUCACACAUAUUAAAAACUCAAUUAUUUUUUGAUCAUUUUAAGAUUGUUUUUUAAUUUUAAAUAUUUUUGAUAAUUAUCAACCAAUAGUAGUGUACGAAAGUUAAUGAUUUAUAAUCAUUGUAUCUUGAAGUUUACAAUUUACUAUUAUAAGUUAAUAAAAAUAAAAUAAAAUUGCUAGAAAAUCAAUCUUUGUGGAACAAACAACAAAAGCUAAAAUAUCAACCUUUUAGAAACAGAGGGAGUAUCAAUUUUUGUAAUUUGUAAGUCCACUCUUUGAUUUUCUGCAAAGACAAAACCAAAAUAAAUUAACAUUUGAUUAGGGACCAUAUCAUUGCGGCAAGUCUUCCUCUUACUCUGAUUUUUUUAAUUGUUCUACUUAACAUCUCUAACCAUCCACUAAUUGCUAGUAAAAUGAUUUGGCCAUGGAUUAUAUAACUCGUAAAGCACAGUAAUACUUAACUACUAAGAUUCUUAAUGUUAAUAUAUUUUCUUUUACAAAAAUCUAAAUUAUUAGACUCACAAUUAAGAAUUCAUCUCGAUUUUCGGCUGAUUAAAACACCUAUUAAUUAAAUGUGAUGAAUCUGAUGAUGUAACAUUAGGGCAACAUGUGAACGUGGCAAGUUAUAUACACACCAUUAAAUAAGCCAUUAAUUACUAUUCAAUAUUAUCUCCAACAAGAAUCGACACAUAAUAUUUGAUGUUCAUAUACAACUACAAAAAAAUAUUGGUCCAUCGUUAACUUUAAUCAUAUAUGAUAUACCGAUCGAUCAUUGAGUUCUUAAAUCCUUUGGUUGGUAAUACAACAAAUAUAUAUGGAUAAGUUUGGCAUAUAGAACAUUGGGAAAAAUGUCGUUUUAUCUCCCAACUUUCAAAAAGUGGCCAAUUAAUACGUCAACUUCAUAUGUGGCCAUUUAAAACAUGAAAUAAACGUUGACUAACGUUUGAGACAUGAAAAUUCGUUGACCAGGCCAAAAUAGACAUGCCGUUAUCAGUCGUUAACGGAACCUCUAACGCCCGUUAUCACCCGUAACGACUCUGUUAAUCAACUUUAAAUUGUGGCCAAUUUAAACAUCAACUUCAUAUGUGGCCAUUCAAAACAUGAACUAAUCGUUGACUAACAUUUGAAACAUUAGAAUUCGUUGACCAGGCCAAAAUAGACAUGUCGUCAUCAUUCGUUAACAGAACCUAUAACAUCCGUUAUCACCCGCUAACGACUCUGUUAGUAUGUCCAAAACGAUGUCGUUUUAAAAAUAAUCGAGAGAAAAUCAGGACAAAUUUUUUGUUUAAAGCAUAAUCCAAGGACAUGGUUUGAUAUAGAGACAAUCGUAGAGCUAGUAAUUGGAAGCAAACAUCGUUUAUAUAUUUGUUUUAAAUCUAAAAAGGAAUCAUGAAAGCAAACUUGUAGACCCAUCAUAGGACUAAAUUAGGCAUGGGCGUUCGGAUAUUCGGGUCGGGUUCGGGUCGGGUUUUUCGGGUUUGGGUUUUUCGGGUUUAGAAAACUAAGACCCGUUCGGGUAUUUUAAAACUUCGGGUUCGGGUCAGGUUCAGAUCGGGUAUUUCGGGUUCGGAUUCGGGUUUACCCAAAGUAUCCAAAUAUUAGAAAUUUUGUAUCCGAUUCUAUGCAAAGUAUUGAAAAAUACUCAAAAAAUCUAUAAAACCCAAGUAUUUUAACCCGAAUCUAACCCAAAGUAGCUAAAACACCCGAAAAUAUCUUAACAUCCAAAUAAUUUUGGCACUUAGGUUAUUACAAGUAUAAAUAUUACUAAUAUAUUAUAACUAUGUACUUAUAUUUUGGGUAUAUUCGGGUAUUUGUUCGGGUUCGAGUUCGGGUCGGGUUCGGGUUCGGGUUUUCGGGUUGUGAAGUUUAUAAUCCGUUCGGGUAUUUUAAAACUUUGGGUUCGGGUUCGAGUCGGAUUUUUCUGGUCGGGUUCGGUUCUGUUCUUCGGAUUCGGGUAUUAUGCCCAGGCCUAGACUAAAUGUAGCUUUUCAGAAAUGGAGAUAGAGAUAAUAGGACUAUUCAUCUUGUUUGAGCUGUUGUAGAAAUAGAUUUGGGGAUUUAGUGUUUUCAUUUGGGAAAAAUCUCUUUGGACAUACUAACAGGGUCGUUAACGGGUGAUAACGGAUGUUAUAGGUUCUGUUAACGAAUGAUGACGACAUGUCUAUUUUGGCAUGGUCAACGAAUUCUAAUGUUUCAAAUGUUAGUCAACGAUUAGUUCAUGUUUUGAAUGGCCACAUAUGAAGUUGAUGUUUAAAAUGGCCACAAUUUGAAAGUUGAUUAACAGAGUCGUUACGGGUGAUAACGGGCGUUAGAGGUUCCGUUAACGACUGAUAACGGCAUGUCUAUUUUGGCCUGGUCAACGAAUUUUCAUGUCUCAAACAUUAGUCAACGUUUAUUUCAUGUUUUAAAUGGCCACAUAUGAAGUUGACGUAUUGAUUGACCACUUUUUAAAAAUUGGGAGAUAAAACGACAUUUUUCCCAUAGAACAUUAACUGUUUUGGCAUUUAGAUGCUGUCAAAUUAACUGUUUUGAAUAUGCCUUUUAGACCCUGGUAACUAAUAAUACUCCUUUGUUUCCGAAUAAAUAUUUUUUAAAAACACUGUAGUAGUUAAUUAGUAGCAAUUAAAAUCAGUUUUUAUUUUUAUAUGCAUUCAAAUCAUCAAAUGGUAGAGAAUUUGUCUUGAGUUUUAGAAUUUAGACCAUGAUCGAAUCCUUUUAUUCACUUUGGUUAUUAUUAUAAAUUUAAAUGACAAAAUUAAAAAAAAAACUAAUGUUUUACAUAUCCUUGAGAUUUGUUUUCGUUUCGAUAUAAAGUUACAUAUUCCCGGUUACAUAUAUACAUGUUGAUUAUGGAUAAGAGAAUGCUAUUUAUUUUUUGUUGAAAAGACAAAUCAAUUAUUGAUAUGCAUGUAGCCAUGUACUACUAUGUACAGUCGUAAACAAAUAAUUGAUAAAGUUAUUAUAUAUAUGUGAAUGUAAAACAACAAAUUCUGAUGAAAAUCCAGCUAAUAUAAUAAGUACAAUUUAUAACAUCCUCUGUAUACAUCUGUCUGGUUAUUUCAUUUUAAAAGAAAACCAAAAUAUUUUCGGCUAAAUUUCAAGUUCAAUGAUGAAGUAUCAAUUAUAGGAACAUUUAUUUAUAGCUAUAAAUCUAGCUUUUGAUGAUGAUUAUUUUUUGGAAUUAAUUAUUCCAACCUGAUUUGUUUUACAUCUACUGUACACUGUGCGUGAGAAGCGGGUUAUUUGAAAAAGAGAUAUUAAAAAAAAAACAAAAGACAAAAUUAGAAAAAUAUAAUAAUGUAAAGGAAAAAUCUACUACUACAUAUUAUAGUAUUGAAGUGUAAAAUGGUCGUCUAUAUAAUGACAAAGAGGUCUCACAAAUUCUCACUACUCAAAUCUUCAUCGCUUAGAUCUUUCUUUAAAAACAAAUCAGAAAUUUUCUUAAGAGUCAAGAAAAUUUCAAGAACCUAAUCGAUAAUGAUCUCAGUGGUGAUUAUUACUGAGCUACUAGUAGAGUACACGGCUGCUCUAGCUAAACUCACCGCCGGGAUUCUUCCACGGCGUACCGGCGAUAGAAACUCCGUACGGAUCGGCGGUUUUCUCCUUCCUACACCUUCUUCGACAUCGAUGAUUCCUGAUUUCUCUUCUCACCUCGUUGAUUUCUGAUUUUGUCAACCUUUUUUUUGGUUUUUGACUUGAGAUUUGCGUCCUCUCUACUAUGAUCUAAUCGAUGAGAAGCGACUGAGAUUUUUUACCGAGUGUCUCGUCGUCUUGAAUCGCGUUUUCUUGAAUCGCAUAGAGCUUUGUAAAAUAUGUAUCUAAUUUAUAUAUAUAGAGAGAUGAUUGAUGGUUUUGAAGAAACUAAUAAGUUUACUCGAGCUUUUUUUUUGCUGCCAUGUGAUUUAAAUUUUUAUAGUACUUUAACAUUGUUAACAUUGUUAAAGGCUAUGAUCUUGAUCUGUAAUUUCAUAACUAGAUCUCUAUUUUGGUUUAUGGUGAAUGAAAUCUUGAAUUCGAAUUCGCUAAUGAGUUAUUUUAAACUUUUGGUUACAUUAGUAUUCGAUAGUAUUUGACAUUUGAAGUCAUUGAUCAGUAAAUUCUUUAGACUUAUUAGAACAUUCAACAUACUAUAUGAAUAAUGAAGUAGCUAGCCUAGUUGAUAUUUACGGAGUAAUAUUAAAUUGAAUAAUGUAUAGGUUAAAGACUUUGAACGUUCAAACAAGUUAAUUUAAUGGGAGAGUUUGUAACGUACGCCAUCUUUAUAAAUCGCACUAAUUCCAAAGCUACAAAAAAAAAUAAAAAAAUUUGAUGGAGAAUAUGUUUACUAAAUCAAAAUGAAACCAAACUAGCUUGAUUCAGUGGUCGGUCGACAUCACUUCAUUUGCUUUUGUUAAAUAUAAUUAUUGUAUUUUAUAUUAUCUUACGCUACAAUUUUAACAAACCAGUUUAACAAACCAGUUUAAACAAAGCCUGAUUUUAGAAUUGUUGAGGCUAAUUGCUGUGAACGAAUCAAAUAUGCAUGCAUAGAUGUGGCAAACAUUCAUCAAAACCGUAUAUGAACAAAAAAUCUCAAAUUUUGAAGAUACAAAGUUCCAAACCGUAUAUGAACAUUUAUAUUUUAGGGAAGCUCACACAGAAUUGAUAGCAUAACUCAAAUCUUAGAUCUUUAACAAGCAUACCAGAUUAGUACUAAAUCCAAGACUAUGCACAAGUGCACCUACUCGUUUGCAGAACGACGACGUAUAAGCCAUAUAUAAGGUUGUUGGUGUUUGUUGUUUUGUGGGAUUUAAAGUAUAUAUUUGUUGUCUACAUGAUGCUAGACAAGUAAUGCCUUCCUGUCUUACUACCAUAUAUCAACAUUAAAAUCAAGAUUCGAAAAGUUCCAAAUAAUGUUAUAUAUAAAUACAUGGAGGACUUAUAUAUGAGAGAUAUCUAUAGACAAGUUGGAUAUAUAAUGGAUGAAAAGGAGCCAAAUGUCGCAAACGAAACAAAACAGAUUGUGUGAAAGUUUUAGAUCGAUUAUUUUUUUGUUGAUAAAAAGUGUUGGAUCGUUCUUCCAGCAAAAAAGAAGUGGUUGAUGGAUUGGUGCCUUUUGACUUCUCAUAAUGUAAAUUUUUUCUACCUAAAACGGUCAUUUUUUUUAACCACAUCAACUGCUAAUUUUGCAAUAUUUUUGUUAUCAACAACAUGUAGUAUGUAAGUUUGAAUUUGAAUAGUGAUGUAUCAAUUAUAUUAAAAUAAAUUUCUAAAUAACAUAUUUUAGUCACUACAAUAGAAACAAAAUACAAACCAUUUUUAAGUGCUAAGAUUUUAAAUUCAUGUCCUAAUAUUAGUUGACAUUUUUUUAUUUAUGAAAAUUUUCCACACUUCUUUUAAAAUGUACUACAGUUUUAAACAACGCAAAAUUUCGUUGACUGUUUUUUUUUCCUGUUAAACUACAGAAUAUUAGAUGUUAUGGUCCAGAUAUUUUUAUUUGAAAUUAAAGAAAAGUUACUUUCAAAGUCAUUUUCCAAUUCUUUAAAAAUAAUAUAGUAGAAAGCAAAAGAUAAAAAAUAAUAAUAAAAGGCUAGGUCGGAACAAGUGUGAAAGCAACGGUUUAGUCGAGAUUUUUGCGUUCGCGUCAUGGUAUCGGCCGGCUUGUGGGUCAUUCGGUCAUUCCUAUUGCACCAAAACUCUCUAAAUUUAUUACAAUUAACAUAAAUAUUUAAAUAUGGUUUACCUUCACAAAUUGCAACAUUUUAAUAAGCUCUUUCUUUACAGCUCAUUUUGAAAAGAAAACAAAAAAAACUUUACAACAACUUGUGAGACUUGAGGAGACGACUCGACCUAAUUUAUAUAUUUUUAAUCCAUUUAACUAAAUAUCUGAAGGAUAUUUCCAAAACCAUCUUUAGUAUUGUAUCAUCAAUUUCGAUUGCAUCAUUUCUCAUCCCUCUUAGUUGGCGGUAGUUAUUACCAAUUUGUAUCAUUGUUGAUAUGAACGAAAUUUAUUGAAGGUCUAUAUCUACUCUCAUUAUCAAUAUGACCCAUAAUAGACUUUAAUUGAAUACAUCCAUUGACAGUUGUUUGUUGAAGACAAGCUUUCCACUAAAUGUGCAUUACCAUAUCAUAUACAUAGAUAGAACGAAAACAUAAAGUUAUUAGGAGUGUAAGGUGUUAAUUUAGAUCAUUUUGAGGCAUUAGUAUUAUAUUAACACUAUAAUUCACUAAAUAUGAAUAUGAAAUAACUUGAAUUUCACUAUUCAUUCUAAACACAAGUAAACUAUAGUUAUUUCUAAAUCCAUGUGUUUGAAGAUAUCUGAAUUGUGGCAGCCAAACUUUUAACUGUAUGAUUGUUUCAUACAUGGGCACCAUUCAAGAUCGAUAAAAACAAGUUUUCAAAGUUGGUUUAAUGUGUGGAAAUGUCGCGGUUGCACUUUGAUGCUGACUAGUCGGAGAUAGUACUUAUGAGACUAGAUUACUCGAUCCCACACAUGAUUGAAUGCUAUCUUAGCUUUUGUGGGGAACAUCUUUGAUGGGUCAAACUCAAAUGUAUACGGAGAUUUUUCAAAUACAGAAGAUUUACGCCAAAUCAUCGUUAUAAUAACUACUACUCCCUCCGUUUCAUAUUAAGUGUCGUUUUAGAUUUAAAAAUUUGUUACAAAAUAAGUGUCGUUUUGUAUUUUCAAUGUAGAUGUUUGUAAAAAUUUCCAGUUUUACCCAUACUUUAUUAAUGUGCUGACCAAUGAAAUUUUUUGUAUAAUAUAUUAAUAAGGGGUAAACAAAAAAUUUAAUGAUUUUCUUAAUAUGUGUGAAAAAACCUUAAACGACACUUAUAGUGAAACAGAGUGAGUAUUAGAAUUAUGAACAAUCAUCAGCAUUAAAUAUUAAUUGAUAGGAAGUAGGAAGUAUCUAUAAAGUCAAUAGUCAAACGUUCUACAAAAAAUACAAGUCCCAAAACUACAGACCCAUUAGAAAUUUGAACAUUAUUAUUCCAAGCCUCUCUGUUUUUUUUUGAAUCACUUAGGGAUUAAGAGGAAAGAGCAAUGCAGAAAAUCUUGCUUUCCCCUUUAACCUUCUGUUUAAGACGAUAACAAAGAACAUAAGAAAAGUAAUCGUCCGAUUAAAAGUUAAGAAACAAACACAUUUAUGCAACUUCUUAAGCCACUCAUUCCUUUGAUACACUAUCGAUAGCAAAAAGCCUGACAUUAAAGGUAGCAACUUGGAAGCAAAAUUCUCAAUAACUUGUCAAGAAAUCUGCAAAUAUAACUUCAAGGCAUAAUAAACAAUCUCAUACUAAGGAAAUGUCAUUACAUCACAUUAAUUCUCCAGAACCUAAACCUAAUCUAUUAAUCUACCUAACUGAUGAAGUCAUAAUUAAGGAAGAGCUCUAAUCCUUAGAUGUAACCAGAUUUCACUUUGUCCUACACAAAUUCCACGAAGUAGAGUCAUAAGCAUUGCAAUGUGAAGUCGAUAUAAUCCACUCUGCACAAGGAGCAGGCUUAUCGCACACGUAACAGUAACACUGCAUAGCAAUACAAACAUCAAACACAAAGUUAAUCCAUUUCAUACAUCAAAUCCACAAAGAAAAAGUGUUAAAAUUACCAAAUCACAAUGGCUUGGAUUAGGAGUUGAUCCAAAUGGAAAAUUAAAACAUAAAUGUCUUGGAUGUGGAUAAUCUCUACAAGCCACCUAUCAAAUCAUAUCAAAUUCCAUCAAAAAUAUCAAAUUUUGGAAUAAACCCUAAUUUAAAAACCUUAAAUUUCAAAGCUCAAACCUGUCCUGUUUCAUGGAUAAUGGCUAAAUCUUUAUCACCUUCAUGAUGAUCAUCAUCGGUAAAGGUGAGUUUUUUAACGUCGAACGAAUCAAAAGGAUCGAAAUCGAGGAUAAAGCAAUCCUCUGUUUCUUCGAAUCUUUUCAUGUCUUGUCUUGUUUUCAGACAGAAUAUGCCUCUUAGUGGUGUGUCAUCUUCUUCCUUUUUCUCCAUUUUUUUCUCUCACAAGUCGCCGAGAUUGAAACGGAAGAGUGAGAGACCAAACGUUGCUCUUCCUUGAGCAUUUCCACAAAAAACGUAACAACAUAGUUAAUGUAGGUUUGGGAAAUUAAUUUGGAGUUUUAUUAAUUAAAAUUAGCCUAGAUUAGUAUAUCGUGAUAUUUAGGUUUUAUCAAAAUCAAUUAAAAAAAAAAAUCAACCAAAAUCUCAUGUGGUAGUGAUUAGUGAACGUAGGUUUAAUUUUUGUUUUUAUGUUAAAUAAAUCAUUAGAUAAACAUUAAGGAUAAUCUUUAUCUUUUGUUGGUGUAUAUCUUUAAUUCUAGAAGAUAUGGCCAAGAUCAAUAAUUUAAGAUUGUUUUGGAUUUUUUCAUAAUUUUUCCAAAAAAGGAGCUACACUGUUUUAUUUUGAGGUUUAGAUGGAGCAAUCAGAAAAGCCUUCUAUAAUUUAAAAUAUGGGCCUAACUCUUAGUCCAAUUAGAUUUAAUUAAGUGAUUGGCUUGUUAAUUUCAUUACUCACAGGUAGUUUUGAUUGAGUGAUUGGCUUAUCAUAGCUUCAAUACAUCAAUAAGCCUGAUGUAUUGAAGCUUGCAAGUUGGGACUAGAGAGCUAGCAAUACUCUUAAAGAAGUUGUUGGUUCCAAGUUAAUUAGGUCAUUUCUAUAAAACCGCUUUGUGUAAGGAGGUCUGAACUUUGACCCGUCUAACCGAGGUCGACGUUGGAAUCUUUCAGCCAAUAACAAUUCGGCUAGCAAAUGCAUUUCAAACAUUACCAAUCCCAUAAUUAGUUACGCAUUGUCAUUACAUAGUACUCUUCCAAAGCUAAUCUUAAUCGGAGUCAUAAUAGCUCUCACUCUCAUGGGUUGGUAACUUCCUCACCAUAGAGUCUUUCUGAAGCAUUGCAAUGCGAAGACAUCCAUAGUGCACAAGGAGCAGGCUUAUCGCACACGUAACAGUAACACUGCAUAAUAUUGUUGAUCUCUACUGUUAAAACAAUUUUCAUAUCUAAGCGAGAAAAAGACAGUUUCAUAGGAGAUAUUUAGGAAAACAUUAAACAAAAAGUUAAGUCCAUUUCAUACUUCACUUUUUACUUAAGCCCUUUAAACAAAAGAUUAAUAAUUACCAGAUCACAGUGUGUUGCGUUGGAAGUUGAUCCAAAGGGAAAGUUCAAGCAAAGAUGUCUCGGAUGUGGAUAAUCUCUACAAGCCACCUGCUCAAUAUAUUUCAUCACAUUUUCAAGAUUAUAAACAUAUAUAUAUAUAUAAACCCUAAAUUUAUAACCUUAAUUUUAAAACUCAAACCUGGCCCGUCUCAUGGAUGAUUUCCAAAUCUUUAUCAAGGGAAUAUGAGAGCCUUUUAACGUCAAACGAAUCAAAAGGAUUGAAAUCGAGAAUGAAGCAGUCCUCUGUUUCCUCGAUUCUCUUCAUGUCUUGUCUGGUUUUCACACAGAAAAUGCCUCUGAGUGGUGGACUCCCUUCUUCUUUCAAUGAUGAUGUCUUUGUUCUCGCCUUCGUCUCCAUUUACUUCCCCAACUCGUAGAGAUCGGUAGGAAAGAGUGGAAGGCCAAACGUUGCAACUAGAGCAGCGUCUUUAUGUUUUAGAUUUUUAGUCAUAAAGAGUAGUUUCUGACUUCUAGACGUAAAACAAAUCGAGUGAGAGAAGGGAUAAUUGCAAUUAGAGUAAGGCCUAAUGCUUUAGUAAUAUGAGCCCAACUUAAUGGCCCAAAACUUGGUAGAAUAUUAAGAAUUUGGUUGGUUAUGAUAAUAAGGAAAAACUUCAAAAAUAUUCUCAAAACAAAAGAAUUAUUUCAAAACACCUCUCAACCUAAGAAAUACACCAAAGACAUAAGCUGUUGAUUCGGAAAAGGGCUUAGCUUUGCCUUCAUGAUAGUUAUAAACUUAUAAUGGUGUGUCUACUGAUAUAUAUGGAGGGCCUAGGUGUGAAGUCUGAUAUUUACGCUUGUUCGUAAAUAUUCAGAUCAUCCUCUAGUUUAAAAAAAAAAAAAAAAAUCAGAUAUAUAUGUAUAUGUUUGUUCAUAUAUUUAUCAUAUGCAUGAAAACAAAAAUGUAGCAGAUUAUUUAUUUGUGAAUUUCAUGUCGAGCAACCACCAAAAGGGUACAACUCAUUUCCAUUUUUUUCUAUUUAUUUUACGUUAUAAUUCAUUUCCACCAUAAACACUAUUUUACUUAUUCUUUUAUGGAUAAUAUAAGGCACGUUUUGUGAUCAUGACGUAUAACACGGUAGUAGGGGGAAAAAUGUCGUUUAAUCUCUCAACUUUCAAAAAGUGGUCAUUCAAUACAUCAACUUCUUAUAAGGCCAUUUUAAACACUAACUUAGCGUUGACCAAACAAUUGACCCAUGAGAUUGCGUUGACCCAGUCCAUUUAGACAUGUCGUUAAAUCUGAUAACAGACCCAUUAACAGACGUUUACAUCCGUUAGUGACCAAAACGUGGUUGUUUUAUACUUAACGAAAUCAAAUCGAGAUUUUUCUAAAAGAAAUCCCCAAAUUGAAAAACGAAAUCCCUACUUCUCCAAACAAAUGAAACCUAAUUCUCUCCAACGAUCUUGAAUCUGUCUUCACUAAUGCCAUUAGUUAGACACAACAACGUCAUAUCGGAGAUUGGGUCACCAAUGGAAGGCGAAUUAGAGAGUUUUGGAGCUAGAGUUGAAGCUCGCGAAGCAGAGACUGUUAUCAGAGAUGGAGAUGGAGAAUUCAGAGAAGAAGAAGAAGAAGAAGAAGAAGAAGAAGAUUAAGAAAAAGAAGAAGAAGAAUCUGAGAAUUGGAAUUGAAAAUCGAUUUUAGGGUUUCUGUUUUGAUUUGGGGAUUUUUGAGAUUGGGGAUUUCGUUUAAGUAUAAAACGACCAUAUUUUGGUCACUAACAGAGAAACGUUAACGGAUGUAAACGUCAGUUAAUGGGUCUGUUAUCGGAUUUAACGACGUGUCUAAAUGGGCCGGGUCAACGCAAUCUCAUUGGUCAAUUGUUUGGUCAACGCUAAGUUGAUGUUUAAAAUGGCCUUAUAAGAAGUUGAUGUAUUGAAUGACCACUUUUUGAAAGUUGGGAGAUUAAACGACAUUUUUCCCCGGUAGUAGGUAGGACUUUUUUUAAAAAAAAAUUCUCAAUAAGACUUUGAAAAUUGAAAUACCGUUUUUUCUUUCAAAUUGCUAUUAUAAACUUUUUCAGAUUAAAGCUAUACUUCAAAAACUGUCAUAUCUUAAUUUUACUAUGAUUAAGAAAAUUAAUCAUCAAAGUAAACUACUAUACAAGGGUCAUUACUUCAAUUAUAUAAGUACACUGGAUAAUAACUUGACUGCAUAAUUUAAGUAGAUCAUGAUCUUUUGGAUAACUUCGUCAAAAAAUAGUAUUUUGUUUUUCAACUAUCCUUUUUAUGUAGUACUUUUGAUCUUCAUAAACCUUAUUAGAUGUUUAUGUUUUCGUUAAUUAUAAAAUUUUCUAUACAAAAAUCAUUUCCAAGCAUUGACAGAUUACUCUUAAACUGGAAACUGGUGUAUAAUUUCAGAGUCGUUCCUAGGAGUAUAAAGACCAGAGGCAAUGCUAAAAAGAUUCUUCAAAUCAUAUAAAACAAAACUUAAGAAAAAAAUAACCACUAUCAUCCUAAAUAGAUAAAAACCUAGAGUAUAAAUCAAAGAUUAAUUCUAAAUCAUCUUUUUUCUUUCUUUUGCUAUUACAAAAUUAUCAACCAAGCUUUCAAAAUUAAAAUGUUUAGCCAACUCCUUUUCGAUAGAUAAAAUAGCCAAGUCACUUAAUCUUUUUUGUCACAUACUCAAGAUUAGUUUUACUUUCAAUUUAAUAUUCUAAAUAAAAAUAAAAAUCUAAAGGCUAGUAUUAGAUGAAACAACAUUAUUAUGAAGAAAGUUCUUCCCAAUUGAUUACGAAAACAAAAUGCCGUCGAUUGUAAUUGUAAGUCAACAAUGAUUAAGAAACUUACUAAUGUUUGGUUUUCUAUUAGACUUUUAGCUAAUUGAAAAAUAUUUUUGUUUAACCCAAAAUUGUAACAUUUUUCUACCUAAGAAAUUAAUAGCCUUUGGUUUAUUUUUGCAGAAAAAGGCCGUAGACCAAAGUUUAUUUUCUAAUGCCUUAGAACAAUGGGACUGUUGAUAAAAAAAUUAAACUGUUUAAUUGUUACAAUGAGGUGUUGAACAAAUUGUUUAAUCCGAUGUGGAUUAAUCUGAGUUGAAUCGCAGGAGAGACUAGAGAGAGAGAAACAGUGUCAUGUGGCAUGUUCUUAUUGGCUGUUGAGUUUUUUGAGCUUUUUUUUACCCUAAUUAUUUAAAUCAAUAAUCUAUGGUAAAUCAAUAUUUUUAUUUUUUAUUUCUAUACCAGAAUUCAUCAUUUUUAUUUUGUAUUUUUUUUUAAUUACGAUAUCUAUUUCUUAUUUUUAUUAUUUGAAAGAAAACAAUAAGAAUCUAACUAACAAAAUUUAUCUAACUUUUAAUAAUUUUAAUUUUAUUUUAAAUGGUAAUUUUUAUUAUUAUAUAAUCACAAAAAUACAAAUACAAAAUAAAAUACAAAUAUAAAAUAAAGUAGAUAGAUUGUUGAAUUUUAUUAAAUAAGACUAUUGUAGAAUGAAAAAAUUGAUUGUGUUGAAUUAAUUGGUGGAAGAGAGAGAAGAUGAUGUGGAUGGUUAAAAAAGAAAAGUAGAGUGUUGAAAAUAAAAACCAUUGUUGAUAGUCUUAGGCACGGGCAUUGACAGAUCAAAUUAUUGUCAAUUUAUUUGACUUGUAGUUGUCGACUUGUCGUAGGUGAGAAAUAUCAAAUAUUUUUCUUCGUUAAACAAUUCAAAGAAAGAUAACCAACUAUGAUGGCUCUAUAAAAAUAAAAAGUCGUAUAGAAAAUUAAGAUGGAGUAAAGGUAUUACGAUAAAUAUUUUUAAAAUAAACUUAAGUAUUACGUAUAUAUAUCGUAAAAGAGAAAAGGAAUUAUUUUGUGCCGAACUCAAUUUCAUAAUAAAAAAAAACAUAUUAUAUGAAUUUAAUUAAAGCAUAUUUAGGUAAAACUUUUCAAUCCUUUCUUAUUUUCUUUUGAAGUAGCUGACAUUCUAUGAAAAGAAAAUGUCAAGGAAAUGAAUAACGUUGAAAAAAAUGAUACGAUUUUAACCAGUCAGACACUAAGAAAAUUAAUCAUCAAAGUAAACUACUAUGCAAGGGUCAUUACUUCGAUGAUAUAAGAACACUGCAUAAUUUAAGUAGAUCAUGAUCUUUUGGAUAACUUCGUCAAAAAAUAGUAUUUUGUUUUUCAACUAUCCUUUUUAUGUAGUACUUUUGAUCUUCAUAAACCUUAUAGAUGUUUAUAUUUUCAUUAAUUAUAAAAUUUCUUAUACAAAAGUCAUUUCCAAGCAUUGACAGAUUACUCUGAAACUGGAAACUGGUGUAUAUGACAGACACUGCAGAGCCAUUCCUAGGAGUAUAAAGAUUAGAGGCGGUGCUAAAAAGAUUCUUCAAAUCAUAUAAAAUAAAACUUAAGAAAAAAAUAACCACUAUCAUCCUAAAUAGAUAAAAACCUAGAGUAAAAAUUNNNNNNNNNNNNNNNNNNNNNNNNNNNNNNNNNNNNNNNNNNNNNNNNNNNNNNNNNNNNNNNNNNNNNNNNNNNNNNNNNNNNNNNNNNNNNNNNNNNNUUUUGAUAGAUAAAAUAGCCAAGUCACUUAAUCUUUUUUGUUACAUACUCUGAGAUUAGUUUUACUUUCAAUUUUAUAUUCUAAAUAAAAAGAAAAAUCUAAAGGCUAGUGUUGGUGUCGGAUCCCGCACCAGAAGUCCGCGACCAACCAAAGAUUGCCACGUAGUCAAAAUAGUGGCCCAUAAAGGACGAAGCCCAAUGGACCCAUGAGUCGAAGGAACGGUCGAAGUGGUUGUCACCACUUCGAGAAUCCGAAGUGAUUACAUUGCGACAUGAGUUCGAUGAAGAAGGCAUGGGUAAGAUGGUUCAAGGAUAUUUGGGCCGAAAAGGCGAGGCCCACGAAGAUCUGUUUUCUUUUCAAAUUCAAACGUUGAGCAUUAAAGUCAAACAAAACGGACACAUUUAAGAAGGAAUAAUAGCGCUUAAUUACUCAUUUUAAUGUCGCUUCUCUAUGUAUAAAUAUAGAGGCCAAUGGCCAUGUAAGGGGGAUCUUCCUCUCAAGAGAGAAAUAUAUAGCAAUUCUCGUAACAAUUUAUAAGUUUUUACAUAUUCAUUUUUGUCCCUCAAGAAUAAUCUUUCCCACUUAACAAAAUACUUGAGUGUGUGAAUCCGACAUCCACAGCUAGUAUUAGAUGAAACAACAUUAUUAUGAAAAAAGUUCUUACCAAUUGAUUACGAAAACAAAAUGCCGUCGAUUGUAAUUGUAAGUCAACAAGUCAACAAUGAUUAAGAAACUUACUAGUGUUUGGUUUUCUAUUAGACUUUUAACUAAUUGAAAAAUAUAUUUGUUUAACCCAAAAUAGUCAGAACGAUGGUACUCCGAUUGUUGAUGAAACCGUUGGAGGUGACUUUUAUGAUGAUAAGUCUUGUGAGUCGAUACUCCAUGUUGGGAGUGGUCAACCACACAUGAUUUUGUCGGUUAUACGGACUGGAAUUCUGAUGUUUAUCUGAAUGUCUAGAUCCAAUUUAUACCGUUUACGGUGGAGUUGUUAUUGGUUACGAGUCCAGUGAGUCGACACACCAAAUUUAGUUUGGUAGUGGGUCAACCACUUGUGACUGUGCCAUGUUCUGAUGUUAAUCAGAUUUUAAGAUCAUUUCUUGGCGUUGUAAGUGCAAGAUUGAUGCUUAAUAAAAAGUCAAAAAAAAGAUGUCACCAAGAGUGGCUUAUGAGUCACAAAACUGACGAAUAUCGUAGCGAUGCUAACGAAUGACGGAGUAAAAUUGACUCACGAUAAUCCCAGAACAAUAUGAUUGAAACGGACAUGUGUAAUGUAAUUUCUGAAAUCAAUAUAGUUGGGAUGAAUCUCUUAAAGAGAUGUUGAAUGCAAUGUUGGAGGAUUUGGGUUACUCCAGGAAAUGUGGGGGAAGCGUUGCUUACCACAAAUAAUAUCCUCAACAAGAAACCAAGUUAUUGGCGAGUUCAUAGCUUUAGAUAAUUCUAAAGAAGCUAUGUAGCCUUUGAACUUUGUGAGAAAAAAAAACAAGUGCAUUGUAAUAGCAGCUAAAGCUUAGGCACUGAGUUUUUUUUUUUGGGUAAUGGUUAGUCAUAUCUUUAAAGAAGAUGAUGUAAAACCAUUAGAAAACUGAUCUCAAUUCUGUGUAAUCUCGAUAGAUUAUAUCAAAUCGAAUGACAACCUAUUGGAUCCAUGUUAAAGGUGUGUCAUGAGAUCAAGUUGUAAAUCAUCAAGAGGAAUGGGUUUAAAGCCUAUGACUUAAGAGGAGGUUUGAUGGUAACCCUACCUACAUGACUGGAGAUCCCAAGAUGUAGGUUCAAGGGGAAAACUAAAUCAAACUGAAUCUAUUAAGAGCACUGUGAGACGAUAGUCUCUUCCCAGUUCCUAGGAUGAUGAACAGUGCUUCCUGUAUGUACAGAGGAUAAGCGUUUGCUUUUAAUGAUUUGAGUCCAUAGCUUUGAGAUAAAAGAGAGUAUUGCAGGAUACUUCUUAAAACAAAGCUAACAUGGCAAAUCACCUUUUGAGUGUGAAAUGGGGCCGUUUCUAGGAGAAUAUAUGAGGCUAUAUUUUCCAAGUUCAUUCAUGAUUAACCAGGCAAGUUCAGGGCCAAAAUGAACACAACAGAGAACCUAGUUGUGUGAGAAAAUGAAGCUGUGAAAUAGCUGUUGUCUAGGUUUACACUAAAGCCCGGGUGGUUCAAGACAUCAUGUUCACCACCUAGGAAGCACGGAAGCUUCAUCGAUGGUCCGCUUCCCACUUUGGAAUCUUAGUCGGAAUCGGAAGCUUUUGGAAGCUUUUGGAAUCUCGCUUCCAUAACGCUUCCAAAAAAUCUACUUUGGAAGCUCGUUGGAGACUUAUGAUUCCAUUUUAGAAGCUUCCGUUUCCAUUUAAAAAAUUUGAAACUCACAUAUUAAUAAGAAACAUGAAAUUAUUUUAUACUCCCUCUGUUUCAUAUUAUAGGAUGUUUUAGACAUUUUAUUUUGUUUCACAAUAUAGGAUGUUUAGGAAAAACAGUUCAAGUUUCUAUGCAAAAAAUUAAAUUUGUAUAAUUUGUGACUAUUUAGAUUUUGCAGUAAAGCAUAUCAUUGGCCAAAUUAUCUUUAACUAUUUAUUAAAUUAUGUUUUAAUGUAAAAUAUCUAAAAUCUAAAAUAAUUAAUUAGUUUUUUAAACUUUGUGCUUUUAGGUAAAACAUCCUAUAUUUUGAAACAGAGGGAGUAGUGUUUUUUACAAUUAAAAAAAAAAAAACAAAAAUAAUUUUACAAUUUAGAAUUUUUGCAUACUAAUUUCUGUAUUUUAUUUUUAAAAGAUCUUAACAAAAUAACCACGACAUGAAUCAUUUAUUUGAAAAAUGUUGGAAUGAUUAAUUGAUUUAAAUAAAUUUUGAGAAACUUGAAUUUGAUGAUAUUUUUAUCGAUAAAACAGAAUUUGCAACCAAUUUAUUGGAUGGAAUUAAGAAAAUGAGAAUGACAAAAGUGGUCUAAAAGUUUGACUUUUAACUAUUUUAAUUUUAUUUAUUGUAAAAAUAAACUAUUUAGUUUUUAUUUGUAGUGGAAGUAUUGAAAAUGUAUGUAUUAAAUUUGUGUGGUUUAUUUUUUUUUCAUAUAUAUAUAUAUAUAUAAUAAUAAUAAUUUCUAUACACGCUUCCAACACGUACCCAUUUUCUAAAAUUUCUAAAAAAUCGCUUCCACAUUUCCAAACGCUUCGCUUCCGCGUACCCGCUUCUGAUUCUAUGCAACUUAGUUCACCACCUGGCCGGGUAAAUCCGACAGUUAUGAAAAUGAGUGGUUCAAAGCUGAAAAAUGCUACCAUCUCAGAUAAAGUGGAGUUUUUGUUGUUACUCUCAAAAGUCCUUAUGUCGAGUCUUGUCUAGUUAGGUAAAGUAUUUUGAGUCGUCAUCUGUUUAGAGUCAUUUAUAUCCAUGUGGGGGAUUGUUGGAACUUAUUUUGAUUAGUUGCGCCGGAUUACUUUUUCGGGUAUUUUUCAAAAUUGAAAUUCGUUUGAAUGAGAAAUGGAGGUCCUAAGUGGCUAGCUUGGAUAGCUUGAAAUUUGACUAAAGGAUCAAAUGUCGCACUUCAGAAGUUAAAAGAGAAAUCCAAACCAUGCAUGUGUGCCGAGCCGUGUUGUAUCGUGUCGAGCCGGACCCGGUUUGGAAUUUGAGAUUUGAGAAAUAGAUUUAUAACCCAAAUAAUAAUAAUUAUUUACCCAAAUGUGUUUAAGUCAUAUUGUUGAAAGAUUCAACAUAUAUCUCAUUUAAUUGUGAAUUGUGUAACAACAAAUCAAUUAAUGAGAAUAAUGGAGUCAAUGACUAUCAUUGAGAAUAUGACUUUUAUGUUGAGAAUGAAUUCUCAUUACUCCUCUUUAUUUCUAAUGUUUAGAGUUUGGACUAUAAAACCAAGGCUUCAUCUGUCCAUUUUUGGGUCAUUGACAUAUGGAUCAAAAAGGUCACAAUCUCCUCUUUCUUCUUUUCUCUAGUUAUCGAGUCUGAGAGUACACACAUUACUAGAGUUCGUUAGGCUUCUGGUUUUGAGUGUUGCAAAUCAGAAGAUGGUGCGGUUGUAUCAUUGGAUUUUGAUUGCGUCAAGCCGUCACACUACGGGCAAUUAAAGAAUUAAGGAAAGAGUGUCUCGCCUUCGCACAAACCGUUCUUUGUUUAACAAAUAUUGAUAUCGGUUGUUGUAUUUUAUUUCUGGUUUUAUCAUUAUCUAUUGCAAUUAUUCAGUUUUGUCAUGUCGUAGAAAUCGUGGCCCUACACGACUUCCAUUGCACAAUCCUCUCAAGUCUCAUUUUUUUCCUUUAUUAAUCUCUUUGUUUAUCGAUUAUAAUCUAAAGACGAUCUUCGAUUAAAAGUUUGAUCACUCUAUAAUUUAUAUGUAAAACGUUUGGUUUCAUGAAAAUCAAAGUUGUAAUGACGAAAAAAAUAAAAAAAAAAAUGACGACCCAUAAAAUGCUUUAGACUGUCAAGUGUAUUGACCAUCCACCUACACAUUCUUAGUUAACAUAAUUUCAUUUUUUUGUCCUUAAUAUAUUUGCUAAUUACAAUUUUUUUUUGUUAGAAGAUUUUCUAUGAUACAAAAGAAUUUACAAAGUCUUAUAAGCAAUGUGAAUUGUGAUUUUACAACGAACGAAUUACUAUGCAUGCAUAGUGACGGUAGGCUCCACACAAAUUAUAUUUUACUCGUAAUAUUUUUCACGUGUAGCGUCUAUUGUUGACGCUUGCUAUUGUUGACGUUUGUUUUGUGACUUUUGUAACACUCCCCCUUGGAGACCAGUGUCACUAUGUCUCUUGUGUAAUAUAUAUCUUCUGUUGCCUCGUUAAAAACCUUUCUAGAAAAACCUGGUGCGAAAAAUCAUAGUAGGUAAAAAGAGUGCAACCGCGCAAGCUCCCCCUCGAAUGAUCAGGAUCAUAACUUACAAGUCUUGUUGACGACGCAUUCCAAUGUUAUGAACAUGUUUUCUGAACAUAGAGGUGAGCAAUGAUUUUGUGAAGAGGUCCGCAGAAUUCUCGGAUGAUCAGACAUAUCUUACUUCAAUGUCUUUAUUCUUCACGAGCUUUUGGGUGUAUGAAAAGAACUUCGGAGGGAUAUGUUUGGUUCUAUCACUUUUGAUAUAUCCUUCCUUUUCUGAGCAACACAUGCAGCAUUGUCUUCAUAUAAGAUAGUUGGCUCCGUAUUCAGACGAAUUCCACUACUUGUUUGAAUGUGUCGACUUAUUGAUCGUAGCCAUACACAUUCUCUACUCGCUUCAUGGAGUGCAAUGAUUUCAGCAUGAUUUGAAGAAGUUGCUACAAGCGUCUGCUUCUGAGAACACCAUGAUAUAGCAGUACCUCCAAUCGUGAAUACGUAUCCUAUUUGUGAUCGAGCUUUGUGUGGGUCUGAUAAAUAUUCUGCAUCUGCAAAACCAAUCAUUUGACCAUUUAUAUUUUUAGGAUAAAAUAACUCUAAAUCAAUAGUCCCUUGAAGAUAACGAAAGACAUGUUUAAUCCCAUUCCAAUGUGUUCGUGUAGGGGAUGAAAUAAAUCUAGCCAAAAGAUUGACUAAAAAUGAUAUAUUAGGUCGAGUGCAAUUUGCAAGAUACAUAAGGGCUUCAAUUGCACUUAGAUACGGUACUUCAGGACCGAGUAUCUCUUCAUUCUCCUCAGGUGGUCUGAAUGGAUCACUCUCAAUAUUAAGUGAUCUAACGACCAUUGGAGUACUGAGAGGAGUUGCCUUAUCCAUAAUAAAACGUUUUAACACUCUUUUGGUGUAUGUGGAUUGAUGUACAAAUAUACUCUUUUGAGUAUGUUCAAUUUGUAGGCCAAGACAAAAUUUUGUCUGUCCGAGAUCUUUCAUCUCAAAUUCCCCUUUUAAAUAUUUUGUUGCUUUCUGUAUUUCUGCUUCCCGAUUAUGUUUAGAUCAUCAACAUAUACCGCGAUUAUCACAAAUCCGGAAUUUGUUUUCUUUAUGAAAACACAUGGGCAUAUAGGAUCAUUCACAUAUCCUUCUUUCGUUAAGUGCUCACUGAGACGAUUAUACCACAUUCGUCCAGAUUGCUUUAACCCAUAUAAUGAUCUCUGCAACUUUAUUGCACAUAACUCUUUGGGUUUAGAUUUUAAUGUUUCUGGCAUAUUAAACCCACCGAGAACUCUCAUAUAGAUAUAUGUAUCUAAUGAUCCAUAUAAAUAUGCUAUAACGACAUCCAUGAGACGCAUCUCUAUAUUUUCUCCAGCUGCUAGACUCAUCAGAAAUCUAAACGUUAUAGCAUCCAUAACAGGGGGAAUAUGUUUCCUCAUAAUCAAUCCCGGGUCUUUGAGAAAAUCCUUGAGCAACGAGACAAGCCUUGUAUCUCGUAAUUUCAUUUUCCUCAUUUUGUUUUCUAACGAAAACCCAUUUGUAUCCAACCGGUCUCACAUCUUCAGGUGUGAGUACAAUAGGUCCGAAUACAUUUCGCUUAUUGAGCGAAUCAAGUUCCACUUGUAUUGCAUCUUUCCAUUUUAUCCAGUCAUGUCUCUUUUGACAUUCAUAUACCGACUUUGGUUCUGGAUCCUCAUUUUUCUCAUCAAUUUCCUUUGACAAAAGGUAUGAGAAAACGUCAUUAACAUCAUCUAUUUUAUUUCGAUCUCAGAUCUUUCCAUUAUGGAUAUAGUCAAUAGAAAUCUCAUGAUUUCCUUCAGGCUCAUGAUGCUCAUCAUUGUCAUUAGACUCAUGAUUCGUUUCUUCCAAAAUGUUUUCUGCUAUUUUGGAAAUAUCAUGCUUUUCAACUUCUUUUCGUUUUCUAGGAUUUUUAUCCUUAGCACCAACUGGUCUACCACGUUUCAAGCGUGUUUUAGACUCAUGUGUAUCAUCUGCUCCUCCACGUUCUUGUGGUAUUUCAAUUCGAGCAUAAACAUUUGUAGCUGGUAUAUAUGAUUUAGUUACCGUUUCGGUAUAUGCAAAAGCAUCGGGAAGUUGAUUUGCUAUACUUUGCAAAUGCACAAUUCGUCGAACUUCUAUUUCUGACUCUUUUGUAGGAGGAUCAAGGUGUAACAGGGAUGGUACACACCAUUUGAUUUUUUUUCCUACUUGCUUAUUUUCUCCCCCUAGAACCGGGAAUACUUUCUCAUCAAAAUGACAAUCGGCAAAACGUGCCGUAAAGACAUCACCAGUCUGCGGUUCUAGGUAUCUUAUAAUUGAUAGAGAAUCAAAGCCAAUAUAUAUUCCCAAUCUUCUUUGUGGUCCCAUCUUUGUACGUUGUGGUGGUGCUAUAGGUACAUACACCGCACAACCAAAAAUUCUUAUAUGGGAUAUAUUUGGUUCUCAACCAAAUGCUAUCUGUAGUGGGGAGUAUUUAUGGUAUGCACUUGGUCCUAUCCGAAUGAGCGCUUCUGCAUGUAAAAUGGCAUGUCCCCAUACAGAGGUUGGAAGUUUUGAUCUCAUGAUCAAUGGUCUUGCAAUCAAUUGCAGACGUUUAAUUAAUGAUUCUGCCAAGCCAUUUUGUGUAUGAACAUGAGCUACAGGAUGUUCAACUUCAAUUCCCGUUACCAUACAAUAAUCAUUGAAUGCUUGGGAUGUAAAUUCACCAGUGUUGUCUAGUCUAACUCUCUUAAUGGAAUAAUCAGAGAACUGAGCUCUUAAUUAGAUUAUCUAAGUUAUAAAUCUCGCAAAUGCCAAAUUUCGAGAUGACAAUAGACAAACAUGUGACUGCUAGAUGCGUCAAUCAUUACCAUAAAAUAGUGGAAUGGUCUACAUGGUGGAUGUAUCGGUCCACAAAUAUCGCCUUGAAUUCGUUCAAGGAACUUUGAUGACUUUUUAUCAAUUUUGUAUGGCGAUGGCCUUAUGAUCAACUUUCCAAGAGAACACGCUGCACAUGUCAUUUUAUUUCCAUGAUUUUUCAAUGAGUGACCAUGUGAGCUCUCUAUGAUUUUUCGCAUCAUUGUGUGGUGCCUAGGUGACCAAGGCGAUCAUGCCAUAAUAAGAAAUCUUCUGGAUUUCUUUUGAUCACAAGAUGUGAUUCUAUGGCAUCUAUGGAAGUUCUGGAAAUUUUUCCAAGACAUGUCUUUUUCCAGAUUUUAUAGAAGUUAUAUACAUAUACUUCUUUCCACCCUCAGUUGCAGACUGAGUUUCAUAUCCUUGAAGGUAUAUGUCUUUGAAACUCAACAAAUUCCUCUUAGAAUUCGGAGAAUAUAAGGCAUUAUUUAUGGAAAACUUUGUUCCAUUAGGCAAUUUAAAAUUUGCUUUGCCACUUCCUUCAAUUAAGUUCGUAGGACCCGAUAUUGUAUUGACAACAAUUCUCGUCGGUUUUAAUUCAGAGAAAAAUCUCUGAUUUCUCAGAAUAGUGUGCGUUGUUCCACUGUCUGGUAUACAAAUAUCUUUGAUAUUUUUCCUUGCUAUCGUUUUGUUUGAAUCUUGAUCUAUUUCUCUGUAAUCAAUAUAGACGUUAAUAAAUAUAAGCAAAUAUCAUUGAUAUUGAAAAUAUAGAAUAAUCAUACACUAGUUCAUUUUCAGAGACAACUUUAUUUUCAAACAACAGAAAUACAUAAAACUUAUAUAAUGGCAUUACUGGAGACUAGCAGUCUCACUACAAGCAUUUUAGUUAUCCGCAUGAGCGGUCUCAUUAAUCUUUUCCGCUAUUAGGAGUGCCACAAAUAAAUUCGAAAAUUUGGUAUACCCGCAUGACAUAUACAAUUUUUGCUGGGUAAUGUGGUUUUCAUGAAACGUGGUAUACGUUUUCUCAAACAUCUGAGAAUCGGUGAUAAUAUCACCAUAAUAUUUUAGUUUAACCACAAUUUUCAUCAGCGGAAUUAUAAUCCAUCACUUUAUCAAAGUCUUUGAACUUUAGACUUUGCCAUUCAUCCCGAACAAGUGGGAGAUUUAUGGCCUUUCGAUUAUCAAAUCGAGCUUUUAGGGAUUUUCAUAUCUCUUUGGGAUCUUUUAUGUGUGCAUAAUCACAUAUGAUACUUUCAUCAAGGUGUCUUAAAAUAAAGAUCACCGAUUUUUUUCUUUCUUGAACCGUCGAAGUAGUAUUAUCUUUUACGGUUUUUAUUAAGCCAAGAGAUUGUAAAUGUAGUUCGACGUUGGCAAUCCAAAAUAUAUAAUUGGCCAAAGUGAUGUCUACAGCCGGAAACUUAAGCUUCUCAAUGUUUGCCAUUAGUUAUCUAAACACAAAAUUAAAUAAAUAUUAUUAGUAAAAUAAUAUUAUUUAUUUCAUAUUGAACCAUUUAUAUUAAUGAUGCAAGCGAUUACAAAUAACAUAAUUGCAUAGAGAAGUAAAGCGAUACUUAUGGUAAAUUCUUCGCGAAUAAAUUCCCCAACGAAAAGACCAUAAGUAUAUGCAACAAUUGCAAUUAAACAAAGAAUUAAAAACAAGCGAAUCAUUUUCCAAAAAGAAAACUUAAACAAAAUUCUUUAGAAAAAUAUAUGAGGAGAGAUAUGAUUUUUGAGUGAAUGAAUGAGUGAAAAUGAGUGUAUUUAUAGAUUGAAAAUUACUGUUCAUAGCCGUUUGAAAAGUGAUAAGUUUUUUAUUUUUUUUUCUUCAUGACCGUUAGCGAAAAGAUUUAAAUAGAAAAUCAAUCUCUAAAUUUUAAUAGCCGAUCAGUUAAAUUUACCAAAUUCAGAUAAUAGGUUUUUAUACAGGUGGCCGAGCCUCCUUAUAUAUUAACCAAAAUAUAAACAUAACAUAAAUAAAUUUAACGGCAAUAUUGUGGUGACAGAGUCAUCCACGUUAUAACAGUAAAUAGUUAUGGUGACGAAGUCAUCCAAGUUAUAACAGUAAAUAGUUAUGGUGACGGAGUCAUCCACAUUAUAGGCGGCUUAACCGUCCAUUGUUAUGGUAUAUAAAACAUUCAUUACAACGAUUACUUAUAGUGGCGACAUUCCUCCCACUAUAAUAACGAGUAAAUAACGGUAUCCGAACAACCACUAGAAAAUAAUAUACAUAUAUCUAUAUAAAUAUUUUUUAUUCUUUUUUUUAUUCUUUUUUAUAUUCUUUUUUAUAUUCUUUUCUUUUCUUUUUUUUUUCUUUUUUUUCUUUUACACAUACUUUUUUUUUUGUAACGAGGCGACAUACCGCCCAGUAUAAUAUCGUAUUUUUUUUUUCAGCGAACAUAGAGUGAUCGUGCUGAUAACGUGUUAUAAAUAAUUACUUUAUUUUAUGAUGUAUAUAAAUAUAAAUAAUGGAGAAAAAAUUUAUGUGAAAAUAAAGAGAUGAGAGAGAGAUUAUUACUUCUCUUGUAAUCGAAGCAAUACAAAUUGUGAUUUUACAACGAACAAUUCGAUGCAUAGUAAAUUAUGAUGGGCUCCACAUAAAUUAUAUUUUACUCUUAAUAUUUUUCAUGUGUAGCGUCUAUUGUUGACGCUUGACGUUUGUUUUUGUGACUUUCGUAACAUUUUCAUUAUAUUUUCUGACAUUAGGGCCUAUUAUUAAUAUGAUAAAAUACAAAAAAAAUUGAUGUGUCCCGACUUUCAAUUGGACCAAAUCAUUACGCCAGAUCAGAAAUUUGCGUUAAAAUAUGCCAAUCUCUCAAACGUCUAACUUCUGUAAUAUAUUUUCAUAUAAAUAAACCUCUCAAACCUCCACACUUCUCUCACCCAUCACACAAUCCUCAAAACAGAGUAACCCAAAAAAACAGAGCAAUCUAAAAAAAAGUCUCAAGAAACCUCACUAAAAUGGGUUCAACGGCGGAGACACAAUUAACUCCGGUGCAAGUCACCGACGACGAAGCUGCCCUCUUCGCCAUGCAACUAGCCAGUGCCUCCGUUCUUCCGAUGGCUCUAAAAUCUGCUUUAGAGCUCGACCUUCUUGAGAUCAUGGCCAAGAACGGUUCUCCCAUGUCUCCGACCGAGAUCGCUUCUCAUCUUCCGACCAAAAACCCUGGAGCUCCGGUCAUGCUCGACCGUAUCCUCCGUCUUCUUACGUCUCACUCCGUUCUCACCUGCUCCAACCGCAAACUUUCCGGUGACGGCGUUGAACGGAUAUACGGGCUUGGUCCGGUUUGCAAGUAUUUGACCAAGAACGAAGAUGGUGUUUCCAUUGCUGGUCUUUGUCUUACGAGCCAAGACAAGGUUCUCAUGGAAAGCUGGUGAGUUUUCUUGAUAUGAGUUCUGACUUUUAAUAGAUCUUUAUGGUAAAUCAAGCUAGAAAAUUUCUGUUUUUGAUAAUGUUGUUUCAUAAGUUAUGUAUCUUGGUUGAUGUGAUUAAAAUACAAUUAUGCAAAGCUAAAGGUGAGAGAGAGAGGCACAAAGUGUCAAAGACAAUCAGACAAAUACAGUAUAGUCUAAAGUCUAAAACAUUUAUGUUAGGUUGUUCCAAUCAUAAGAGCUACAAGAAAAAACUUCUUUUUUUUGCAGAAAAUACAUAUUUUUCCUUCUUUUUUUUGUCUAGUUCAUGGCUUUAAAUAGAGAAGCUGUAAUCGUUCUUCCUAGUAUUGACUAUUGAGUAACAAAAUAAGGAAAUAGAAUAGCAACAUGAUUAGGAUCGAAGAGAACUGGUCUUCUGAUGAGCAACAAGAAAAAAAAAAAAUAGAAACCUUAUAAUCUGGUUUUGGUUUUAUUCAAUCGAACCGGCUGGUUCUCUUUGCGAACCGGCGGUUCUUUCUCAAACUAAACAAUCAACUUGACGUGGAUCUAGUUUAAUCACAAAGUAGAGUUCAAUCUUGUGAUCACUUUCAAAACAGAUUAUUAUAGUUAGUGAUAACCAAAAGUUGAUCUGGUUUAGAAUUUGAAGAGAAACUAAAAAAAAAAUUUAUGGUUAGGUAAUAAGAUUAAGCUUAAAGAGUGUAUGUGUGUUUUCUUAGACUCAUGCCAAAGAGACAUGUUUCAGGUACCAUUUGAAGGAUGCAAUUCUUGAUGGUGGGAUUCCAUUCAACAAGGCUUAUGGAAUGAGCGCGUUUGAGUACCACGGAACUGACCCUAGAUUCAACAAGGUCUUUAACAAUGGAAUGUCUAACCAUUCCACAAUCACCAUGAAGAAGAUUCUUGAGACCUACAAGGGUUUCGAGGGCUUGACUUCUUUGGUUGAUGUUGGUGGUGGCAUUGGUGCUACUCUUAAAAUGAUUGUCUCCAAGUACCCUAACCUUAAAGGCAUCAAUUUUGAUCUCCCACAUGUCAUCGAAGAUGCUCCUUCUCAUCCCGGUAUAUUAACAAUUACCUAACAUUUCACAAAAUCCGAUUUGCUUGGAAGAUUGGCGUCUUAUCGCUAAAUUAAUGCAGGUAUUGAGCAUGUUGGAGGAGAUAUGUUUGUAAGUGUCCCUAAAGGUGAUGCCAUAUUCAUGAAGGUUAGUAAAUAGUAAUUAACUAGGUUUUCUACUAAUUACUUAAACCGAAAACUCUUUGACUCUUUUUUGUCGAUUUCUCAUUGUUGUAACAGUGGAUAUGUCAUGACUGGAGCGACGAACAUUGCGUGAAAUUCUUGAAGAACUGCUACGAGGCGCUUUCAGAGGAUGGAAAAGUGAUAUUAGCAGAGUGUAUACUUCCAGAGACACCAGACUCAAGCCUCUCAACCAAACAAGUAGUCCAUGUCGAUUGCAUUAUGUUGGCUCAUUAUGGAGGCAAAGAACGAACCGAGAAAGAGUUUGAGGCAUUAGCCAAAGCAUCAGGCUUCAAGGGCAUCAAAGUUGUCUGCGACGCUUUUGGUGUUAACCUUAUUGAGUUGCUCAAGAAGCUCUAAAAGACCAUAAAAUGUCCCUUUAAAGAUGAUUUUAUAUGUAAACAUUAUCUCAUAUGUAAACUCUAAAAAUCUAUUACAAUUAACAUAAAUAUUUAAAUAUGGUUUACCUUCACAAAUUACAACAAUUUAAUAAGCUCUUUCUUUACAGCUCAUUUUGAAAAGAAAACAAAAAAAACUUUACAACAACUUGUGAGACUUGACUUGACCUAAUUUAUAUUUUUAAUCCAUUUAACUAAAUAUCUUAAGGAUAUUUUUCAAAACCAUUUCUCAUCCCUCUCUUAGUUGGCGGUAGUUAUGACCAAUUUGUAUCAUUGUUGAUAUGAACGAAAUUUAUUGAAGGUCUAUCUACUCUCAUUAUCAAUAUGACUCAUAAUAGACUUUAACUGAAUACAUCCACUGACAGUUGUUUGUUGAAAAAAUGUAUAAAUGUAUAAAUGUCCAACAUUGCUUAAAAAAAUUGGAUACAAAUAUAUAAAUGUCCAACAUUGCCUAAAAAAUUGGACAAUGGUUCAUAGUCAUACUAUAAAAAUAACCAAAAUGAUUCUGAAUACGAAUGAGUAUGAAGCUUGAUUUAUAGGGCGUCCCAAAUUAAAAUUGUUAUCCGGUUUACUCUAGUUCUUUAUUUUAAAAAACUGAAACUUUUAAAAAGUUUCAAAAUAUUAUAAAUAUUUAAAUUUUAUUAAAACUUAAAUAUUAUAAUUUUUUAUAAAGUUUAACUUUAUAAAAAAAAUUAAAUAUUUAAAAAACUAAGACUUUUAUGAAGUUUAAACAUUAUAAAUAUUAAACUUAUAAGAAUUUAUAAGAAGUUUCAACAUUAUAAAUAUUUAAUUAAAAAUAUUAUUAAAAAGAAAAUUAACUAAAUGCUGUUUAAUUUUACGAGACGGGGUUAUAUGGUGGGACGGAUUUGGGUCGAUAUUAAUACGGAACAGUAUACCACUGGUGAAUCCUAGAAUUAAAAUUAAAAAUAUAAUUAUAUAAUUUUAAACACUAAACAAACCAAAACACUAUUUAACAAAACAAGAAUAACUUAAAUUUAAAAUUUUUAGUUCAAAAAAAUUGACCCGCAAUAUACCGCGGGGUAAAUUUUUUUGAUACAAAAUAAUAUCAAAUUAUUACAAUAGUCCAUGAUUAUAAAUGCUUGCCAAUAUUAACACUAUAUCAUUUCUACACCUACAAAUCUUCUAAGUACCUUAAUACAAAUCAACACAUUUAAGUAACAAAUACAACAACUCAAAAACAAUAUUUAUAUAUUUCAACUAUAUUAAUUAUAACAUAAAAUAAUGAAAUGAGAAAUUAUUUUUUUAUAUUAUGAAUUUAAAAAUACAAUAAAUUAUAAAUUAUAAUAAAUAUAUAAAAUAUAUUUUUGCUCCGCGGUGUACCGCGGGUUAAAUCCUAGUUAGUAUUAUUAUUAACACUAUAAUUCACUAAAUAUGAAUAUGAAAUGACUUGAAAUUUCACAAUUCAUUCUAAACAUUAAGUAAAUUAUAGCUCAAAGUUAUUUCUAAAUCCAUGUGUUUGAAGACAUCUGAAUUGUGGCAGCCAAACUUUUAACUGUAUGAUUGUUUCAUACAUGGGCACUUUUUUUUUUUUUUUUUUUUUGAUAACUCAGGUGAUCUUAAAGGCUUUCUAGGCCCAAAGACUAAUCCUGGGGUCCGGGGAAACCAUGUUAGAAUUCGAACCCCGGUGGUCAAUGCUACUCGAACCCAGGUGGCGGAGACUUUUCUCUCCUUUACCAUUGGACCAAGGCGACUUGGUUUACAUGGACACUCUUCAGAUCGAUAAAAACAAGUUUUCAAAAUUGGUUUUAAUGUACGGAAUGUUGCGGUUGCAAUUUGAUGCUAAUUAAUCGGAGAGAGUAUUUAUGAGACUAGAUUACUCGAUCCCACACAUGAUUGAACCAUGUGGACUACUUGCUUAGUUUUUGUGGGGAACAUUUUUUUUUUUGUUAUCUGAAAUUAAAUAUAACUUAAAAGAACCAUUCCUGAGGAACAUCUACGAUGUGUCAAAUGUAUACUGAGAUUUUUCAAAUACAGAAGAUUUAAAUCAUCGGUAUAACUAUUAGUAUUGUGAACAUCAUCAACAUUAAUUGAUAGGAAGUAGAAAGUAUCUAUAAGGUCAAUAGUCAACGUUCUACAAAAAAUACAAGUCCCAAAACAGACCCAUUAGAACAUUAUUAUUCCAAGCCUCUGUUUUUUUGAACUGCUUAGGGAUUAAGUAGGGCUGGGCACAAGCCAGGUACCCGGGUUUUUGGUUAUACCCGUGACCCGACCCACCCCGUCCGGGUAUCUACAAAAUAGACCCGUACUUGACCCGCCCUAAACAAGUACUUGCAGUAACGGGUACUUGUCAAAAUUUGACAAACCUGCGAGUUACCCGCCUUGGCUUGGUACCCGUAAUAUUGAAAGUUUUAUGGGCUUCGAGUGGUAAAAGCCUACAAAUUUUGUUAUCUUAAAUGAAUCAUUUUUCUCUUUAUAUAAGGAAAAGUUUCUAGUUGUCGUACAGCUUUUGUCGAUGUGGGUUAAAGGUAACUAACAAAAAAUUAACUUAGUAUUUUGGGCUUCGUUUAUGGGCCUUUUUCUGAAUAAGGUAAUUAAAACAAGUCCAAUUUGUGUGUUUGUUUAUUAAAAAGGCAAAUUCAAAGAUUUUUUUUCUCUGGAAACUCAGAUAUGGAAUAUAUUUUCACAUUUUGGCACUAUCAAAACAGGUAACGGGUAGAAACGAGGCAAGUAACCGAAUUAUUUUUAGUACUUGAUCCUUGCCUUGUACUUGCGGGUAUUCAAAAUUACUUGUUACUCGGCUUGUCUAUUACGGGUACUUGCUUUUUCAAGGCGAAUACGGGGUAAGUAGCGGGUACGGGGCAAGUAACGGGUAUUUGUGCCCAGCCCUAAUUAAGAGGAAAGAGCAAUGCAGAUAAUCUUGCUUUCUCCGUUAACCUUCUGUUUAAGCCGAUAACAAAGAACAUGAGAAGAGUGAUCUUCCGAUUAAAAGUGAAGAAACAAACACAUUAUGCAACUUCUUAAGCCAUCUCAUUCCUUUGAAACACUAUCAAUAGCAAAAAGCCUAAGACAUUAAAGGUAGCAACUUGGGAAGCAAAAUUCUCAAUAACUUGUCAAGAAAUCUACAAAUACAACUUCAAAGCGUAAUAAACAAUCUCAUACUAAGGAAAUGUCAUUACGUCACAUUACUUCUUCAUAACCUAAACAUAAUCUAUUAGUCUACCUUACUGAUGAAGUCAUAAGAAAGAGCUCUAAUCCUUCGAUGCAACCAGAUUUUACUUUGUCCUACACAAAUUCCACGAAGUAGAGUCAUAAGCAUUGCAAUGUGAAGUCGAUAUAGUCCACUCUGCACAAGGAGCAGGCUUAUCGCACACUGCAUACAGAGCCGGCCACAAGUACAAGCUGGGCAAGCCCAAGCUUGCGCCCCCGAAAAUAUAUAAAUUUUGUAGGCCCAAAUAUUUUGUAACUAUUUUGUAGUCUAGUGGUAGCGUCUUGUUUGUUUUGGCCCUCAUGUCUUGGGUUCGAGUCUCCAUCUUUGUUGUUUUUUUUUACUUAAAAUUUCACUUUUUAGAAAAAAAAAAAAAAAAUUCUAGAAAACUCAAUUAACCUAUCCAGUUUUAUGUUUGGUUUAAUCAAAAUUUUUUUUUUUUUUUAAACAUGUGAAAGUAGCCUUUUUUUUGUCGCUUAUAGUCUUAUAAAAUAUAGGGACAGCUCUGACUGCAUAGCAAGACAAACAUCAAACACAAAGUUAUUCCAUUUCAUAUAUCAAAUCCACAAAGAAAAAGUGUUAAAAUUACCAAAUCACAAUGGCUUGGAUUAGGAGUUGAUCCAAAUGGAAAAUUCAAACAUAAAUGUCUUGGAUGUGGAUAAUCUCUACAAGCCACCUAUCAAAUCAUAUGAAAUAAAUUCCAUCAGAAAUAUCAAAUUUUGAAAUAAACCCUAAUUUAAAAACCUUAAAUUUCAAAGCUCAAACCUGGCCUGUUUCAUGGAUAAUAGCUAAAUCUUUAUCACCUUCAUGAUGAUCAUCAUCGGUAAAGGUGAGUUUUUUAACGUUAUAUUUAUUCAUAUAUUUAUCAUAUGCAUGAAAACAAAAUGUAGUAGAUUAUUUAUUUGUGAAUUUCAUGUCGAGCAACCACCAAAAGGAUACAACUCAUUUCUAUUUAUUUUUACGUUAUAAUUCAUUUAGGUGUCAAAGGUAACAUGUUACAUCCAUAAACACUAUUAUACUUAUUCUUUUAUGGAUAAUAUAAGGCACGUUCUGUGAUCAUGACGUAGAACACGGUAGUAGGUAGGACUUUUUAAAAAAAAAUCUCAAUCAGACUUUGAAAAUUGAGAUACCGUUUUUUUUUUUUUUUUUUUUUUUUGUCAAUGAUACCGUUUUUUUCUUUCAAAUUGCUAUUAUAGACUUUUUCAGAUUAAAGCUAUACGUCAAAACCUGUCAUGUUUUAAUUUUACUAUGAUUAAGAAAAUUAAUCAUCAAAGUAAACUACUAUGCAAGGGUCAUUACUUCGAUGAUAUAAGUACACUGGAUAAUAACUUGAACUGAUAAUUUAAGUAGAUCAUGAUCUAUUGGAUAACUUCGUUGAAAAAUAGUAUUUUAUUUUUCAGCUGUCCUUUUUAUGUAAUACUAUUGAUCUUCAUAAACCUUAUUAGAUGUUUAUGUUUUCGUAAAUUAUAAAACUUUCUAUACAAAAGUCAUUUCUAAGCAUUGACAGAUUACUCUAAAACUGGAAACUGGUGUAUAUGACAGACAGCAGAACCGUUCCUAGAAGUAUAAAGACCAGGUGCUAAAAAGAUUAUUCAAAUCAUAUAAAACAAAACUUAAGUAAAAAUAACCACUAUCAUCCUAAAUAGAUAAAAACCUAGAGUAAAAAUCAAAGAUUAAUUCUAAAUCAUAUUUUUUCUUUCUUUUGCUGUUACAAAAUUAUCAACCAAGCUUUCAAAAUUAAAAUGUUUAACCAACUCCCUUUUGAUAGAUAAAAUAGCCAAGUCACUUAAUCUUUUUUGUUACAUACUUGAGAUUAGUUUUACUUUCAAUUUUAUAUUCUAAAUAAAAAUAAAAAUCUAAAGGCUAGUAUUAGAUGAAACAACAUUAUUAUGAAGAAAGUUCUUACCAAUUGAUUUUUUUUUUUUUUUCUUUUCUUACCAAUUGAUUACGAAAACAAAACGCCGUCGAUUGUAAUUGUAAGUCAACAAUGAUUAAGAAACUUACUAGUGUUUGGUUUUCUAUUAGACUUUUAACUAAUUGAAAAAUAUAUUUGUUUAACCCAAAAUUGUCACAUUUUUCUACCUAAGAAAUUAAUAGCCUUUGAUUUAUUUUUGCAGAAAAAGGCCGUAGGCCAAAGUUUAUUUUCUAAUGCCUUAGGCACGGGCAUUGACAGAUUACUCUUAAACUAUCUCUGGUAUAGUCUCAUUCGAGGAUUGUCAUAACACGAUGCUCUUUAUUGAAUUAAAUAUUACUUUAUAAUGUCUUUCAUAUAUAAAACAUUUCCGUAUUUUAACGUAUCCAUUUCAACGGAAAAAAAAAAGCAUUAAUAAAUUUUAAAUAUUAAAUAAAUGUUGUACUUUAAUUUAAAGAUUAAAUUUUUAUUAAAAAACCAAUUUCUUCGGUGAAUAAACUUAUCAAUUUCAACGGACAUAAAUAAGUAAAUGUACUACUUUUAUUUUGUGCAAAAAAUCCAUAUUUACUUAUUAGUCGAAACUAAUAUUAAAGAGUUGUACCUGAGAGACUUGUGGUCCUAUAACAGUUUGUGUUUGUUAGUUUAAGGCAGUGAGAAGUGUUGGAGAUGAUGUGUUCACAAUGAACAUCUUUCUAAGGAGUAGGUGAGAUGCGUCUCUUUUGUAACACGAAAUUCUACCCUAUCACAACGUUACACGUGUCUCGUUUGAACAGAAUCCAAUUGUUUUAUCAUUUUAUAAGAAGAUCAAAUUAUUGUCAAUUUAUUUGUCUUGUGGUUGUGGUUGUGGUAGGUGAGAAAUAUCAAAUAUUUUUCUUGGUUAAACAAUCAAGGGUAAUUAUCAUAUAUUAGUAUGAAUUCGUUUUGAUUUGUUUUAGUCACAAAAAGAAAUCACCUUACUCAAUUCAAUUGCAAAGUUAUUUGAAGAGUACAUACAUAAAAUCUUAAAGGUUCAUAAAAUGCAAUAAAUAUGUAUGUAUGUAUUCGUGAUUGCUAUUCUUAUUGAGUUAUUGUUAAUGUACGUUAGAGCAUAUAAGAAAAUUAAAAGUGAUGAUCUUGAAAGUGAAGUACAUCGAAGCUGCUUUAGACCAUAUUUAUCGGGGCAACUAUGGCCCUGUUUUAAGAGUUUUUAAAUAUUAAAACUGAUGAAAAGUUGGGUUUGGGCUAGGAACGCGUUCUCAUGCGAGAACAGUUCGGAGCCAUGUUCGUGUAUAUGUGGCAGGCCGUCAUUGGUCAGGAGAUGUGGAAAUGGAAAAAGUCUAGGCUUUUCUUUCUUUCCUUCUCUUUCCUCUUACAUUAUUAAUAUUUUUUCUCUCUUAACAUCAAUCUUCAAAUAUGCACUCUUGCAUAUGUCCUGGGAGUUCUCUUUCACAAUUCAAACCAUGUUUUAUUGAUUUAACUUAGAACAUUCUAUAAAAAUAAAAAGUCGUAUAGAAAAUUAAGAUGGUGUAAAGGUAUUACGAUAAAUAAUUUUUAAAAUAACUUAAGUAUUACGUAUAUGCCGUGUUCAAAAAAUCGCUAGGCGCUAGUCGGGCGGUGAGGGUGCGCCUAGCGCCUAGCAAGAAAAUCGGGGAUUACACGGGGAUUAAUCGGGGAUUAGUUUUAGGGCUAUUUAAUAUUUUAAAAACAUAUUAAUCCAUUAUAAUUAAGUAAUUUAUAUAAUAUUGUUUUUAAAAUUGUAUUAAACACACGAAAACAAGAUUUAAAUUCAAAUUUAUGAUUUUUAUACAAAUUACGAACAUAAGUAGGACGUUUUGAAUUUUAGAUGAAAAAAAAAGUAAAAAAAAAAAAAAAUGGGCUAGGCGCUGUCUAGGCGAUUUUUCUCACCGAUUUGGACAAAAUCGCCGCGGUGCUCCUCCGAUCAGUGCCUAGGCGGCCGCCUAGGCGACUAGGCGGCCGAAUUUUAGAAUAGGGCGUAUAUGUACCGUAAAAGAAAAAAGGAAUAAUCUUGUGCCGAACUCAAUUUCAUAAUAAAAAAACAUAUUAUAUGAAUUUAAUUAAAAGCAUAUUUAGGUAAAACUUUUCAAUCCUUUCUUAUUUUCUUUUGAAGUAGCUGACAUUCUAUGAAAACAAAAUGUCAACGAAAUGAUUUAACAAUGAAAAAAUUGAUACGAUUUUAAGCAAAAACUGACAAUCAAUUAAGAACUAGUGUGACGUCUCGGUCCUACUCACCAAACUAUCUGUCCGCUUGCAUUGCACAGUCCUCUCAAGUCUCAUUUUUUUCCUUUAUUAAUCUCUUUGUUUAUCGAUUAUAAUCUGAAGACGAUAUUCGAUUAAAAGUUUGAUCGCUCUAUAAUUUAUAUUUAAAACGUUAGGUUUCAUAUAGAAUCAAAGUUGUAAUGAAAGUUGUAAUGACGAAAAAAAAAAAAUAUGACGACCCAUAAAAUACUUUAGACUGUCAAGUCACGUGUAUUGACCAUCCACCCACACAUUCUUAGUUAACAUAAUUUCAUUUUUUUGUCCUAAAUAUAUCUGCUAAUUACAAUUUUUUUUUCGUUAGAAGAUUUUCUAUGAUACAAAAGAAUUUACAAAGUCCUAUACAAAACCGGAUAAACCGAAAUUACAAAUUUUAGUAUCGUACUUUUUUCUAAAUUAGUUUUAUUUAAAUGGACAUAUCUUACAAAUUCACAAAUACAGAAUGAGGAAGAAUUAGGUUAAACAAGGGAUAUUUUUUGGGAUCAAAUCCUCGUGGUUACCGGUUGCAGAUGUCGAUCAAGACUCCAGUGAACACAAGGCUCGCUAAUUUGCGAGAUGACGACGACUUCGAGCUCCUUGACCGGAGUGUUCUGUUACCUUCUCCGAGCUGAUCCGUCGAAAAACCAAACCUUCAACAAGCCUUCCGAAAAAUCAAACCUCCAAUUAGCAGGAUCUCCAUUGACAAAUCUCCGACCUAGCAAAACGCCAAACUCAAAUCCAAUACCUGACAAGCGUUACCUGCUCCUGCUUCUUUUUUGAGCCAAGAACACCUUCAAUCCAGUCCGGUGAAUGCUAAUCGAUGCCACUAAAGAGAGAUGAUGGCUUACUAUCUCUCAAAAGCCAAAACCUACGGCAAUCCAUAUAAAAUUCGAGGAUUUACAGUUAAUCACCGAGACACGCAACGAAACUUUCCAAACCCUCGACGAUUUAAAUUUAAAUAAAAUUUAUAAAAAAUAAUAUAGUACAACAUAUAAUUUUGUAUGCUUCUAUAUAGUAUAACAUAUUAGUUAUCAACACUAUUCACCAUUUAAAAAGUUAAUGUCCGUUAAAUCUGAUGUUUUAAAAAAUAGAAUGGCAAAGUUAAAGUAAUUUUUUUUUUUUGAACACGUAGUUAAGUUAAAGUAAUUUAAUUUUAAGAACCACGUAGCAAAACAUGUGAGGGGUAAACAAAAUGUUUAUCCGAAACAAUAAAAGAAUACUUAAAAAAAGAAAAACAUCACAUUCUUUAUCCAGCACCUUGUGACUUGUGUGUUUCACUUAUGGACUUUUAUGUCUUUUUAUUAUACCUUAUGGUUAUUCUCUUGUUUUGAAAUUUAAUAUGCUAUUUUCUUAAUUUCUUUUAUCAGAUUUGCUUAUUCACUUAAAUCACCCAAAUUUUAUUUACUCUUUUUCUGUUAAUUCAAGAAAAUCUGUUAUAUCUAUAUAUACAUUUUUGGAUCAUAAUUAGCAAAUAAAUCCUGAAGUUGAGAAGUAUUUACAAUGACAUGCCAUUAGCAUUAAUUAUUUAGAUUUAUUUUAUUUAAGUAAAGAUUUUGAAAUCAAAUAUGUUCUCAACAAUUUACCAAAAAUCUCUACUCAAUCUUUUUAAAAAUCUCGACUUAGUUAACUUCUGAUUUUUAUCUGCAAAAAAAAUAAAAUAAUUGUAACGAGUGAUAUAAAAAUCGAGAAUGUUGAUACUACAAUUUCUUCUACUUCUUUUUUUUAUAUAAUGAAAAUUAUUUUUUAUGGAUAUUUUCUUAAAACUCUAAACAAAACAAAGGGUUUCAAAAGAUAGCUUCUCUUUUGGCGAGUCGACCCGCAAACCCGCAACUCUCUACAGGCUUAUCCGCAUGAACCUGCGACCCGUAGUGGAUAAAAAUAUUAUUCAAAAAAAUAACAAAUGAUGUUUAAUUUUACGGGACGGGGUUAUAUGGUGCAACGGGUUUAGAUCAAUAUUAAUAUUAAACAAUAUACUAUGGAUGAAAUCCUAGAAUUAAAAAUCAAAAUUUAAUUAUAAAAUCAGAAACACUAAACAAAAUAAACAAUAUUAACAAAACAAAUACAAUUUAAAAUUUUGCAAAAUAAUUUUUUAGUUAUAAAAAAAUCGACCCGCGGUGUACCGCGGGGUAAAAUCUAGAUUUGGAAGUUUAAGGAAGGAAUUUUUUUUAAAAAAAAUAAUAGCUCCGCGGUGUACCGCAAGAAAAAUCUUUCUCCUAAACUGAGGCAAGAAGAAGAAGAAAACCAAAUGUCGUUUAAGUGUAUAUAUAGAUAUACCAUUUAAACCUAAAACACAAUUCAUAUACUCAAAACUAUUAAUAUAGACAUAUAGAUGGUACAUUUAUAAAAUAGGUCAAAAUAUUAUAGUAUACUCUCUAUUAAUAAACAAAAAUAAUUAUAUUUAGAUUUUUUUAAAAAUAAUUAUAACCCCGCGGUGUACCGCGGGUUCAAAUCUAGUUAUAAAAAUAAAACCUAAUAGUACACCUAUGAGGCUAUGACAAACCUAAACAAAUUUUAUGAUAAACUCAUUGCAGCUUGGUUAAAAAUAAGGGAUUAUUGUGAAAAAUGCCACUUUUGGGCCAAAACUUGUGGCAUUGCCACUUUCAGAAUGGGCUUUUGGAUCUGCCAUUUUUAGGUUUGUAAAAAGACGUUUCUAUCCUUAUGGUGUUAAGCGGGAGGGCAGCGAUUUUGAAUCGCGUUGUUGGUUGCAGCAACUCACCGGCUGUUCACCGAUUUGACAGUCGGAACUGUAUAAUCUCGCAUUUGUGCGGCUGAGAUUUCGUAGGGUUUUAAUUUUUUGUGGAUCUGUUCAAGGGUGACCUAAAAAUGAGGAUAUUAUAUAGUUCCUGGGUCAUGGUGGACAAUGGCAAGAACUUUGAGCCAACUGAAGUAGUUUACAACAACUGGUCGCGAACACAAGUAGGAGGACGUCAAUUACGAAAUGGAUCCGCAGGUGAAGCCUUAUGCUUAGUUUUCUGGUAUAAUAUGUUGAUGCAUUUGUAGGUGGCAUUUGUUUUCUCUGUCUUAGUAUUGUAGUGACAUAGAUAGGGGAUAAUGGUCAGUUCCUUUGUAUAUUGAUAUGUUUAAGGUUAUCUCGACCCUUUUUUGCUAGUUGGUACAAUAUUCGGUUCCAACUGUUGAUGCAAUUGUGUUUUAUGCUUCACUGUUGUUUACUAUGAUGGAAAGUACUGACCUGCCUGUUACAACUUGUCAUUAUGUAGGCAGCGGAUGUGCCUGUCUUUGUCAUUGCUGGUAGCUGGGAAUGCUCUGAGAAUGGUAUAUGGGAUUUCUACAUUGCUAAAGAAUGUUAUGCGCAAAGUAUAUCUAUGAAUCGAGAUAUGACCUUCGAGGAGCUGCUGUUGACUGUGCGUACAGAGUUUGAGCUUGAUGGCCUCGGUUUGAAACCGAAGUUAAGCUAUUGGCUUCCAAGUCAGCUUUCUGUGUUUGCAGUGAAUUCAAGACCUCCAGUCAUUAUCACCAGCAACAUGAGUUUAAGGAACUUCUUGAAUGUAAAAGAAACCGCAGAGCAUCUCAAUUUGUUGCUCUCUCUUGAACCUGAAAGUGCUGAUGCUGGUUCGAGCAGGCUGAGGGAACAUUGUUCUGUUCCUGCAGCAAAAGCGAAAGAUAUUUGUGGCGACGAUACUGGUGCUGCUUAUGCUGCGAUGGUGCCAACUAAUGCAGAAAUGCCUCAGAGACAAAACAUAGGUAGCAACAGUGGCAGUCGAGUUAGGAAAAGGCUAUUUGGGGACAAUGACGCGUCUUGUUCAAAUGAAGCAAUCAGGCUUGUCUCUGUUGAUACUAGUGAUACUCACAUGAUCAGACUUGCAGAUCCUGAUACACCAUCUCUGUCAGCUCAAUCUGAAGACAGCAAUGCAGCUGCGGCUGCUGUUGUGCAGCAUAUUUCUUCUGAUGACGAUGAUGAUUUCUUAACAGAGAUUGAUACAAUUGAAAAAGGGGAGAAGGAUCUUCGGAUUUGUAAGGGUAAAGGGAAGUGUGAAGACAGUGGGGAUGCUAUGUUAAAGAGUAAAAAUGUUGAUUAUUUCACAGAUGGGGUGGUUUGCUCUGGUUCAGAUGAUGAUCUCUGCGAUGAGGAUUACUGGACUUUGGCAUUUGAUAGACAAUAUCAAUUUGAUUACUCCCAAGCUCUUUUGUUGUCGGCCGAAGUUGAAGCAGAUGCCAUUGCCCCAAGUGUUGAAGCACCAGUACUUGCUCCUGAAGAAGAGGAUAUAGGCACAACGGUCUUGGCGUACAUUGAAACUGAAAGAGGAAACCGUGAUGCUGUAGAAGAUAACCUUUUUGGCAAUGAUUCAAGUGCCUUGUAUGCAAACCAAGAAGGAGGGUAUGAUUCCCCUCACAUGGGUCAACUUCAGGUUUCUGGUUCCCCUGAAGUUGGUGUUAGCCAGGAAGGAGGAGUCACUGAUUCCCCUACAUUUUCUGUUGGAAACGAGGGAGGAGGGGAAUCUUUCCCCGCACUCUCUCUUGGUAACCAACCAAGAGGGGAAUCCUCUUCUGUAUUUGAUGUUGCGCAGGAGGGAGUAACUUUUGAUGAAUUGGAUGGCGACUAUACACAAAGACGUGAUGCUGAACCUGUCAUUGAUGAUGUCUAUUCGCUGGCAAACACAGAUGGGUGUGCAACUGUCUCAGCUGAAGAAGAUGCAAUAUACAUUGGACGCGUGUUCAAAGAUAAGGUGGCUUUUCAAAACACUUUGGCUAUAUAUGCCAUCAAGAGGUUAUUUCAUUUCAGGCAGACUAAAUCUGACCCAGAGCGGGUCAUUUGCGUUUGUAUUGAUAAGCGUUGUCGCUGGAGAGUAUUUGCUCAUAGGGUCUCGGAAUUCUCUGAAAAUUUUGCAGUACGCACAGCUACUCUUACACACACGUGCUCAAUUAUUGCUAGGUCGCAGUAUGAGAAGCAAGCAUCUGCUAGAGUGAUUGCAGAGGUUUUGAAAGGGAAGUAUGCUAACGGAUUGCCUGGGCCACGCGCUGUUGAUAUUCCGGACAUAGUGCUAGCUGAGCUGAAAGUUUCUGUUACAUAUAUGAAGGCAUGGUAUGCAAAGGAGGCUGCUAUUAUGCAAAGUCGUGGAAGUGAUGAAAAGAGCUACAAGCUCCUAGCAGUAUACAUGUACUUGUUGCAGAAAGGGAAUCCAGGGACAAUAUACAGACUUCAAUAUACUGGUGGUGGAUUGGUACCAAAGCAGUUCAAGUACCUUUUCUUUGCUCUUGGAGCAAGUAUUGCUGGUAUUAAGUACAUGAGGAAGGUUGUACUUGUUGAUGGUACUGCUAUAAAGGCAAAGUUUAAGGGAGUGCUUAUCGCUGCUAGCAUGCAAGAUGCUAACUUUCAGGUUUAUCCAAUAGCUUUUGCAAUUGUUGAUGCAGAGAAUGACUUGGCAUGGACCUGGUUCUUCACGAAACUCAGCCAGCUCAUCCCUGAUGCAGAGGAUGUAGUGCUUGUUUCUGAUCGCCACAGGUCUAUAUAUGCAGCUAUUCGGAAAGUGUAUCCGCUGGCCUUUCAUGGGGCAUGUGCUGUUCACAUUGAAAGAAAUGUAAGGGCAAAGAAUCCAGGGACAGGCCUGUCCUACCUUGUUGGUAAUGCUGCCCGUGCAUUUAACGCUGGGGACUUUAAAGAAAUGUAUGCUGAGAUCGUCAAGCAAAGCAAGAAAUGUGCUGCCUAUUUGGAUGCUAUUCCACUUGAACAUUGGACUCAAGCGUAUUGCCCGGCAAAACGCUAUAAUAUUAUGAGCAGUAACAUCGCUGAGGCUCUCAAUGGUGCUCUGGCCAAAAUUGUUGAACUACCAAUUGUUUCUAUGGUAGAGUCAAUUAGGACAAAGUUGAUGGAGUGGUUUUGUUUCAGACGGGAGAAAGCAAAGAAACUUAUUGCUUUGGGAGAGACUAUCACACCUAAGGUGAACGAAUUUCUCUUGCGCCACCACAAGGAUUCUGCAGGUUUACCUGUUAAAGCUGUCUCAGAAUGGAGUUUUCAAGUUAGUUCAGGCUUAAAAAAGUACUAUGUCGACCUAGCUCUUAAGACCUGCACCUGUUUGCAGUUUCAAAAGCUGGAAUUGCCUUGUUGCCAUGCAUUGGCUGCAGCAAGAACAAAGGGAGUCGAAGUUACUAUACUGAUUGGUUCACAUUACAGGCUUUCAGUCUUUCGCGAUGCAUAUGAAAUGUUCAUAUUCCCUGUGCCUAAUGAAAGUGACAUAGAUAUUCCCGUUGAUGUACAAGAAACCGAAUUCAUGCCACCGGAGAACAAAAAUGGUCCAGGGCGUAGAAGGAAGAGGAGGAUCCCUUCCACCGGGGAGUACACGGUAAAACACUGAAUUCGUUGGCAGUAAUGAAAAGAAUUUGACGGGAACUGUAAGUAACUGAUGUUACUUUACUGCAGGGGACGAAGAGGCGCAAGCAUAGACCGCAUAAAUGUACCACAUGCAAUGAAACAGGGCAUAACAGAGCUACUUGCUCUAACAUCCCACGUUAAGGUAUGAAAACUGUGUAGUAAACUAGUUGGCUGUUGUGAAAUUUAUGGAAUUACACAACUAAACUGCAUUUAAAAAACAUGUGGCAGGUGUUGUAAGGGGGAAAAACUUUUUGGGACAUAAGGAGCAACUAGAAUUUGUAGGGGUAACGCUUGUUUUUUGGGUAGGCCAGACAAUGGCCAAGAGACAAAUGGAUUCAGCAGCGAUGGGGGCACCAUCUUUUGGGUUUUCAGUAACAAAUGGCUGAGAAGAAGCCGCUGUAUAGCUAUCCGGUAAGCAGCUCUGGGGAAGAGCCUUCAAUUAACAAGUUGAAGUAUGUGUAGUCAAUGUAUAUAGCAGUGCUGGGUAUAUCCAGUUUGUAAAAUUAAGCUGCUGCUGAUGAAAAACAAUUGAUGUCUCGAUUAACUAGUAAUGAAAAAUGCUUCUUAUGGUGUAUGUGACGAUUUGAUCCAAUAGGCAACUAGAACGCAUAAGAAAUUAACAUCAAGCAAUGUACCUUAAUUUGGAAUAUAUAUUACAUUACUGAAACAGAUAAGCAAAUUACAUUAAGCAAGUUCUCUAGCAUCGGAAUAUAUAUUACAUUACUGAACAAGAGGACCAAAUUGCAGGGAAUUCUGACAAGACUUAACUGGAAACAUACAACAUGGCUGACACCAAGAAGCAAAUUAUAUCACAUAUGUACAUUCAGGAUUUAGCAUAAUUCCUGAAACCGAAUUGCGUACAUGUAAACAAAGCAGCGACGACAGAGAUGAAGGACAGAGUAGUUGUUUAGGAAACAAUGAGGGAGCCCUCCACCAAACCGAAACGAAUUGUUAAAGCGGCCAGCCCUUGGCAAUCUGAAACCUGCAGUUUGUGUUAGCACCAUUUCAGCAAUGUCGACUGCUUCCUCCAUAUUACGCAGGAGACUGAAGAACUGCUCCAUGACAUGCAUACCAGUGUCAAAAGAACCUGAGCAAACCAGAACCAAUCCUAGCGCAAACCUAGCAUACAUACUGUCUACAUAAGCUUCACAGAGGAGUUCAACUGAACGUUCGGAAGGUCCUUCUGCCACCGCAAGGCGUAAGCCUUCGACAAACUGCGCAGCUGGGUUCCCAGAAUCCAAACAACGCAAAAAAAAGGGUCGGAACACAGAAUCUUCAUUACACAGCUGAGUAACAAAGACAAACUCAUCAAUGUCGACAUCCUUAAGAACACUCGCGUCGAAGACAAGAGCCAUGAAUUCAGGUCCUGAAGCUAUCAAAGCGCCUAACUCUCGAAAACCAUGCUGUGAGAGACGCCUGACAAUAUCCAGAAGAAGCGGAUGUGGAAUUAUAUUCAUUGGUGAGAUGUUGGUCUUUCUGAGUUAAUUAAGAAAUUUAAUUUGCAGUUUGGUUAUAUAGAGCAGAGGGAAGCGAGGUUUUGAAAGGAUUUGGUUGUGUAGUGCAGGUGGGUGUUAAGUGUCACAUACUAGCAUUAACUAAUGCAGCUGAAACAGGACUAUAAAGUGGGAAAAAAUAGAGUAAAUAGGUGGUUACGUCUGAGUUUAAGCAAAAGUUUUAAGGGAAUAGCGAAAGGAAGGGAGAGACAUAUUUCAGGCUCCUGUGUAGUCAACUCAUACAGUGCAAGUAAGAGUAGUAAGAAAUAAAAGCGCUGGAUAAGACAUUGGGAGAUGGAAUGAAGAAACAGUACAUCAUAAAGGAGAAUUAAAGAUGGUCAUGGUCCAUAGCAUAAAAACUAACAAAGCAUAAGAUACAUAACACUAAACCAGUAAAGAAAACAUAUCCGGCAACGUCUGUUAAUGCUGCACCGAGUACCAGGACAUCGAGGAAUGUCAUCAUAUCUCCAAGUGUCGCAGUGGGAGCGAAUCUUAACGGGUCGCAUUUGAAGAAUGUGACGAAAGACUUUGCUACCAAUAGCAUCAGCUUCACGAAAUGAACCAAUGGAAGAAACAAAGGUGAUGCGUCACACGGUCACGGAAAUAGCCUUCGGGACGAUGGUACGGUCGGCGAUCGGUACGGACAGGGCCUUCGGUGACGGCGGUUACGGCGGUUACGGCGGUUACGACGGUUACGGGACGGCGAGGGAGGUUGACGAUGAGUAGCUCGAAUCGCCUAGACUCCAAAGAGAUGAUUUGCAAGGGUGGAUAGCGACAACCGGUGAGUAUCUCGAACCGGUGGUGACUGGAGAAGAGGGGUGUGAAGGCGGAACGAGGUAACGAUACACGAGAGAUGGUGGGCUCGUGAUACGGUUACACUUAGAGGCUUUGAAUCCGAUUCAAAGGCUCUAAGGAGCUCUCAAUGUUUUCGCAACAAAUGAGAAAAAGGAAAGAACUGAUUUUUAUUUCAAAAGAAGCUAACCCUUACAAGUGACUUAGAGGGCCUUUAUAUAGGCGUUUACAAGGGAGACUCAUAAAACCCUAAAGCAAACAGUCAAAGCGCGGGUCAACAAGGAUAGACGUGUCAAAAUACAAACCAUAAGACAAGAAGAGCCUAACGGCUUUAUUACGAAAGGAAGGAGAGAUGGCCACGUCAUGCGGAGAUGCGUGGUCAUGCGCUAGCGUACGUUGGCCUCGUUAAAACCCUCUUGGUAAACCACGUGGGAUAAACCCAAGUAGGGAAAAAGAGUACCACGUCCAACUAGUGACUUUGAUGCCUUCACCUAGUGAUGGUGAAGACGGUCCGGACAAGCUCAUGAUCGUCCGGAUGGUCGAGUCCAAUGGGGCCGUAUGGCCGUGGGUCGUGUACUUGGAUGAACUCUUCCGCGAAGGCAUUGCACUUGAUCCUGAGAUUGCGUGCAGCUCCCCUUGACCUUGUGACAGCUCCCGGAAGGAUUUGAGGUACCUUGGUCGCCGGUAGUAUCCCGUGGGUCGUUCCGGGUUGGUCCAUGUUCUGUCCCUCGUCCCGGCCCUCGUCCGGAUCGUUGUCCGUAUGCUGUCCGGUAGGUUGGGUCUCAUUAUCCCCUCCCCCUUGGGAAGGUUCUGACCUCAGAACUCCUUCAUCAUUCCCUACAUCAAAAGGAACCAAAUCAGAAACAUUGAAGGAAGUAGACGUGUUAUACGUACCGGGUAGCUCCAAGCGGUAGGCGUUGUCGUUGAUCCGCUCGAUGACUUGGAAAGGGCCAUCUCCUCUUGGGCUAAGCUUGUCCUUUCUACGUUGUGGGAACCGCUCCGGUCUUAAGUGUAACCAAACCCAAUCUCCCGGCUUGAAAAUCAUGGCCUUGCGGUGUUGGUUGGCUUUUCGCGCGUAUUGCUCGGUUCUUCUUUCUAGAUUUUCCCGGACUUCGGUGUGUAACUUCUUGAUCAGUUCGGCCUUGGCUAAUCCGUCUUGACAUUCUAUCUCAUUGGGUGGUAAGGGUAGCAAACUCGCGGGGGUUAAAGGUUUGAAUCCGUAGGCCACUUCAAAUGGAGACUUCUUCGUUGCCGAAUGAACGGACUGAUUGUAUGCGAACUCCAUAAGGGGAAGUAGCUCUAACCAAGUGCCCGGAUUGCUUGCCACGGUGGUCCGGAUCAAGGCGCCUAAGGUUCGGUUGAUGACCUCCGUUUGACCAUCCGUUUGAGGAUGACACGCGGUUGAGUAUAGUAGCUUAGUUCCCAUCUUUCUCCAUAAGGUCCUCCAAAAGUGACCAAGGAACUUGGGGUCUCGGUCCGACACGAUGCUACGGGGUAUUCCAUGGAGCCUCACAACUUCCCGAAAGAACAAGUUGGCUAAGGCCGUGGCGUCCGAUGUCUUGUUGCAAGGUAUAAAGUGAGCCAUUUUGGAAAAUCGGUCUACUACGACGAAAAUGGAGUCUUUGCGGUAUUGGAUAGGCAAUCCAAGCAAGAAAUCCAUAGAUAAAUCGACCCAUGGUGCAUUCGGAAUCGGUAGGGGCUUGUAGAGGCCAUGUGGCCGUGGGGUGGCCUUGGCGGUACGGCAAGUGAUGCAACGGCCUACGAACUUCUCGACCAUCCGCUUCAUCUUAGGCCAAUAGAAAUGUUCCUUUAAGACUUCCAAAGUCUUAGUAACCCCAAAAUGCCCGGUUAGGCCUCCUCCAUGUGACUCUUGCAUUAGUAGGGUCCUAAUAGAUCCGGCGGGUAUGCAAAGCCUUUUGUCCCGAAAGAGAAACCCGUCUUGGAUGUAGAACCGUGAGUGAAUUCCUUUGCCGUGAUCCCUAUAACUCUCCCCAAACUCCGGAUCUUCUUUGUAAACUUCCUUGAUCCCUUCAAAACCCAAAACCCUUGCCUCCAUGGUUGUGAUCAACGCGUGUCUUCUUGAUAGCGCGUCGGCUACAACAUUUUCUUUGCCCUUCUUGUACUUGAUAACGUAUGGGAAAGCCUCUAUAAACUCUAGCCACUUCGCGUGUCUCUUCUUCAAGUUGGUUUGGCCUCUAAGAUGUUUCAAGGUCUCAUGGUCCGUAUGGAUCACAAAUUCCCUCGGUAGUAGAUAAUGUUGCCAAGUCUCCAUAGCUCGGACCAAAGCGUAUAACUCCUUAUCAUAAGUCGGAUAGUUGAGGGUAGGGCCAUGUAACUUCUCACUAAAGUAGGCCACGGGUUUGCCUCCUUGGGUUAGGACCGCUCCAAUCCCGAUGCCGGACGCAUCACACUCUACUUCAAAGGUCUUCUCAAAACUUGGUAGAACUAGGAGAGGCGCUUGUGUUAAUCUCCUCUUUAGCUCUUGAAAUGACGCUUCUUGACUCGAUCCCCAAGUGAAUUCUUCACUCUUCUUAGUGAUGGCGGUAAGAGGUGCGGCUACAGUGCUAAAGUCCUUGACAAAACGCCGGUAGAAACUUGCUAACCCAUGAAAGCUUCUCACUUGACUAACGGUUGUCGGUGUAGGCCAUUCCUCUAUUGCUCGAAUUUUCUCUUGAUCCACUCUAAGGCCCUGCUCACUCACAACAAAACCUAGAAAAACUAGUUCAUUAGUACCAAAGACACACUUCUUGAAGUUAGCGUAUAGCUUUUCUUCUCGAAGUGUGACCAAGACCAUCUCUAGAUGGACCAAGUGAUCCUCUAGGCUACGGCUAUAGAUUAAAAUAUCAUCAAAAUAGACCACAACAAAUUUAUUAAUGAAAGGUCUAAGGAUGUGAUUCAUUAACCGCAUAAAGGUGGAUGGGGCGUUGGAGAGGCCAAAUGGCAUGACUAGCCAUUCGUAGAGUCCUUGCUUGGUCUUGAAAGCCGUUUUCCAUUCAUCACCCUCUUUCAUUCGGACUUGGUGGUAACCACUCUUGAGGUCAAUCUUGGUGAAAAUAAUGGCUCCAUCCAACUCAUCCAGCAUAUCGUCAAGCCUUGGGAUUGGAUAUCUAUACUUCACGGUUAUGUUGUUGAUGGCUCUACAAUCCACGCACAUUCGCCAUGUUCCAUCUUUCUUAGGUACUAGGAGAACUGGUACGGCACAAGGGCUAAGGCUCUCUCGGACAUAUCCUUGCUUCAUGAGAUCUCCCACUUGCUUCUCUAGUUCUUUAGCUUCGGUUGGGUUGACUCUAUAGGCGGGUCUAUUUGGCAAUUGAGCUCCCGGAAUAAGAUCUAUUUGAUGUUCAAUCCCUCGGAUAGGUGGCAAGCCAUGCGGUAGUUCUUCCGGAAACACAUCUUGAAAACGCUUGAUGAUGGCCUUAAUCUCCUCCGGAAUGUCCUUGCCUUCACAAUCUAUAGUCAAAACAUCUUUAAAGACCAUUAGUAACACUUGGCAAGAGGAGUCACAUAGUGAUCUCCUAACAUCACUAGAAUUAACCAAGAAAUUCGACUUAGAGCUAGGUUCACUAGUCAUUUUCGAUUGCAUUUCAUUGACUUGGGUGGGUGACAAAGGCUUUAAGCAAAUCCGUUUACUAUUAUGGAUAAAAGUAUACUCAUUGGUAAGGCCACAAUGCGAUGUCUUCUUAUCAAAUUGCCAAGGCCGACCCAACAAUAGGUGGCUAGCUUGCAUUGGGACAACAUCGCAUAAGACUUGGUCUUGGUAGGGGCCAACACUAAAAGAAACUAACACUUGUUCCGAGACUUGGAUUACGGAUUUGUUGUUCAACCAUUUAAGCUUAUAAGGUUUGGGAUGGCUUGUGGUAGCCAAAGAAAGUUUCUUGACCAUAUAAGAACUCGCAACAUUGGUGCAAGAGCCCCCAUCUAUGAUCAAGCCACAAACCUUCCCACUUACCAUGCACCGGGUGUGGAAGAUGUUGUCGCGUUGGUUGGAGUCGUCCAUGGCUUGGCUUGUGCUUAGCAUGCGGCGGAUCAUGAGAAGUUCUCCAACUUCCGGUUCGGCAAUGGCUUCCUCGAUCUCGGAGUCAAUGCCUUGGCCUUGUGGGGCGUCGUCUUCGUCUUGGGAUUCAUAGUCUCCGGCGGUGGUGAUGAUCAUGGUGCGUUGGUUGGGGCAGUCUCGGGCAUAAUGUCCUCGGCCUUGACACUUGAAGCAAAUGAUGUCUCGGGUCCUUGAGUCGGAAGGUUGAGGUCUUGGGUCGGGACGGUUGUCUUUGGUGGUCUCUCGGGGCUUGAAUCUUGUGUCGAUACGGGCGGCUUUGGGUUCGGUGGUACCUCGGUUGGUCUUGUCGGCUACUCGGUUGUUUCCAUGAGAUGGUGAGGCGUUGGGCGACCAACUUGGAAGUCCUUGUCCCUUGGUCCGGGUGGUGCUUGCAAUUUUCUUCUUGAUUUGUUGUUCUACUUGGAUGGCUAGGUGCAACAUCUCCUCAAACCCUUGGUAAGAUUGGCGUUCAACCUUCCUUGUGAUCCGGUCAUUCAAUCCGUCUAAGAAUUGGGCCAUCAAAGCCUCUUCGGUCUCUUCUAGUUGUAAACGGUUCCUCAAGUGCUCAAAGUCCUCAUAAUAUUCCUCAACGCUUUUUAUUCCUUGAGUGAGCUUCCUAAAUCGCCGUUGUAGGUCACGGCUAAAGUAUUGGGGAAUGUAUCGGCGUCUCAUGAUGGCCUUCAUUGCGUCCCAAGUGGCCACGGGUCUCUCGUGAUUACGUCGUCGGUCGUCGACGUCGCGGUCCCACCAAGUAAGGGCAUGGUCCGUGAAUUGAGCGGCGGCUAUAAUGACCUUUCGUAUCUCCGGGUAGUUGUAACAAGAGAAAACCUUGUCCAUUCGGCCUUCCCAUUGUAGGUAGGCCUCCGGAUCAACCUUUCCCGCAAAGGUUGGGACGGUAAGCUUGCAGGAGGGUCCGGUGAGAUUAGGACCCAUUGGUCGUUCAUUGUCCCGUCGGUUGUUUCUUCGUCUUGGAUAGUCGGGGUCUUCUUCAUCCGACGUGUGUCCCUCAACUUGACCUUGAUCUUGUUCUUGGUCGUCGACUGGUGGUAGUCUUUGGUCUCGGACCCGUCGUACAAGGGGCACGGGUGGUGGUAUAGCUUGCUCCAAGAGAUAAAGCCGAUCAUCGAUCCGUCCCAUUUGAGCUUGGAUUUGGGUCAGAAUGACUCCAAGGUCGGGUGGAGGAGCGGGUGCCAUAGGUGGGUCUUGUCCGGCCAUAGUACGGAUUCCGGUUCACCGGGAAAUGUCAGACGGCGGCGGGUGGUCGGAAAAUUGGUCGGAGUGAGUAACCGGCGAUGGUAGACUGGUAGAGGUCGGUGGCCGAUGGUCGGUGGUCGAUGGUGCGUAUGGUCGUUGGUCGAAGGUCGAUGGUACGUACGGUUGCUGUCGUGGUCCGUUUGGUCCGUACGGCUAGCGAGGUUUGUUCCACCUGUCCCAAACAAAGAACACGUGCGUUUUAAGGUUGCGAUAUGUUGAUAAGAUGGAAUCAAUUUCAAAAGAGGUGACAGCUCAUGAUUGGAGAGAGAACGGUCAAAAAGCAAAAGAAACAACCUAAGACCAAAACGAAAACGCUAGAGGACAAACGGUACGAAACCGUGUGACCCAAAACGAUACACGUGGUUUCAAGGCCACCAAACUAAAGCGAUAACACUAAGGAACAAAACAACUAAGGAUCUAACAGCCUAACAAGAUGAAAACACGGUGAAAAGCACGAUGAACACGAAGAACACGAAAAAAUCAAAACCGGCUAAAAACGAAAAGCAACUUCAACGAGUGGUUUUCAAGGCCACGAAACAAAAACCCGAAGCAAAACUCAAGCUUUUAACCCAAAGUGAUACUAAAACACAAAAAGACUAAGACUUUCUAAAAGAAACAAGAAGGGAAGGCGAAGAACACAAGGGAAGAAAACCUUUUUUUUUUUUUUUUUUUGAAAUGAAACAACAAUAAACAACACAAAGAGAACUAAGAAGGAUAGAUACAACCUUAGGAACCUUCGGCUCUGAUACCAAAAACUGAUGCGUCACACGGUCACGGAAAUAGCCUUCGGGACGAUGGUACGGUCGGCGAUCGGUACGGACAGGGCCUUCGGUGACGGCGGUUACGGCGGUUACGGCGGUUACGACGGUUACGGGACGGCGAGGGAGGUUGACGAUGAGUAGCUCGAAUCGCCUAGACUCCAAAGAGAUGAUUUGCAAGGGUGGAUAGCGACAACCGGUGAGUAUCUCGAACCGGUGGUGACUGGAGAAGAGGGGUGUGAAGGCGGAACGAGGUAACGACACACGAGAGAUGGUGGGCUCGUGAUACGGUUACACUUAGAGGCUUUGAAUCCGAUUCAAAGGCUCUAAGGAGCUCUCAAUGUUUUCGCAACAAAUGAGAAAAAGGAAAGAACUGAUUUUUAUUUCAAAAGAAGCUAACCCUUACAAGUGACUUAGAGGGCCUUUAUAUAGGCGUUUACAAGGGAGACUCAUAAAACCCUAAAGCAAACAGUCAAAGCGCGGGUCAACAAGGAUAGACGUGUCAAAAUACAAACCAUAAGACAAGAAGAGCCUAACGGCUUUAUUACGAAAGGAAGGAGAGAUGGCCACGUCAUGCGGAGAUGCGUGGUCAUGCGCUAGCGUACGUUGGCCUCGUUAAAACCCUCUUGGUAAACCACGUGGGAUAAACCCAAGUAGGGAAAAAGAGUACCACGUCCAACUAGUGACUUUGAUGCCUUCACCUAGUGAUGGUGAAGACGGUCCGGACAAGCUCAUGAUCGUCCGGAUGGUCGAGUCCAAUGGGGCCGUAUGGCCGUGGGUCGUGUACUUGGAUGAACUCUUCCGCGAAGGCAUUGCACUUGAUCCUGAGAUUGCGUGCAGCUCCCCUUGACCUUGUGACAGCUCCCGGAAGGAUUUGAGGUACCUUGGUCGCCGGUAGUAUCCCGUGGGUCGUUCCGGGUUGGUCCAUGUUCUGUCCCUCGUCCCGGCCCUCGUCCGGAUCGUUGUCCGUAUGCUGUCCGGUAGGUUGGGUCUCAUUAAAAGGAGUCAAUUGUGUCAAGUGACUCCGAGUAAAACCCCAGGCAAACCUGUAGCAAGGCUCGGGAAAACCAAGCAUGAGGUGGAUAGUUGCCUAUGGUGGAUAAGAGUUGUAGAGCGUCUUCUGCACGACCAAGUUUGACGGCAAGCCUAAUGCUUUCAAGAUAGGCUGCAGUUGCAUUGUGAGAGUCUAAACAUUGGCGAAAGAAAGGGCGAUACACCGAAUCUUCAUUUAUAAGGCCAGCAUCUGCUAGGAAGGGUUGUAGGCUUACAUGGUUGAGGACAGUGGAAUGAGUUGCAAGAGAAUAGUAGAAUUUGGAAGUCAGAAGCAUACCCCGGAGAGAUAUAAACGAAUCCGCCCCCACACGUGAAACAAUAUCAAGAGCAGUGUGUAUGUCAAGUUGUUCCAUAGGUGACGCAGGAACAAACAAUGAAAAAUGUGUAACUUAUGUAGGGAAAAAUCUGUAUCAAGUAGAUGGGAAGGCAUUUAUUGUGAUGGAAUUAGUGGGUGAGGAGGUAUGAAAUUAAUGAGCUGAAAUGAAAUUGUAAGUUUGUAGAAGUUAAUAGUUAAAGAAGUAAUGGUGUAUAAUAUCGUAAAGGGAGAAGAAGGUAGUGAUAAGGAAAUCUAGGAAUAAAGUAGCUAAUGUAACAACAACAGAAGGUACCAUAAGGAGAGCAAGUCAGUACAAGUAAUAGAAAGCGCGUUAUUCUUGGUUAACAUGCCGAGAGAUCAAUUAAAAGAUAAGAAAAACAAGUAGAUUAAACGCGGGACACAUAUUCUUCAUACAGAUCAAUGGCGUAGCGCAUUCGAAUGUUGUUAACAGUCUUCUUUGUAAGUUCUUGAAGGUGCGAUGUAAGCUGAUGUGAGUGAAGUUCAAUAAAUUUCAGAGACAUUGGACCACAGUCCCCACCACGGUCAUUCUGUGCGAGACCAAUCAUUCGCGUGAAGGUAAAGCCAGUGGCUGGCCAAGUGGAUGGAACAUCUUCACAAACAGAGCGAAGCAAACAAGGCAGCAUCUGAGCAAUAGGAGCCAUGUAGGAGGCAACCUUUCUAGCAGAGGUGCAAUCUUCAAACGGGUCAAGAAUGUCAAUAUGACCUUUGGGAAGGUCAAUGGCUAUUGCGACCCAAUGCCUCUUACCCCAAUUCAUAGGGAGGUAAAUAAUGUCUACAUCUUUGAGCCACUCCAACUUACAAGUGCGACCGUCAACCAGACCACAAACAUAAGCCGUCAACAGUGGGUGCCAUGCAUAUGUCAGUGUAUUGACGUGUUGGCUGAAAUUGACAAACUUAUUGUCCAUCAUUGAGGUGAACAUGGAGUCGAGGACAGUAAUGCGGCGUGUGGCGAGGAAAGCACCAUGUUUUUGCCAAAGAAAGCUGACAAUGCAGUCAAUGUGCUGUGAUGCAAGAAGUCAUAAAAUGAGAAGAGAUAUAAUAUAUGGGCUAUAAAAUAGAAGUAAGCAAAGUAGACAUGGAAGGUGCAAACUAACCAAGCUGGAAACCCAGUUCUGAGGUUUUGAUAGCUCAGUGAAGAAAGUAGAAGGGUAUGAGUGGCCAUUGAUAGUGUAUGAACUGCAUUGGAAAGAUGUGAGACAUGAGAAAUAAAGAAUAUUACAAAGAAACAUUUAGGUGAUAUAAAAUGAAGAGGUUAAGCACAAACCUCUUGCCCAUUUUAGAGAGCUUGCUGCGAAACUUGGAAACAGUAGCUGAAUUGGGGGUCCCAAGUGUACUUAGAAUGUAUGGAAUCAUUGCUUUGACAUCAGGGUGAUUGACAUUUUUUUUGCUACGCAGGUUCAUAGCAGGUCCACCCAACAGUAGCUGUUUUGUAGGAGGCGCAAUGGGAAGGCGAGGACACCGAUCCGUGACAACAGAAAGACCGGUUGCAGAAGGUACUUGCCCUAACAUGGCAGACACCCCAUCGGUUGCAGGACAUUGCGUAGCAGAUGAACAAGUUUGGCGGGUCACUCUUUGGGAUAUAUUCUUUAGAACGAAGACAGAAGGUUGAACUGGUGUUGGGUGAAUAAAACAUGAUUCCUCCUUAGAAUCAGGUUUACAGGCAUUAAGCUGACAUGCGUUCACCUGCAAAAGAUACAGAAGACAGAGAAGGAUGAUUAAUGUAACUGAGAAACGUGUUUUUGAAGUAGAUAUAAAAUAACCUGUGGCAUGGGUGAAGAAGGAGACAAAUAUGAAGCCAAAUGGGAGGGUAAGGUGGAGGUAUGGCUUCUGUGCUUGGCUGCUUCAUGUAGGAAUGAUGGGCGGCGUUGCUUAAUAUAAGAAAGAAUCAACUGUAAGUAGCGAAAAUGAGCAAAAGUGGCAAGAUCAAAGUGAGACACAGAAAGUAGAGAUAGAAAAAACCUGAACAAGUGGCUUUACAACAGGACAUGGAAGCACAACCGGACUAAUGGACUGAGAACCUGUAACUCCAGGAGCGUGGCUCCCAGUAACAGAGGGAGAAGAAACCUAAAAAAAAAACUGGUAAAAAUUUGGAAAUGUUGUUGUAAUGAAAGGUGCAAGAACCAUAGAAAGUAGGCUUAACCUCAGGAGGUAGAACAUCAGUGUCGAGAUGUUGAAAGUCUGUAAAACCUACAGCCUCCGGAUCCACCAUUGAUUCAAGGCAUUUACCAGGCGAUAAAACAGUAUGCGCAAAACCGACAGCAGGAUGACAGAUAGGUGAAUGUUUGGCAUUACUGGAUGACGAUCUUGUAUUGCUAGCAGAACGCUUGGAGAAUGAUCCCGCAGAUAGUCCAGCACAGCCAGAACGUGUAUUCCGGACAGGCGAAGAAGAUACUGCUGGUGAAACAAUAGAGGACUUGUUGACAGGAGGUACACCGCGCCUAGUACUCUGAUGACUGUGCUGAAUGAGGUGACUAAGCUCAACAAGCAGAGAUGCCUUGAAGCUUUUAAGAUGUUUCUCAAUAAGGGUAUCUGCAUUUCCGCGGAUCUUGACAGAAGAACGGUGGCCAACCCGCUUUUUUUGUUUACAAAAAUCUUCAGGACCCGAACUUGAACUUGCAGACCUGGAAGGAAUGGACUUACGUUUGCGGGAAGAGGUGAGUGACGGCAUAGAUGCAUCACCACCAGACCAGACAUCUUUUGUGAACUGAAACGAUGAUGCAAUAAGUCUCUCCAACUCCUUAACCUUGGGGUCACAAUGUUCAGAUGCUACAAAGGCAGGGUCAGGAUUUUGCGGGUGCAAAACACAAAGCUGCAAAGUAUAAAGAAUAUGAGGUGGUAUAACAGACAGAAAGAAAUAGAAGAAGGAAAUAGUCACAGAAUAAGAACGCACGUUACUCGAAUAUUCAAGACGUAAAAUGUUUGAAGUAUGGAAAGACUUGCACUUAGGGAGAUGAUGAAUGAUUCGGUCAAGGAAAGUAGACUGAUCCUCACCAUUGGGCAGGAUUGUGAGGAGCAAAGGAAUAUAUUUAAGAGCAAACAACUGAAUAGCAAGAGGAAAACCAUGGACAGCGACGGACGAUUGUUUCAGCUUGGCAACUAGCGAGUCUGCGUCUUCAAGAUAGCUUCCAACUUUAACCAUUCUAAGCAUCCUGUGAAAGGAGUGGCGACCCCAUGGGUAUUUGAGAAAGAAGUCUACAUCUUUGACCAUCUCAACAACUUCAGCUGAUGCCUUAACUGGUUGGCUCCGACAAAGCAAAACACCCUCUACAAUAACAAUAAGCGCUAGGCGGAAUUUACGCCAACUUGGCAUAUUUGGCUGAGUCUUCAACCUUUGGAGAAGUGCCUUCACAGUUACAGAACCAAGUUUACCACCAAUUAAAGUAUACCAAUACGGAGCACUACCCUCGGCAUGAGUUGUUGCAGCAUCGAGUUUUUCCUGCGAAGGAAAAGGACAACAUUCCAACCCAGUGGCUUCACGAAAUUCCGAUAGAGAAAAACGCAAAGGCUGACCCCCAAAAACAAACCACAUUUCGUCAGAGUUGGUGGUAUCCAGCUGCCUACAUAACAUCUGAUGGACCAAUUGGCCAGACAAUGAACAUCGCCUGACAGGCAGUAAGAAGAGGGACCCUAGCGGAGAUGCCAAUAAAGUGUCCAACUCAGGCAUUCCAUCGAGGAUAUGUAAAAUAUCAAUCAAGUACUUAGGUUUGGAAUAAGAGUUGAUACGGACUGCAUGACCAGGAUAGCAGUCAGCAGAAAAAACUCUAUCAGGAAGGAGUCCUACAACACCAAAAAGAAAAAGUAAACAACACAGGCAGUGGGUGUAAAUAUAUGAAAAAAACUUUACUAACAACAACUGCAGCUAUAUGAUGAUGAUAACCUUUAAAGCAACAACUUAAUUGAACACAAGAAGGCAACCCUAGUCUCAACAACAGAGGGAAACCAAAAUAGAUGUGUGGCAAGACGGGAAUAAGCAAUAUUUAGGAAAACAUAAGAAACAUGUGAAAUGGGGGAACUAAACCCUAAUCUCCACAGCUGAGGGGAACCCAAACACAGGUGUUUAACGAGUGGCAAGCGUCAGUAGGUGGAAAAUCAUAAAAAAACAUGUGAAAUGGGGGAACUAAACCCUAAUCCCCACAGCUGAGGGGAACCCAAACACAGGUGUUUAACGAGUGGCAAGCGUCAGUAGGUACAAAACCAUAAAAAAACAUGUAAAAUGGGGGAACUAGACCCUAAUCUCCACAGCUGAGGGGAACCCAAACACAGGUCUCUAACAAGUAGGAACCAUGAAGAGAUACAAAAACAUAAGAAAUAUGCAAACCUGGGGCACCGGCGUGAGAUGGUCCAGCUCCAAAUGAAUCCAUUUCAGACGGACAGGACCUGCACAUGCAAUUAAGCUCAGUUUCACCACAGACUAAGGUGUAUGUAUGUCCGGGAACAAUAUAUUUGGCUACCGCGACAGAGAGACUAUCAGAAAGAAAUUAGAAUAAGGACAAAGAAUUUCCAAGAAUUAGAUUCAACAGGCAAACGGCUGUACACAGAAAUUUCGCUUUCGAAGGACUAGAACAUGAUACAGAUUACUUCGAUAAGAACUACCAGCAACCAUAAAAAGGUUGGAAAUGGCGACCGCGGAGAAAAGGUACCACUGGAAUAACUAACCAAUUGCAACGGCGAGAGGAAUUUGGUACAGAGAGCUUCAGAAUGCCCUUUUUUUCUCACGGCCGUCGGAAAUAAAUUUGAAAUCGGAGCAGAGUCUCUGUUUUCUCGAACCUCGGAGAAGAAAGAGUAAAGCAGACGACACAAUAUGACUUCCUAUUAAAUGUUCGAGAAAUUGGAACAGUUACGUGUUGUUCGGUCUUCUCGGGCAGACGAGAGUGGGCAGGCGCAAUAAUGAAAAAGCGAGGGCAAAAUCGUGAAAUCGCAUGAGUAGAAAAGGGUAUAUCCACAAACUGUUCCAAAAAGGUCGAAACCAACAAAUGCCAUCCGGAAAAAUGGCUUUCUCGUAAUUGAUUCUAAAAAUAAAAUUUAGUAGUACAUAUGAAGUAUUUAGCUAUGUUUUGUGAAGUACUUAGCUAUGUUUCUCUAAAAAUGGCAUACUUGUUAUUGUUACCAAAUUUAAUAGCUUCAUAUCAAGUUUAACAUAUGCAAUAUAUUAAAAUGCCACUUGAGUUAUAUAAUUUGUAGUUUUAGAAUGGAUCGUAAUAAUUUUUUUGGAUGUAUUCUUUCCGGAAUAUUUAUUUUUUCAUGGCCUAUUAUUUAUUUUCAUUAUAUUUUCUGACAUUAGGGCCUAUUAUUAAUAUGAUAAAAUACAAAAAAAAAUUGAUGUGUCCCGAUUUUCAAUUGGACCAAAUCAUUAAGCCAGAUCAGAAAUUUGCGUUAAAAUAUGCCAAUCGUCUUAUACCUUCUGUAAUAUAUUUUCAUAUAAAUAAACUUCUCAACCUCCACACUUCUCUCACCCAUCACACAAUCCUCAAAACAGAGUAACCCAAAAAACAGAGCAAUCUCUAAAAAAAGUCUCAAGAAACCUCACUAAAAUGGGUUCAACGGCGGAGACACAAUUAACCCCGGUGCAAGUCACCGACGACGAAGCUGCCCUCUUCGCCAUGCAACUAGCCAGUGCCUCCGUUCUUCCGAUGGCUUUAAAAUCUGCUUUAGAGCUCGACCUUCUUGAGAUCAUGGCCAAGAACGGUUCUCCCAUGUCUCCGACCGAGAUCGCUUCUCAUCUCCCGACCAAAAACCCUGAAGCUCCGGUCAUGCUCGACCGUAUC